rnacentral:lncRNA from 1 species
GAGUUUUGACCACAUGGUCCCGGGGGAAUUUGGGCAUUUUUGGGUAAAACUUUGGGAUUUUCAUUCUUAUGCAUUCAAAUUGAUUUAACUAGAAUUUAUUGACACAUUUGAGUAAAUUGUGGUUAGAUUCGACCGGUUUUGAAGAAAAUUCGAGGGGUAAAGCUAUUCUAUAGGCGUGAGUUAAAUUGGAAGCUUUCGAGGUAUGUGUUUGAUCUAACUUUGGCCUGAGAGAAUAGGAUUAGGAUAAAAAUUGCUAUGAGCUAUGUAGAGUCAGUGUAUAGGUAUGGUGACGAUUACCUAUGCGCCCGAGUCUAGCAUGACUGUGAGUCAUAAUUGCUAUUCAAUUGUCAAAAGAAGAGCACAAUUGUGAUAAUUACUUGUUAAAUGAACCAUGAAAUGAUAGUUGAGAAGUAAAUGAGCUAAGGAAGGAAGUUUUGGUAUUUUUCCCUUGCCGGGGGACCUAUCGUUGAUUUAUCUUUUCAUUGCCGGGACUUAUUGUUGAUAUAUCUUUUCCUUGCCGGGACAUGUUGUUGAUUUAGUCUCCCUUGCCGGGAUAUUCUUGGACUCUUAGUUGUACCCUUGUCGGGUUUAACUGUUAUGUUGAUGAAUUUCCCUAAUGGGGCCUCCUUUGAGGAGAUUGUUGGAGUUAUUCGAUUAUAAAAUGUGUUCCUGUGGCACGUCCUCCACUUAUAUAUAAUAUGAUUGGGUCAUGUGGCGACCAUGAGAUAAUAUGAUUGGGAUCGUGUGGCACGUCGACCACGAGAUUUUAUGAUUGGGAUCAUGUGGCACGCCGACCACAAUAUGUUAUGAUUGGGAGCGAGUGGUACGCCUACCAUAACUUGUAUUGGUUAUUGUUAUUGGCCUUAUAUGUCGUGCAGUUGUUGAUUGACUGGUUUUUCUUUAUUUAAUUAUUAUAUUCACAGUUCUAUUUCUUAUUUGUUGAAGUUAUAAUUACACUGUUACUCCCCUAGCAUGCCCCUUCCCCAUUAUCUGUUAAAUUCUUGUUCUUUUUAUGUAAUUGCACAUAUAUCUGUACAGGUUGAUUAUGGUAGGUCCAGUUUAGACUCGUCACAACCUCGCCGAGGUUAGGCCGAGCACUUACCAGCACAUGGGGUCUGUUGUGCUGAUACUAUGCUUCUGUGCCUUUUUGUGCACAUGUCAGGACACAGCCUACGGACCGCAGCAGUAGCUAGGGGGUGAUCCUUCAGUCCAGAGAUUCUGAGGUAGAUUGCUAGCGUUCGCGGGCCUCGAGUCCCUUCUAUCACUUCUAGUUUGUUUUUAUUGUAUCAAACAGACGUGUUGUAUUUCUUUGAGACUAUUGUUUUAGUACUCUUUAGUCGUGCGUGAGUAGUGACACCAGAUACUGGGUAGAAGGAUGUUGUUAAUUUCCGCAUUUUGUUGUCGCUAUUGAUGUUAAGAGACUUCCGCAUGUUUUAAUUAAUUAUGUUUGUAUUUGACUUGUUAUAAAUUUAAGAUUGGUUAAAAUGAUUAUAAAGGCUGGCUUGCCUAGCUUUGACAGUAGGUGCCAUCACGAAUCCCGAUGGUGGGAAAAUCCGGGUCGUGACAACGCUGCCUCACAUGGAAUCUAUAUCCAUUAGUGAGAUACCCAGAAUAUCUUUUAGCAACUGAAUUUGGUCCGAAGGAUAAUUGCUUUAUAAGAUCGGGCACAUCCUCUUUUAAAGGACGAGUUUCAAACCAUUGAGAGAAGUUUUGACUAUACUUCUUGGCCUUGCUCCAUUUUGAUCCUCGUCUCUGAUUACUAACCUCAACCUCAUAAUCUCUACACAACAAGUAUUUUUAUUUGUUAGUAAAAUGAUAAACAAAGUAAUCUAAUAACAAUCCACACAAAUAAAUGCUAUAAGUUAUUAAGUUACCUUAUAUAUUCUUGAACUUCAUCACAAUUGUUCAAUAAGUAUAUAUGUGCCUGAUUUAGUGACAUGUCAUCUAACACAAUUAGAUCACUCUUUUUUGCUAAUAAAGGACAACCUGUAUUAGGGAACAAACUAGAAGAUUGUGCAUUAAUUGAAUCAUAUUCAUCAUUUUUUCGAGGUCCUCGAUUAAAUUGAGUCUUUACACCUUCAUAUAAGUACCUAGAGCAUAAAGUCAAACAUUCUUCAACCAAAUAUGCCUCAGCAAUAGAUCCUUCUGGAUAAUUUAUGUUGCGAACAUAUGAUUUUAAUGUACACAUAUACCUUUCAGGAGGAUACAUCCAUCGAUUUUAAACUAGACCUCCCAACCUUACCCCAUUUGCCAAAUGAAUAGGCAAAUGAAUCAUUAUAUCAAAAAAGGUUAGAGGAAAAAUUCUUUUCAAUUGAUUCAAUGUUUCUCUAAUCUCUACUUCCAAGCAAUCUAGCUCUUCGAUUCUGAUAACGUUUUGACAUAAAUGGCGAAAGAAAGAACUUGCCAAAUCAAAUGGAUAGCAACAUGAUCAAGAAGUAUGUUUUUAACUGGUAUUGGCAACAAGUAAUGUAACAUGAAGUGGGCAUCAUGGGUUUUAUAACCGGAUAAUUUUCUUUCAUCUAGAUGUACACACCUGGAUAUAUUGGAAGCACUAUCAUCAGGUUGCUUUGCUGUCUUUAAAACACCACAGAAAACUGAUUUCUCACCAUUGGUCAUUGAGAAGCAUGCUUUUGCAAACUUUGUUCUCUUGCCAUCCUUUGUAUCCUUUGGUUGAAGGUUCUUCCUAAUGCCCAUCUCUUUCAUAUCAUAAUGAGCAUUUGCAUGAUCCUUUGUCUUGCCAGGAAUGUCCAAAAUAGUUCAAAUUACAUUAUCCACUAUAUUUUUCUAUAUAUGCAUUACAUCAAGGUUAUGACGUAACGAUUUGUGCUGCCAAUAAGGUAAUUCAAAAAAAAUAACGAUCAUUUGCAUGAUCCUUUGUCUUGCCAGAAAUGUCCAAAAGAGUUCCAAUUACAUUAUCUACUAUAUUUUUCUCUAUAUGCAUUACGUCAAGGCUAUGACGUAACGAGUUGUGCUGCCAAUAAGAUAAUUAAAAAAAUGACCUUUUUUUCCAAGGGCCAUCAUUUGUUCUCUUUCGCUUCUUCCCAAACACAUUGCUAAAUUUCAGUAAGCUAUUAAGCACAUCAGUUCCCUUUAACAAAGGCGGAGAAGGCCUAAAUUGUGUUUUUCCAUUGAAAGACUUCUUAUUAGAUCUCCAAGUAUGAUCCACAGUUAGAAAAACACGAUGAUCCAUAUAACACAUUUUUUUACUAUGUUUAAGGUAACGAGAAUUAGUGCCAUAAUUACAACAAGGGAAAGACAACUUUCCCUUUAUACUCCAACCGGAUAACAUAACAUAUGCAGGAAAGUCACUGAUUGUCCAUAAAAGAGCUGAUCGCAUUUGAAAUGUUUGAUCACUUGAAGCAUCAUAUGUUUCUACCCCGGACUCCCACAAAACAUUUAACUGUUCUAUUAAUGGUUGUAAAUAAACGUCAAUGUCAUUUCCAGGUGAUCGUGGCCCAGGUAUAAGCAAAAAAAACAUACAGUACUCUGGCUUCAUGCACAUCCAAGGGGGCAAAUUAUACACCAUUAAAAUAACUAGCCAUGUGCUAUGAGAUAUGCUCAUGGUCCGAAAUGGAUUGAACCCAUCACUUGCUAAGCCAAGUCUGAACUAGAAUCCCUUGCAAAUUCUGAAUGCAAGCUAUCAAAGUCUUUCCAUGCUUUCCCAUCAGUAGGAUGCCUUAACUCUCCAUCUUUAGAACGCUCCUCGUCAUGCCACGUCAAUGUAUCUGCUGUCUUUGAGCACACAAAUAACCUUUUAAGUCUAGGAAUUAAUGGAAUGUGUCUCAAAAUAUUUGCUGGAACACGAUAACCUUUUUUGUGAAGCCUCAAGAUCGUUAUCUACUUCAUCGCUAUCUGCUUCAGGAUAUUUAAUAUAUCGAGAUGUUCCACAAACAUGACAAUAUUUAUCAUCAUAUGGUCAUUCCUAAAUAGCAUGCAAUCAUUAGGACAUGCAUCAUUUUUUUCAUAAUCAAGACCGAGAUCUUUUACCAUAGAUUUGGCUUUAUUGUAGGAAAUAGGAAUGUUACAAGUCAAACAUCGCCUCUUUUAAUAGCUCUAAAAGAGAAGUGAAAGAUGCAUUGCUCCAUCCAUGUAGACACUUCAACAAAUACAAAUGGAUUGUAAAAGAUAAUCUAGAAAAUCCUUUACAACUAGGAUAUAGUUCUUGGCUUGCCUCGUCAACUAAGUUUAUAGAAUUUAUUGGCAUCUUCAUUUGGGCAUUCAUACGCUCCUCCAGCAUGUGCAAUAUUUUUAAAUUGAUCAUUAAUAAAAACCCAUCAAUAUCAUCGUACGAGUAAACAUUAUCAUCAAUGUCACAAUUAGCAUUCAUCUAAAUUUCCCAUUCCCUAUGAUUAAUCCAUCUUGUAUAAGCUUGACCAAACCCAUAACAUAUUAAAUGGUCAUACACUACAUUCCUUCGAGUCCAGCAAAUAUUAAAACACUUUGCUCAUGGUCUUUGAAUUUCUUUGCCUUGAGGAUAUCCAUAAGAGUAAGCAAAAUCUAAGAAAGAUUGAACACCCUCAAUAUACUCUUUGCUAUACCUUGGUUAAUCCAUCUAUUCCUUGGAUGGAACAUUUGAAUUCCUAAAAAUAAAAUUUAUUAGAUCUUAAAAUAUAUAAUCAUUUAAGCAUUAACUAUAUGGUAAUACUAAAUUCUAAAUGUCAAGAAUAAAUCUAGAAAAUUAUGUGUUGUAAAAUGAUAGGACUUUCUUACUUAGACAUAAACUAAGCUAAAUACAAAUUUAAGUCCACCACAAAUCUUCCCGAGCGUGACUAGUCUUCUUGGAUAAAAAAAAGGAAAAAUUAAGAUCCACAAAACAAAGACAGAAAGUAAUAAAAUUCUAAACCACGUUUCUCAUGAAGAUAAUAUAAUAGUUUUUCGCACCAAAAAGUUUCAUGUGCACUUUGGCAAGUAUAGUGACACAUAAAAGGUAUUUUGUUCAUACAAAUACUAUAUAAUUAAAAGAAGUUAAGAUAUAAAAAUAUAACUAGCUUUUUCUGAUUUCUUCAACUCAAAAGAAUAAACUCCAGAACUAGUCAUAUUUCAAAAUUACUAAAAGAAACUUUGAUAGAACAAUUUACCACAUUACAUUCGGGCCAAGUAUUCACUUGUCAAGUUUUAUAUGAGCUUCACAAGAGUAAAUUGGUGGGUGACUCAGAAAGUUAAACUUCUCUUACUCUUCCAUUAAAAUAUUGGGAAGUUCCAGCUCUCUGUUAUGGAUGGCAUAAAGCAUCCAACCAGUUUCAGUUCUCUUUGAUAUAUUAUAAAGAUUAGGACCAGCCUAUCAGGAAUACUUAUAGGAUAAAUAGAAAAUAGAAUUCAAUUGAACAAAACUAUAACCAACGAAUAUUGAAUCAAUAUAAGUUUCGUGUGUUUAUACAAGUGGCAACAAAAUACCCAACGUGUAAGUUUUACACUAUUUUCAUUAAACAGUUUGAUGAUGUAACCUCUUAAAAAUAGUUCAGUGAUUCAUCUUUAGAUAGGCAUCUGUAACCAUGAUUGUGUAACAUACAUUACACACAAGAGGAGGAAAUCUAGUUAUUUGAGUGAACUGUUGACUUGACCCUUCCAUCAAUAAGAUGAGAUCCUAGGAUUCAUCUUUUGAACCACACUGAUAAACUUGAAAAUAGACAAGUUUGAGUAGCUGAGCAGCUAAUCCAGAAGCGUAAAACUAUCGGUCAUAUUUAGUCAAAAUACCAACAGACCAAAUUAACCCUUAGAAAGAACACUAAACACAAAAAUUACCAUUUCAAAUCAACAAAAUUACUCGAAACACAACAUCCUACUUCGUUCGAAGGCAAAUGUAAAUGUAGCAAACCAAGUAUAACUCAUGAUUCCAUUUUAUUGCGAGGCAGGGAACUCUGGACUACUGCUUAGGAAGGCAGGGGUAGAGGAAAACAAUUGUUUACUUCAGACAUUAACCCUUAGAAAGAACACUAAAUACAAAAAUUACCAUUUCAAAUCAACAAAACUACCAUGAAACAUGCUCUGGCUUUACACGAAACACAACAUCCGAUUCGUUUCAAGGCAACAUCCUAAAAAUGCAGCAAACCAAAUAUAACUCAUGAUUCCAUUUUAAUGCGAGGCAGGGAACUCUGGACUACUGCUCAAGAAGGCAGGGGUAAAGGAAAUUUGGCUUACCUUUACCAAGAAUUGGCAGCUCUUCUAAGUUGAACUCAGGCAGCAAAUUAAACGUAAAAGCACCAGAUGUUAUUUCUAAAACUAGGCAGCAACAGAUUACACCAACUGCUAUUUCGAUGGCAAAGGCAGGUAAUGAUCGAGCAGCAACAAAUAUUAAAUCUAGCUAGUAGAAAAUUGAGGAAACUAAUCUAAUCUUGGAUGAAGUGCAGCAGCAAUGUAUGCCAAAUGACUUAAUUGUUGGUCCUACUACUAGCCGAACAGCAAUACCAGCUAAUUCUAGGCAGCAACAAGUUAUGACUACAACUCCAAAUAUUUAAGUAGAAGAUAGAAAGCUAUUGGAUGCGAUGGUAAGCUCAAAACUUUUUAGCUCUUUAAAUCUUACUACGUUUAGCACAGGUUCAAAGAAAUGUUUUCUUAGAACAUGCUUCAAUUUCUAAAUCAAAGUCGAGGUAGUUCUUCCUAAGGCCAUGUUCCUAAUAGGUAAAGGUUCAAGUAAUAAUUUGAUUUUCUGGAAUGAGCAUAGCAACAUACAUUUUAUUUUAUUAACAGGAGCAGUAAGAGAUUACUUGAGCAUACAGUAUUCACACAAACAUUUGGAUCCAUUAUUUUAGUCGAAAAAUACUACCGGCGGGCCUCUUCACUAAUAUUGAAUAAUGAUUGCACUUUAAGCUAUCAUAUUCCCAAAUAUAAAGAAGAUUUAUGGUCAUUCAAGACAUGAUUUCUAAAACUGAAAGGAAAAGACUUAAGUUAAUAAUCUAUUUAGAAUCAAACAAUAUGCAUUCAGCCAUUGGCAUAAACCUUUUAGACUAUUUUAUAGUUCAAACUCGUCUUUUGAUUCAAUUUAAAGUUGUGCAAGAAAUCCUUCUGGAUAAUCCUGAAUAUAUUCGUCAUAUGAUAAUCCCGAAUAACUUGAUAAAACCAAAUUAACAAGUAAAUAUGAAUGAAAAAAUUAAACAAAAUACAAUAUCAUAACUCCAAAUAAAGAAUAACCUGCAUAAUUACACCAAAAGGUACAGAAUUUUACAAAUAUAAUGUUGCAAUCACAGAUAGUAAAACAUGUACUACCCGAAUAAAUAAUAAUUAUCUAAAUUUAAAAUCAUAUAUGGGGAAAAUAAAGAGUACCCAUCGGAGACUUUUUCAUUAGAUGGGUUUUACUAAAUUAAUCAUAUGGAGGCUUGAUUCAAUUUUUUCUUUCUUAGGAUUGUCAAAUUAAAGAAAAUAGAAAUAGCACUUCCUGAGAUGGAUAUGGUAUGAUGCUGAUAAUACAAAUAUUUACAAAAAGUAAGAACUUACAUUUGUAAAAGCAACUGAAAGGCUGAAGCUUGCAACAGUAAGAUUAACAGGUGAAAGAAUGAGAUAGUAGAAGCAGUCGACGAUACAGUGGCCAAAGAGAUGUGGAAAUUAUUUCCACUUUUUCCUAUUGGGUUUCCUAGAACUGAACGUACGGUAAAGCUGUGGAAAUAGUCUCAAUUUUUACGUAUAGGUUUUCCUACCGACAUAGGGCUUAUGAGAAUUGGGGGGAAAUAUUUUAUUAAGAGAAAUUUUGGUGGAAAAUUUUUUGAGAAAUAUUUUAUAUGGAAUAUUAGUGUACACUUCUAAAGUGUUGCAUUUAAUAUAAAAAUAUAACAACUCUUAAAAAACGUAGCAAUACACCUAAGAAGCGUGGACAAAAAAUUUAUAUUUAGGCAACACUUAAAAAAUGUUGUCUUUAUAUUUAAAAGGGACGCAUUCCAAGUGUUACCUUAAAUCCGUGGCCAAAGACUAUACUCAAAGGCCACGCCUAAAAAGUGUUCUUACAGAUACCUUUGGCAACAUUUAUUAAGAGUUGCCUAAAUUAGUGUGGUUGUAGGCAUAAAAUGUUGUAGUGUAUGUUUGACAGCCUAAUUCAUGUGGGUUUGGGGAAUGGAAAGAUGAAAUCUUCCCGCGAAGUGAUUGGACUAAUAUUAAAGAUGUAACAUCAUCAAUUGAGGAGAUUAAGAUGCAAAGGGACAAAUUGAAAGAAGAACUAAUUGUAAUGAAGGCUAUACACCAUUAUGAAGUGGAUAAAGUCGUCAAGUUUGAAGAUAAACUUACAUAGCCAAAGAUGUUGCAUAUGAUUUUUUGGGUAUUAUUUAUUGGUUAUUUUGUGGCCUCGAUGAUAAAGUUACUAUUUUGCAAAUUCAAAGUCGCUCAUGUUGAGUUUUAUAUGUGUAGUCAUGUUGUACUAAUAUUUGUAUGUUCUUUGAUUAUGAUGUUGUAGUAGUAUUUAUUGUGAAAGGGGUAAUUGUAAUGAAGGCUAUACACCAAUAUGAAGUGGAUAAAGUCGUCAAGUUUGAAGAUAAACUUACAUAGCCAAAGAUGUUGCAUAUGAUUUUUUGGGUAUUAUUUAUUGGUUAUUUUGUGGCCUCGAUGAUAAAGUUACUAUUUUGCAAAUUCAAAGUCGCUCAUGUUGAGUUUUAUAUGUGUAGUCAUGUUGUACUAAUAUUUGUAUGUUCUUUGAUUAUGAUGUUGUAGUAGUAUUUAUUGUGAAAGGGUUUUUCCCUUACUGUAUACUCCAAUUCCUAAAAAUGUUUGUUUUCUUUAUAUGAUAUGAUAGUAUAUUAUCUAGUGUACAGAUACUUUAAGAUUCUAUUUCGGCAUGUUGAAUAACUACACCUAAGUGUAAAACUGAAAAACGAAAUACAGCAGCAAUCCAAGCUGUAGAUAACUGGAUGUAAGAAUUGAAAACUGCUGGAUACCAUAUUACUUGUAAAGAAACUGAAACACUUACAAACUGGAAAACUGAAUACCAUAUUAUCUAGAUGUAAAAAUUCCUAAAUAGAUAACUAAAAAACUAAAAUUGAAAAUGGAACAAAAUGGAAAAUAAUUUUCUGAACACCAACUGUCAACAUUCAUAACAUUCACCAACUAUCAACAUUCAUAAAAUGAGUUUAUAUGAUAGAUGAAUACCAGAUUAUAACCUAAAAAGAUGUCUAACACCAAGUUAUAUCAUGGCUUCCAACUGUCACAACUAAACAAACACAACCAAUAUAUAAGGUUUACUAACAUGGCAGUAAUUACAACACAUCCAAAAAUUUAUAAAGUUCAAUAUUUUAAGCAAAGUCCCUUCACUUUUGCUCCUUACCACUACACUUUCUUGCAUUCAACUUGUUCACCUUUGCUUGUUCAACUGAUUUUCAGUGAUGGCAGAUUUUUCCAGCGAUGUUAGGUCUUUUGCUGAGAAAGUAUGCUUUUACGGCUAACUUGCACCACUUGAAUCACCAACAAAUAUAAUCUGCCUAGUUGUAGUUCGUAUACUUUGUUGCCUCAGCUGGAGUCUUGUCCUUGCUUCUGAGAGGAUCUUUGGUCUUACAGCUAUGUCAGGCUCAGGUUCGAAGUUAGGGAUCUCAAAUCUGGAUCAUUGCUAGUUGGAAGUUGCUGUUGAACAAUAGGGGUUGGCAUAAACACAAAGUUGCUAGACUGAAUGUUUUGACUUUGCUGGGGUACUGAUAAAUGAAUGUCAUCUUCAGUUGGGAUAUCUCCAGCUGCUGGUGAUGUAGGUGUUCAGCAACAACUCACUCAACCAAAGUUCUUUGCUUUUUGUUCUGCUUUCUCCUUGAAUUUCCACCCAUUGGUUAGUUUCCUUUAGAGUGAAAUUAUCAAAUAGAACACAAUUAUAUGUUAGAAUAAGGCAGAAAAAAUCAAAAGUUCAAAUUUGUUGUUCAACAAAUAUGAUUACCUUGGCACAAACCCAGCAUUAUGUCCAGCUUCUCCACAGUUAUUACAUGUCAUGACUUUCCCUUUUCUCAAUUGAGACCCUUGUCGUUGCCUUCUGGUUCACUCAUUUGCCUCUUUUGUUCUUUUUACUUUUGGUCUGCCAUCUUGCCUUACAAAUUCAGGUGGAUCCAUAUUCUGGGAGGGCUCUAUCUUCCAGAACCUUUCUCCUCUCACAGGUUGUAACUUAUGAGAAUAAGUCUAGAGAUAUGCCUCUUUUGAAAGAAACUAGUGAGUCUCACUCAAAUGAUUUUGCUUCUUUUAUAGCAAGGCACAGAUUACAUGAGGACAUGGCAUCACUUCAUCUUCAUUAGCAUUCAACAUAUUCAUAACCUUUGAUUCUUAUCUCCUCUAACAUCUUUAUAAUUGGCUUAUGUCUAGCUUGCAGUAUCUAUGCAUUGAAGGACUCAGUCAAGUUAUUAUCCACUGACUAGUUCUUGCAUGUAGUAUCAAAGAAGGUCCUAAUAGGUGGAUACUUUAACAAAUCUUAAACAGCAGCUUUACCAUCAUCAUCCACUUGGCUCAUACACUUCAACUAAUCUUGGAAGUCCUCUUCAUAGGUACUCCAAGCUGCCCACAAGAUAUUUCUUGUAUUCCCAAUAUCCCCAUCUCUUGCACUAGUUUGCUUCUAUGUGUCUAACACAAAAUUUGUGGCGUGCCUCAGGAAACACUCCUAAGAUUUGGUCAAUUAGCCCCUACAUAUAAAGAAAAGAAGAAGUGUAAGAAUCAAUAUGUACAGAUUGGAAAAUAAUAAAAUAAUAAAGUAAAGUGUUCAUACCUUUUGUGUAUCUGAGAUGAAAGUGAUUCCUUCACCCAUAUUAAGGUCCAAAGACAUUUGCAGAAGAGUUAAAACCCACUUUCAUUUGACUUUUGUUUCUUUAUCCAUAAUAUCCCAAGCUAAUGAAUAAACGUGGUUUGUAGAAUCUUGACCAACUGCUACCAAGAGCUGACUCUUAAUUUUUCCUUUUAAAAAAGUUCCAUCCAACCCUAUAAAGGGCCUCAACCCACUCUUAAACCCCAUCUUCAUUGAAUAAAAACAUAUCUACAUCCUUAGGAACCUUUUCUUGCCUUCAUCAACAGCAUCAUUUGAUUAGUUAACUACUACAUCACUCCAGAAUUACUACACUUCUAUUUAUUACUUAUGCAACCAACUUAUUAUACUCAUCAGUAAAACUACCUUCCAGAUUCUCCAAAAUUAAUCUUUUUGCCCUCUUACACUUUGAAUCACUAACAUUUACAUUAAAUACAGCCUUCAAGCUAGCCAUCAUCUCUCUAACCUUAAUGGUUGGAUUUUCUUGUAACCUUCUCUUGAAGUAUUCAACAGUUAUUUUGGAAUUAACCCUAUGAUUCAUAUGCAGGUUCACAAGUGUGCUCAGAAUGUAAACUCCUGAAUUUAGCCCCACCCCUAAAUUAUUCCUAGAUAUGUGACAUACAAAAGAGCAGCCAGCUAUACAAAUGUACCUAAGCCUAGUUUGGUCGCUUCUAACUUGCUCUAACCCAUAACCAUUUGCAAGCACAUACAUAUUUGUAACUUUCCUAGCUUUAGCAAUAUCUUUGAACGUCAUUGACUUAUCCAACUCUUUAUAGUAAGUUAAUUUAUCAUUAAUUUCUCUCUUCUUUUGUUCAAAGAUUUUCUAUAGUGUAUCACAAUCAUAGUCAGAAGAAACAACAUUUUCAUUGUUAUCACAUCUAUUACUUUCAUCACAAUCACUGGCAGCUUCAAGUUCAUCAGGUUCAUCAUGCUCAUUGUGAUGGAAUAUAUUUGUGAUGAUCCCAAAUGUUUUUAUUUUUUUAUAAAAUAAAUUCUGUAUAUCAAGGCCUUAAAAACCUCUUUCUGCAUUAUUUCAUUUUACGCGCGCAGUCUGUGCGCAUAGCCGGAAAGCCAAUAUGUGAAAAUCUGUGAAAAAUGAAAAAAUUUUGACCUUAAAAUAAAUUUAAGUUGACUUCGGUCUAUUUUGGAUAAAUGAAUUCGGACCCGUAAUUUUACAAUCCCAGAGGGUCGGUGAAAAAAUAUGGGAUAUGGGCAUAUGCCCGAAAUCGAAUUCCAAGGUCCCAAGCCAAAAAAAUAAAUUUUAAAAUAAAAUUAUUUUUUUAAAUAUUUAUGAGAUUUUUGAAAUGAAACAUGUUUAAAACUUUAUGGUAUCAGACAUGUAUUUUGAUUCUGGAGCCCAGUACAAAUUUUAUAUGUGAUUUAAGAUGGGUCUGUGAAAUUUGGUAAGAAACGAUAGUCGUUUGAGGUGAUUCGGACCCAUAGAUGUGAAAAUUGAUACUUUGAAAGUUUUGAAAUUUUUCUUAGAUUUCUAUGCUAAAUUCGUUGUUUAAGACGUUACUUUGGCAAUUUGAUCGCACGGAUAAGUUCAAAUGAUGUUUUUGUGUUAGUAUGCAUGUUUGGUUUGGAGCCCCGAGGGCUCGAGUGAGAUUCGAAUGGGUUUAGGAAGGUAUUGAACUUAGGAAAAACAGGUGCACAAAGGUUUUGUUCUUCGCAUUUGCGUGGUUCCACGUAUGAACACGUAAGGCAAUUUACUCAAGUGCCAGUUUGUUCUUUGCGAACACGGAGCUUGGGAUGCAAAUGCGAGGUUGUGGGGGGAGUACCCUUCGUGAACGCGUCCAGGCAUAAGGUUAAAAGCCUGGGAGGGGGGUUCACAUUUGUUCUACACGUGGCCAUCUGACCGUGAACGCGAAGGAUCUAGAAGCUGAAGCUCUGCGAACGCGAGCUGUCCAACGCGAACGCGAUGAUCGUCUGGGCCUGACCCAUCGCGAACGCGAUGAAGGCCUACCUAUUGAUUUCUAAAUAGUAACAAAACAUACGAGAUUUAACCCAAUUUCAUAACUUCUUCUUCCAAACUCCAAAUGGGCGAUUUUUGAAAGAGAACUUCACCAUAAUCCAUUGGUAAGUAAUCUUAGACUCAUUUUCUUCAAUUUUCAUUAACACCCAUUAGAUUUCUCGGCCUAAAUCAUGUUCUUAACGGAAUAAAAUUGGGGAUUUGGGUAGAGCUAGGGAAUUUUGUAUAAUUGGGAUUUAGACCUCGUUUUGGGGUCGAAUUUUGGAACUAUUUACAUAUUUGGGCUCUUGGGUGAAUGAGUGAUCGGGUUUUGGUCCGAACCUCGUAUUUUGACCAAGCAGACCCAGGGUCGAUUCUUAACUUUUUGAGAAGAAUGAUAGGAAAUCUAUAAUUAAGCAUUGGAAUUGGAUUGUUUAACGUUUAUUGAUGUUAUUAAGUGGAUUAUGUCUAGAUACAAUUGUUUUGAAGCCAAAUUCGAAAGGAAAAGUGGUGUUUGAGGCUUGAGUUAGCCGUAGAAGUUCGAGGCAAGUGUUUGACCUAGCCUUAGCUUGAGGGAUUAGGAGUCGUGUCUUAUUUUAUACGUGUUAACUGUGGAGUACGAUGUAUAGGCAUGCGAUGAGUAUCUAUACAUCGGUGUCAAGCAUGUUUGUGAGUCUUGUAUUGUAAUUAUUAUGACUCUAUUGUGAUUUAUUGCGCUUCAUAUGAGGAUUAUCAUCAUUUUUCCAGUGUCGAUUUGGAGCCAAAUUCGAAAGGAAAAGUUGUGCUUGAGGCUUGAGUUAACUGUAGAAGUUCGAGGCAAGUGUUUGAUCUAACCUUAUCUUGAGGGAUUAGGAGUCGUGUCUUAUUUUCUACGUGUUAACUAUGAAGUACUAUGUAUAGGCAUGCGAUGAGUAUCUAUACAUCGGUGUCAAGCAUGUUUGUGAGUCUUGUAUUGUAAUUAUUAUGAAUCUGUUAUGAUUUAUUGCGCUUCAUAUGAGUAUUAUCAUCAUUUUUCCAUUGUCGAGAUGUUAUUAUCAUUAUUGUUCCCUUGCCGAGAUUUUGUUUUCAUAUUAUUGUUCCCUUUCCGGGAUGUUUGUUUUGAUAUUAUUAUUCCCUUGACCGGUUAUUGUCGGAAUAUUAUUAUUCCUUUGCCGGGAUGUUGUUAUAUUACUAUUGUUCCCUUACCGGGAUUCUUUUAUGAUUGGUGUUGAUAAAUGAAAUGGGAGCGGGUUGCACGCCUACAACGGUAAUAUACGAAAUAAGCACGAGUUGCACGCCUGCAACGGUAAUCUAUAAAAUGGGAGAGGGUUGCACGCCUGCAACGGUAAUAUAUGAAAUAGGAGCAGGUUGUAUCCUGCAAUGGUAGUAUAUGAAAUGGGAGUGGGUUACAUGCAUGCAACGUAUCAUAUGAAAUGGGAUCAGGUUGCACGCCUGCAACGGUAUUACAUGUUUACCUAUUCUUUAAUUGGUUUAUGGCAUUCCUUAUAAUUUUAUAAUGUCAUUCUGUGGUUACCUAUUAGUCCCCAUAGCAAGUUUCCCCCGUCCAACCUUAGUUGUAAUUAUCUGCUCUAUUUCUGUUGUAUAUGAUUAAACUGCACAGGUUUGUUUGGUAGUCUGGUCCUAGCCUCGUCACUACUUUGCCGAGGUUAGGCUCGUAACUUACCAGCACAUGGGGUCGGUUGUGCUGAUACUACACUCUGCACUGUGCGCAGAUACUGAUAUCGUAGAAUUUUGACCGCAGUGAGGGUGCUGUCUUUGGUCCACACAGGCGACCCAAGGUAGUCCAGCAGACUUUCGAGGGCCUUGGCGUCUCCUCCUAUCUUCUCUUUUUGUUUUUACUUAUUUAAAGAUAGACUUUGUUUGCAGUGUUCUUAGAUAGUUCGUGACUUGUAACACCAAAUUUUGGGUAGUAUUGUACUUCAAUUUAUGUAGCAGCAUUUGGUUGGAAUAUUAAGUUUCGACUUCCGUAUUUUCGAUUGUUUAAUGUUAUUCUGUUGUUUAACCACUUAGUGUUUUACAUUUUUUAAUAUGUUUAAAUAAAAAAGGGAGAUAAAUAUGCAAUAUUCGGCAUGACUUUUUUUUUUUUGGCAAUCCACUACGCAAAGCCUAGGGUUAGAUUUUAUUAAUAGAAUAAAAAGACAACAAAGCAAAACAAAACAAACACAAAAUUACCAUAAAUAGGUGAAUUACGAAUAAGGGAGUCAAAAUAAAAAGACAACAAAGCAAAACAAAACAAACACAAAAUUACCAUAAAUAGGUGAAUUACGAAUAAGGCAGUCAAAUCACCGGAGUUGUUACCCAUAUAACAACCGGUAUAACCUUUCCGUAUUCAACCUAUUAUAAUAAUAUUACUUAAAUAAAGCUAAUGUGAUGGGAAAUAAAAAGGUUGAAAUAAGGCUUCAACCUUUAUAGUAAAUUACUCAAUUGAUUGAACUUUGAGACAGAUGAUUGCGCGACCUCUUUUCGUUUUGCAUUNNNNNNNNNNNNNNNNNNNNNNNNNNNNNNNNNNNNNNNNNNNNNNNNNNNNNNNNNNNNNNNNNNNNNNNNNNNNNNNNNNNNNNNNNNNNNNNNNNNNNNNNNNNNNNNNNNNNNNNNNNNNNNNNNNNNNNNNNNNNNNNNNNNNNNNNUUAAGGAUCAAGUUUCUUAUUGAGUUUGCUGUUGGUUUUGAAUUUGCAGAACACUUGAAUGUCACUGAUUUUCUUUGACUCUUUGGCUUAAGCUGGACGUCAAUGUCCUCUCCUUCACUGUCGUCAUCAUAAUCUUGGUCGUCAUCUGAGUAUGAGACAACUGUAGCAGCUGCCUCUGUCAGGUUGAUGUGUCUGGCUUGAAGAACAGUUUGCCGAGAGACACCUUGAUAGACCAAUGCAGAUGGUUUAUUCACAUUUGCUUGACCAGACAGUUUAGUAAUGUUGUUGUUAGCAUUUUGUAGUAUCUGCUGCUGCUCGAUCAGUUCCUCUGCAUUUCUUUUAGCAUUGGCAUUUUCUGGUGCAGUAUAUGUUUCAGUAUGAUGCAAGUUUGAUACCUUCUUAUCUGAAUCAGCAUCGCAAGGUAUUUUCGAUGGAGUAAUAGCUUGUAUUUUGCAUAUAUGAGCAUGAAUUGCUCUUGACAGUCUUCUGUAUGUGUAUCAGUUGAUUGAGGAAAAAUUUUUUGGAUUCCUUUCAGAUGUACAAUGCCUCUGUGAUGUUGUCUAUCCAGUUCAGCCAAUUGCUCAAAGUGUGAAAUUGAAAGAAUCUGAUCUUAUGUAAGCUGCAUUGCCUCUGCAUGAUUAAGGAACAAAUUUUCGGCAUGACUAGCUUUCACGAGUAGGCACCAUCACGACUACCGAUGAAGGAAAAUCCGGGUUGUGAUAAUAUUAGGUACAUUAAUACUUGGAUCACAUUCCACUACAUCAAAUAUGUUAAUAACAUUAAAUGGUUCAUUUAAAAAUUCCAGUAAAGUCCUAAUGCCAUAAUCACCUUCUAUUUCAGAAUAUGAACCAGAAGGACCAUUAACUAUUAGUUGUUGGACUCCUAUAUACCCCAAGUUAGAAACAUAUUCAUCCACUAAAUCAUUGAAGAAAAGCAAGUCGAAGUCAAAACCUUUCUUAAUGUGACAAAAUUUUCUUAAGUAUGCAAUGAGUAGCUUUUUGACCCACUCUUUGCCAUGAUGAAAGACCAAAUCUAGCUGGACCAUUAAUAGUAAACUGCAGAAUAAAGACAGUUAAAAUUAAGACUGCAAAAAAGAUAUAAAUAAAGGCAUAAAGGCAUAAAGUUAAUAAAAUAGAAUCAGCCACAAAUUAAAUAACUCAGUCAACAUUAAUAAACUAUUAUAUGCAGGCAUCGAUAUGGGGGACCAUACAUUAUAGUAUUAUACGGAAUAAAGUGUCACAGCCCUACCCUUCAAUAUUAAAAUUCUAAUUGACUGAUUUUCAACCAAAAAAUAAAACAAUUUAGGACCACAAAAUAUAAUAAUCAAAACCCUAAACCACCAAAAGGCUAUUCAAUACCAGAUGAGGCACAUGCAAACAAAAAAAGUAAAAGUAGGGUUUAUUAAUGUAAAAUCACAUGCAAGUCAAUACAAAAGUAAAACACGCACUAUCGGCUUGAAAUUAUCGUCGAAGAUAGGAGAAGUGCAAACCCUAACCAACAAAGAACUAUUCAAUAAACUCUAACUUCAAUAAAUACAAAAUUAGAAAAAAAAUAGAAAUCCUAUUACAAAUACAAACACUGAUGAACUUCAAAUAACCAAAAAAGAACAGGGUUUAUGAAAACCCUAACCAACAAAGAACAAAUCUGAAAGGGAUUCGAAAAGACAGUAAAACUCUCUUCCGAUGUGAUGACCCGAAGGGUCAUCACCGUAAUUCUCCCUUUUCUUGCACUUUCGAGGCCUUGAAAACCUCUUAUUGGCCGCUUCAAUUUGCGUGCGCAGUCCGAACGCGAAGCCGAAAAGUUUUUAUGUGGAAAUAUAUGCAUUUUGUGUUAAAAACUAUGAAUUUUGAUAAUAAUAUAUAGAUAGUUGACUUUGAUCAAUAUUUUGGUAAAAGGACCAGACGCGUGAUGUGACAGUCCCGGAGGGUUCGUAGAAAUAUAUGGGACCGGAGCGUAUUCCCAUAUUCAAUAUCUGAGGUCCCAGGCCCGAGUACGGAACUUUUGAAAGAAAUUAUUUAUGUAAAAAUAAUAUGAAAAAUUGAAAUGAAAAUGAGUUCGAAAAUGAUGGUACCGGGCUCGUAUUUUGGUUUCGAUCCCCGGUACAGGUCUUAAAUGAGCGUUUAGCGCUAUUUGUAAAGUUUUGUUGAAAACAGAUGUCAUUUGACGUGAUUCAAACUUGAAAAUGAGAAAUAAGAGCUUUAUCGUAAGUUGGAAGAAAUCAUGUGUUUUGAGAUUUGAUUCUAUGUAAAUGAUGUUAUUUUGGCAAUUUGAUCACAUGAGUAUGUCCGUAGGAUGUUUUUGAGGUUAUGUACAUGUUUGGUUUAGAGCCCUGAGGGCUCGGGAGAGUUUUGGAUAGGCGUUGGAUUGCAUUUUAGCCUUAGAAAAAAAAUGUUGUUUUCUGCUGCUGUAAUCUUCACAAAUGCGAAGAUUGACUCGCAAUUGCGAGAUUUCCCCCUGGGAAUCUCACUUUGCAAAUGUGAGGAAAAUCCCCGCAAAUGCGAUGCCCUUCCUUUUGGCCCAGUCUUUGCAAACGCGAUCCCCGACCAAAAUCCCUAAGCUCGCAAAUGCGAACAUCCUCUUCGCAAUUGCGAAUUCUGCUUUACCUGCCUGAGUUCCGAAAUGCGAACUAAAUUCUCGCAUUUCCCAUGUCUGCUAGGUUCACAUUUGCGAACCGAGCGCAAAUGCGAGAUCUGCACCUAUGCAUUUCUAUACUUAGACGAUUUUAAACCUCAUUCUUCAUAUUUACAAAACCCAAACUUCCAUUGGCAAUUUUCUCUCAACUCUUUCUUCCCCAAAUCAAUUGUAAGUCAACUUUUACUCAAUUUCUUCGAUCUUUAACAUCUUUUAUCAUGAUUCCAUCUUAAAAUCAAAGCUUUCAACGGGUAAAAAUGGGGAUUUGGGGUAGAACCUAGGUUUUCUUAAAAUUGGGGAUUUGGACCUCAAUUUGAGGUCCGAUUUCAAAACAAAUCAUAGAUACGAACUCGUGGGGGAAUGGGUAACCAGGUUUGGUUCGAAUCUAGGGUUUUUACCACGUGGGCACGGGGGGAAUUUUGGGAAUUUUUGGGUAAAACUUUGAGAAAUUCAUUCGUAUGCAUUCAAAUUGAUUUAACUAGCAUUAGUUGAUACAUUUGGGUAACUUGUGACUAGAUUCGAGAGGUUUUGUUAAAAAUUCAAGGGGUAAAGCCAUCCUAGAGGCGUAGUUCAGUUUGGAGCUUUCGAGGUAAGUGUUUGAUAUAUUUUUGGCUUGAAAGAAUAGGAUUAGGACAAUAUUAUCUAUGUGCUAUGUGGAACCGGUGUAUAGGUAUGGUGACGGUUACCUAUGCACUGGAGUCUAGCAUGACCGUGAGUCGUAGUUUCUUUUAAAUUUGAAAGAUGUGAAACAAUUGAGUUAAUUACUAGCUAAAUAAAUAAUGAAGUGAUAGUUGAGAAGAAAAUGAAUUAAAGAAGGAAGUGUGGUAUUUUUCCAUUGCCGGAACUUAUUGUCGGUUCGUUUUGCCUUGCUAGGACUUGUUGUUGAAUUAUUCUCCCUUGCCGUGAUGCUUAAUCUUGAUGUAUAUUCCCUUCCCCGAUUUGGUUGUGGCCGUUGAUUGGGUGAGGAAGAGAGGUUAUGCACGAAGGGUCUUUCCUUUCCAUGUUUUGAUGAUUAUGCACGAAGGGUCUUUCCGUGCCAUGUUUUUUUCAUUAUUGGAGCACGAAGGGUCUUUCCGUGCCUUGAUGUGAAAGAUAUGUGAGGAAAAAGAAAAAGUGUAAUGCCGUGCAAUUAUAUUUGACAUUUUGGUGGGAAUUGAGAGUAAAAGCACGAAGGUUGGUGCCGUGCAGUUGUUGAUUUACUUGCUCUCUUUCAUUGAUGUUAACUAUUCACUUUCCAUCUCUUUGUUCGUGGUCUCAUAUCUAAAUUGUCACACCCCACAACAUGUCCCCUCCCUGUUAUCUAUUUAAAUUUUUGUAUAUUUUUCCUUCAUUGCACAUAUAUCUGUACUGGGUAAUUGUGGUAGGUCCGGUCUAGCCUCGUCACUACCUCGCCGGGGUUAGGCCAGACACUUACCAGCACAUAGGGUCGGUUGUGCUGAUGCUAUUCUUCUGUACCUUUUGUGCACAGGUCAAGAGACAGCUUACGGACCGCAACAGUAGAUUGGGAGCGAGCCUUAUAUCCAGAGACUCCUAGGUAGUUCGCUGGCGAGCGCGGGCCCUUAGUCUCUUCUAUUUCAUUUGUGUUUGUUUUCAUUGUAUCGAAAUAGACUCCUUAUGUAUUUUCUUUCAAACUCUUAUUUGUAGUAUUUUAUAGUAGUCCGUGAGUAUUGUGACAUUAAUUGAUGUUAACUUUUUCCGCAUUUCUUUCAUUUUAUAUUUAAUUAAGACUUCCUCUUGAAUUUAUUUUUUUUAUUAUUAUCUUGUUGAAAAUUAGUUGAAAAGGUAUGUUUAAGUUGGCUUGCCUAGCUCCGACAGUAGGCGCUAUCACGACUCCCGAUGGUGGAAGAUCCGGGUCGUGAUACAAGCCUUCAAAAUAAUCAAUGAGUUAUCUAAUUGUGAGUACUGUGACACUAAAUCUUGGGUAGAGGAUGAUGUUGACUUUUUCCACAUUUCUUUCAUUUCAUGUUAAAUUAAGACUUCCGCUUGAAUUAAUUGUUUUAUUAUUAUCUUGUUGGAAUUUGGAUGAAAAGGUAUGUUUAAGUUGGCUUGCCUAGCUCCGAUGGUAGGCGCCAUCACAACUCCCGAUGGUGAGAAACCCGAGUCAUGACAAGUUGGUACCAGAGCACUAGGUUACUUGGGUCUCACAACUCAUGGAAAAGCUCGGUAGAGUCUGAGGGACCGGUACGGAGACGUUUGUAUUUAUCCCCAGAGGCUACAGAGUUUGGAAAAUUUCCCUUUUUUCGUUCUUGUCAUACGAUUUUGUUCCUCAAAUAUUGAUUUUAGUUAUACUUAGUUCUUUCGCAGAUGGCGAGAAUACGUGCGAUUUCUUCAACCGCACACCAACCCGAGCUCCUAGCAGCAGCUCCCUUGAGGGGAAGGGGCUGAGGCCGUACCAGAGGCCGUAGUAGGUGCAGAGCUCAGCCCCAGGAAGCAUUCCUGAGGUGGGGCCUCAUAUUGACUUUGAUGAGGAGGUUCCAGCCUUAGCAGCUCCAGUGGGCCUAGCUCAGGUCCCAGGAGGGAUUAUGUUUCCCCCGGAUCUCCAGGAUGCUCUCGUUCGUAUAGCAGGCUUUAUGGACAGUGUCACUAGAGCGGAUCUGCUGGCAGUAGCACCAGCCACUUCUCAGGCUGAAGGAGGGGUUCAAACUUCAGCAAUGCACACUCUAGAGUAGGUAGCCCCCUGAACUCAGGUUACAGUGGUUCAGCCCGCAGUGGCAACUCAGACAGAUGUAACAGCUCAGGCCGAUGAGGGAGCGGCCAUGUCUUUAGAUGCUUUUUGGAUAAUUGAUUGAUUCGCCAAGCUUUUCACCACCACUUUUAGCGGUGCUUCAUCAGAGGAUCCACAGUAUUUUUCUAUUAAGUUGUCAUGAGAUCCUCAGGACGAUGGGCAUAGUGGAGACCAACAUAGUUUAUUUCUGCACUUUCAGGCUUGCUGGUUCCGUCAAGACUUGGUGGAGUGAUUAUUGCCUAUCUAGACUAGCAGGGUCUCCAUCUUUGACAUUGGAUCUGUUUGCAGAGUUAUUCCUGGAGAAGUUUCUCCCCGUCACUCAGAGAGAGGCACUUUGUAGGCAGUCUGAGCACCUUUAGCAGGGCUCCAUGACAGUUACACAGUACGAGACUAGAUUUGUUGAUUUGACACACUAUGCAGUUGUGAUACUCCCUACAUAGCGAGAGAGGGUUCAGAGAUUCAUCGACGGAUUAAUUCAGCCGAUUCGUCUUCAGAUGGCCAUGGGAGUUGGUAGUGACAUUACCUUUCAGGAGGCGGCCAAUGUAGCCUGCCAGGUAGAGAUGGCACUUAUUCGAGGGGGUAGUCAGGGGUCAGACAAGAGGCCUCGCCAUUCUGGUAGGUUUAGUGGUGCCACAUCUGGAGGCAUGGAUUCAUAUGACAAAGGCCACUCUCAGAGGCCCUUCCAUUCGGCACUUUAGGUUCCUCUUGUUACCCAAGGCGGUGGUGGUCCUCAGCAGUAUUAUUCAGAUCUCAAUGCACCACCAGCCCCUAUCAGUGCAUCGCCACUUUAGAGCUUCAGGGGAGGACAUACAGGUCGACGGGGCCAACAGUCUCAGCAGUCGAGGGCAUGUUAUGGUUGUGGUGACCCGAGUCACAUUGUCAGGUUUUGCCAUCGAGCCUUGAGUAGUUACCAGCAGCAGGGUCCUUGCCCUACGAGUCAGGCAGCAGGUGAUCUACACUCUGCCCAUCCAGCUAGAGGCAGGGGUAGGGAUCAUAGAGGUGGAGGGAGAGACUAUAGAGGUGGAGCUCGGACCGCCAAAGGCAGGGGUCAGCCAGCAGCCGAUCGCCCCAUAGUCACAGUUCAGGGAGGUGGGGGUCAACCCCGUUUAAUGUUUUUCCGGCCAGACCUGAUGCUGAGUCAUCAAAUGUCGUGACUACAGGUACUAUUCUGGACUGUGAUAGAGGUUCUUCUGUGUUAUUUGAUCUGGGAUCUACGUAUUCUUAUGUGUCGUCCUAUUUUGCACCCUAUUUAGUCAUGCCUAGUGAGGCCAUGGGUAUUCUUGUAUAUGUGUCCAUACCUGUUGGUAAUUCUAUAGUGGUCGACCGAGUGCAUCGUUUAUGUGUGGCGGUAUUUGAGGGUCUUGAGACCCGUGUCGACUUAUUGCUCUAUGAUAUGGUGGAUUUUGAUGUCAUAUUGGGGAUGGAUUGGUUGUCCCCAUAUCAUGCUAUUUUGGAUAGCCACGCCAAGACCGUGACCUUGUCCUUGCCAGAUUUUCCCCAACUUGAGUGGAAAGGGACCACAGGUCAUGCCACCCGUAGUGCUAUUGCGCAUGUCAAGGCUCGACGGAUGGUCGAGAAGGGGUGCCUAGCAUAUCUGGCGUAUAUUCGCGACCCCAGCACAGAGGUUCCAUCUAUUGACUCUAUUACUAUUGUUUAGGAGUUCCCUGAGGUUUUCCCUUCUAACCUACCGGGUAUGCCGCCCGACAAGGAUAUUGAUUUAUGUAUUGAUCUGGCUCCUAGCACUCAGCCCAUUUCCCUUCUGCCGUAUCGCAUAGCCCCACCAGGCUUGAAAGAGUUGAAGGAGUAGCUUCAGGACUUUCUUGAUAAGGGUUUCAUUAGACCUAGUGUAUCACCUUGGGGUGCACCACUGUUAUUCGUGAAGAAAAAUGAUGGGUCGAUGAGGAUGUGCAUUCAUUACCGGAGGUUGAAUAAGGUGAUGAUAAAGAACAAGCAUCCACUACCGAGGAUUGACAAUUUGUUCGACCAACUUCAGGGCGCUAGGGUGUUCUCGAAGAUAGAUUUGAGGUCAUGUUAUCAUCAGGUGAGGAUUAGGGCGUCUGGUGUUCCUAAGACAGCAUUUUAUACUCGGUAUGGGCAUUACGAGUUGUUGGUCAUGUUAUUUGGGUUGACCAAUGCCUCGGCAGCAUUCAUGGAGUUGAUGAAUCGAGUGUUCAUGACCUAUUUGGAUCUGUUCGCAAUUGUAUUCAUUGACGACAUUUUGAUAUACUCCCCCGGUCAGGAAGAGCGUGCGCAGCACCUCAGAGUGGUUCUUCAGACUCUGAAGGAUAGUUAGUUGUACGCCAAGUUCUCGACGUCCGAGUUUUGGUUAAGUUUAGUCGCAUUCCUGGGUCAUGUCGUAUCAGUAGAGGGUAUUCAGGUAGUUCCGAAGAAGAUAGAGGCAGUCAAGAACUAGCCUCGACCAGCUUUAGCUACAGAGAUCUGAAGCUUUUUGGGGUUAGCUGAUUACUACAGACGGUUCAUGGAGGGGUUUUCGUCCAUUGCCUCCCCAAUGACUAUGUUGACCCAGAAGGGUGCCCAGUUCAGGUGGUCAGAUGAGUGCGAGGUGAACUUCCAGAAGCUCAAGACAGCUCUGACUACGGCACCGGUAUUGGUUUUGCCCACGGGAUUAGGGCCUUAUAUUGUUUACUGUGAUGCUUCCCGCGUCGGGCUUGGCGCAGUGUUGAUGCAGAAUGGCAAGGUCAUAGCAUAUUCUUCGAGGAAGUUGAAGGUCCACGAAAAGAAUUACCCAGUUCAUGACCUAGAGUUGGCAGACAUUGUUCACGCCUUGAACAUCUGGAGGCAUUAUUUAGAUUGUGUGAUGUGUGAGGUGUACACAUAUCACAAGAGCCUUCAGUACUUGUUCAAGCAGAAGGAGUUGAAUUUGAGACAGUGGAGGUGGUUGGAGUUGCUGAAAAACUAUGAUGUUUCUAUGUUAUACCACCUGGGGAAGGCUAAUGUAGUGGCAGAUGCAUUGAGUAGGAAGUCCGCCAGCAUGGGUAUUCUUGCCUAUAUUCCGGUCAGCCAGAAACAGCUUGCCUUGGAUGUUUUGGCCUUGGCCAAUAGAUUUGUGAGAUUGGAUAUUUCUCAGCCCAGUAGGGUGUUAGCUUGCACAGUUGCUCGUUCAUUGGUUAUGGAGUGCAUUCGAUAGCGACAUUUUGAUGACCCCCAUUUGUGUAUCCUGAGGGACACGGUACAGCGGGGAGGUGCCAAGAAAAUGACCCUGGGAGAUGAUGGUGUAUUGAGAUUGCAGGGGCGAGUUUGUGUGCCCAAUGUUGAUGGGCACCUAGGGAAAGCCAAUGUGGUGGCAGAUGCAUUGAGUAGGAAGUUCGCCAGCAUGGGUAGUCGUGACUAUAUUUCGGUCAGCUAGAGACCGCUUGCUUCGGAUGUUCAGGCCUUGGCCAAUGGAUUUGUAAGAUUGGAUAUUUCUGAGCCUAGAAGGGUGUUAGCUUGAACAGUUGCUCGUUCAUCAUUGAUGAAGCAUAUUAGGGAGCGCCAGUUGGGCGAUCCCUAUUUGUGUGUCCUGAGAGACACGGUGCAGCGGGGAGGUGCCAGGGAAAUGCCUUUAGGAGAAGAUGGCGUAUUGAGAUUGCAUGGGCGAUUUUCUGUGCCCAAUGUUGAUGUAUUCGGAAUUCGAUAAUAGCGGAGGCCCACAACUCUCGGUAUUCUAUUCACCCGGGCGCUGCAAAGAUGUAUCAAGAUUUGAGACAGCAUCAUUGGUGGCGCAGGAUGAAGAAAUACAUUGUCGCAUAUGUGGCCCAUUAUCUGAAUUGACAGCAGGUUAAGUACGAGCAUCAGAGGCCCGGUGGGUUAUUUCAGAGGAUUGAGCUUCCCGAGUGGAAGUGGGAGAGAAUCACCAUAGAUUUUGUUACUGGCCUUCUGAUGACUCGGAAGAAAUUUGAUGCUAUAUGGGUUAUUGUUGAUAGCUGACCAAGUCAGCGCAUUUUAUUCUAGUUUCCACCACCUAUUCAUCCGAGAGAUAUGCUGAGAUUUAUAUCAGAGAGAUCGUUCGCCUUCAUGGGGUGCCCAUAACUAUUAUUUCGGACAGGGGUCCGUAGUUUACCUCGCAUUUUCUGAGAGCGGUACAGCAUGAGUUGGGUACCCAGGUUCAGUUGAGUACAACAUUUCUCCGAGAGGACUACUCAAAUUCUUGAGGAUAUGCUCUAACCCUGCAUUAUUGAUUUUGGAGGCUCGUGGGACCAGUUCUUGCCUUUAGCAAAGUUUUCCUACAACAACAGCAAUCAGUCCACCAUUCAGAUGGCUCUGUAUGAGGCUGUAUGGUAGGCAGUGUCAUUUUCCAGUCGGAUGGUUUGAGCCGGGAGUGGCUCGACUAUUAGGUACAGAUCUAGUACAUGAGGCCUUGGAUAAGGUCAAGAUCAUUCAGGAUAGACUUCGGUCACCAGUCAGAUGGUUUGAGCCGGGAGAGGCACGGUUAUUAAGUACAAAUCUAGUUAUGGAGGCCUUGAAUAAGGUCAAUAUUAUUCAGGGUAGACUUCGGUCAAACUCAGCUUAGGCAGAAGAGCUAUGCAUAUCGCAAGGUUAGGGAUGUUGCUUUCAUGGUUGGUGAGCGAGUAUUACUCUGGAUAUCACCUAUGAAGGGCGUUGUGAGGUUCAGGAAAAAGGGCAAGCUUAGCCCUAGGUUUGCUGGCCCAUUUGAUAUUCUCGUUCGCGUGGGGAAGGUGGCUUAUAGACUCGCCUGUCGCCUAGCUUGUCAGCAGUGCAUCCGAUUUUUCAUGUAUCCAUGCUUCAGAGGUAUCAUGGCGAUCCCGCCCACUUGUUAGAUUUCAGCACUGUCCAAUUGGACAAGGAUCUGUCAUAUGAGGAGGAAUUAGUGGCUAUUUUAGACCGGCAAGUUCGACAAUUGAGGUCGAGGGGUUUUCCUUCAGUGCGUGUUUAGUGGAGAGGUCAGCCUCCUAAGGCAUCGACACGGGAGUCCGAGUCUGAUGUGCGGAGCCGUUAUCCACAUCUAUUCCCCAACUCAGGCACUUAUUUCUUUUGUCCGUUCGAGGACGAACGGUUGUUUUAGAGAUGGAGGAUGUGAAGACCCAAAGGGUCAUCACCGUAAUUUCCCAUUACCUUGCACAUAUGAGGCCUUGAAACCUCAUAUUUGGCUGCCUCGAUUUGCAUGCGCAAUUCGAGUGCAAAUCCGGAAGAUUAUAUGUGGAAAUAUAUGAAUUUUGUGCUAAAAACUGUAAAUUUUGAUAAUAAUAUUGAUAUAGUUGACUUUGGUCAACAAUUUGGGUAAACGGACUCGGACCCAUGAUGUGACGCUCCCGAAGGGUUCGCAAAAAAAUAUGAGAUCCUGACGUAUUCCCGGAAUCAAAAUCCGAGGUCCCAAGCCCGAGUACGAAAUUUUUGAAGGAAAUUGUUCAUCUGAAAAUAAUAUGAAAUAUUGAAAUAAAAUGAGUUAGAAGGUGAUGGUAUCGGGCUCAUAUUUUGGUUCUGAUGGUCGAUGCAGGUCUUAAAUGAGCUUUAAGCGCUAUCUAUAAAGUUUGGUUGAAAACGGACGUCAUUUGACGUGUUUCGGACUUGAAAAUGAGAAAUAAGAGUUUUAUGGAAAGUUGGAAGAAAUCAUGUGUUUGAGGUUUGAUUCUAUGUAAAUGAUGUUAUUUUGGCAAUUUGAUCGUACAAAUAAGUCCGUAGGAUAUUUUUGAGGUUGUGCGCACGUUUGGUUUGAAGCCCCGAGGGCUCGAGAGAGUUUUGGAUAGGCAUUGGGUUGCAUUUUAGCCUUAGGAAAAAUUUGUUGUUUUCUGCUGCUGUGAUCUUCGCAAAUACGAAGAUGUGACUCGCAAUUGCGAGAUCUCCCCUCAGGCUUCUCACUUUGCAAAUGCAGUGAAAAUCCUCUCAAAUGUGAUUCCCUUCCUUUUAGCACAGUCUUCGCAAAUGCGAAGACUUCUUCACAAAUGCGAUCCCCGACCAAAAUCCCUGAGCUCGCAAAUGCGAACAUCCUCUUCGCAAUUACGAAGUCUGCUUUCCCUGCGUGAGUAAAAAAAUGUGAACUAAAUUCUGACAUUUCCCAUGUCUGCUGGGUUCACAUUUGCGAACCCAAUCUCGCAAAUGCGAGAUCUGCACCUGUGAAUUUCUAUGCUUAGACGAUUUUAAACCUCAUUCUUCAUAUUUUCAAAACCUAAACUUCCAUUGGUGAUUUACUCUCAAGUCUUUCUUCCCCAAAUCAUUUGUAAGUCAAUUUUUACUCAAUUUCUUCAUUCUUAUCAUGAUUUCAUCCUAAAAUCAAAGCUUUCAAUCGGUAGAAAUGGGGAUUUGGGGUAGAACCUAGGUUUUCUUAGAAUUAGUGAUUUGGACCUCAAUUUGAGAUCUGAUUUCAAAACAAAUCAUAGAUAUGAACUCGUGGGGGAAUGGGUAACCUGGUUUGGAUUGAACCUCAAGUUUUAACCACGUGGGAUCAGGGGGCAUUUUGGGAAUUUUUGCGGAAAACUUUGGGAAAUUCAUUUUUAUGCACUCAAAUUGAUUUAACUAGCAUUUGUUGAUACAUUUUGGUAACUUGUGACUAGAUUAGAGCGAUAUUGUUGCGAAUUCGGAGGGUAAAGCCAUCCUAGAGGCGUGAGUUGAGUUGGAGCUUUCGAGGUAAGUGUUUGAUCUAACUUUGGCCUGAGUGAAUAGGAUUUUAGGACAGUAUUUGCUAUGUGCUAUGUGGAGUCGAUGUAUAGGUGUGGUGACGGUUACCUAUGCGCCUCUAGCAUGACCGUGAGUCGUAGUUGCUUUUAAAUUUGAAAGAUGUGAAACAAUUGAGUUAAUUACUUACUAAAUAAAUUAUGAAGUGAUAGUUGAGAAGCAAAUGAGAUAAAUAAAGAAGCGUGGUAUUUUUCCCUUGCCGGGACUUACUAUUGAUUCGUUUUCCCUUGCUGGGACUUGGUGUUUAAUUGUUCUCCCUUGCCGGGAUGCUUAGUCUUGAUGUAUAUUCCCUUCCCCGAUUUGGUUGUGGCGGUUGAUUGGGUGAAGAAGAGAGAUUAUGCACGAAGGCUCUUUCCGUGCCAUGUUUUGAUGAUUAUGCACGAAGGGUCUUUCCAUGACAUAUUUUUUUGAUUAUUGGAGCACGAAGGGUCUUUCCAUGCCUUGAUGUGAGAGUUAUGUGAGGAAAAGCAUGAAGGGUGAUGCCGUGCAUUUAUAUUUUGGAGUUUGGUGAGAAUUGAGAGUAAAAGCACGAAGGUUGGUACCGUGGAGUUGUUGAUUUACUUGCUCUCUUUAAUUCAUGUUAAGUAUUCACUUUCCAUAUCUCUGUUCGUGGUCUCAUAUAUAAAUUUUCACACCCCAUAGCAUGUCCCCUCCCUAUUAUAUGUUUAAAUUUUUGUAUAUCUUUCCGUUGUUGCACAUAUAUAGGGUAAUUGUGGUAGGUUCUGUCUAGCCUCGUCACUACCUCGCAGGGGUUAGACCAGGCACUUACCAGCAUAUGCGGUCGGUUGUGCUGAAGCUAUACUUCUGUGCAUUUUGUGCACAGGUCAGAAGACAAAUUACGUACCGUCACAGUACAUUGGGAGCGUGCCUUCAGUCCAGAGACUCCUAGGUAGUUCGCUGGCAUGCGCGGGCCCUUAGUCUCUUCUAUUUCAUUUUUGUUUGUUUUCAUUGUAUCGAAACAGACUCCUUAAGUAUAUUCUUUUAAACUCUUAUUUGUAGGAUAAGGUUAAGUUAGGUGGAGGAAGUUGUGGAUAUUUCUUCAGCGCACUAGAGUGAGAAUAGCUAGCUAUAUGGUAAUCUUAGGUUGUUACUGGGUCAGCUACCGAGUCAGGAAGCUAUCUGUUGGAUAUUAGCUAUCUCCGUACAUAUUACCCUCCCCAGACCCCACUUGUGGGAUUUUACUGGGUUGUUGUUGUUGUUGUUGUUGUAUUUUUAGUAUUUUAUAGAAGUCUGUGAGUACUGUGACACUAAAUCUUGGGUAGAGGAUGAUGUUCACUUUUUUCGCAUUUCUUUCAUUUAAUGUUAAAUUAAGACUUCCGCUUGAAUUUAUUGUGUUAUUAUUAUCUUGUUGGAAUUUGGUUGAAAAGGUUUGUUUAAGUUGGCUUGCCAAGCUCCGACGGUAGGUGCCAUCAUGACUACCGAUAAUGGGAAAUCUGGGUUGUGUCAUCCGAAAUAUUUUUGGGAUAACUCAAGAUAAGAGAUUAAACUAACAGAAAAAUUAAUUUUUUGGAGAAAUAUUUCUUACCUUGCUUGAAAUUGCCACUGGAAGCAAAGAUCCUAACCGGUUUGAUUUCUCUCUUUUUCUUUGAAGUAGCAGAAGGUUCGAGCAAAUGAGUGAAUAAGGUGUUUUCAGAUGGGUUUAACCUAUUUAUUUGAUGGGUUUCCGAUUACGGGUUAUGGGUCGAAUAAACUAUUGAUAUUAUACAUGAAGGGUAUGUCGUAUUGUAUACUUAUAACAAUAUCAUAUAUGUUUAUAUAUAAUAUAUUGUGCAUGAUAUUUAUUAACAAUAUAUGCAUCAUAUUUUUUCUCUCAACAUAUACAUGAGAUAAACUAAAGAGAUAUUAUACAAUGAAGGUAUGAUGUGGUGUUGUAAUGUCCUGACCCGUCAUCCCGAAAAUUAUCGCCCCUUUUUUCCCCGUUUUAUGCUUUUAUAUGUUUCAAUAUAUGUGUUGGAGAGUUUGAAGUAAUUCGAAUGGAGUUUGGGUAGAACUGAGACAAUUAGUCUCUUAUGAGAAGGUGUUGGAAAAGUCAACCGAAUGUUGACUUAUGAGUUAGAGGGCUCAGAAUGGAUUUCCGAUGAUUCGAAUAGUUUUGGAUGAUGAUUUUUGACUUAGGAGCGAAAUCGGAAUUGAAUUUGGAGGUCUGGUGUAGAAUUAGGCUUGAAUUGGCUAAGUUAGAAUUUUGGCGAAGUCCGAUUGAUACGUGAGAUUUUGACCAGAGGGUCGGAAUGGAAUUCCGACAGUUGCAGUAGCUCCGUUAGUAAGUUUGGCUAUGCGUGCAAAUUUUCAGAUCAUUUGGAGGUGUUUAGGUCAGAUUUUGGAUCAAAUGCAAGUUUUGGAAGUUUUAGUUUAAGUUAUGCUUGAAUCCGUGGUAAUUUGAUGAUUUUUGUGUCUAUGACAGUGUUUUUGUGUUACGAGCAAGUUUGAAUGAAGUAAUAAGAUGUAUCUGUGCAUUUCGUUGGGGUCCCUAGGGCCUUGGGGUGAUGUCAGAUGAUGAAAACGAGAAUCUUUGAAAUUGCAACAGGUCUGUUGCACGAAUCUCCUGAUAUUUCCUCAAAAGCGGAAAAGCAAAAGUGGCUACUGCAAAAGCAGUAAGAGACCAGAGAAGCGGUCAUGGAAUGCAUGAGGGACCGCAGAAGCGGUCAUCGGAUCACGGAAGCGGAGACCGCAAAAGAGGAAGGUGGCUUAUAGACUCGCCUGUCGCCUAGCGGUCAUGGAAUGCAUGAGGGACCGCAGAAGCGGUCAUCGGAUCACGGAAGCGGAGACCGCAAAAGCGGCCUAAGACCGCAGAAGCGGCCCAAUUGACUUAAAAGAAAUCGCAGAAACAGUUUAUUGGCCGCAAAAGGGACAACCGGAGAAGUAGUCUACUUUUUCCAGAAGCGAAAAUCGCCGAGGGUUUUAAUAAAAUAGUGCUAUCAAAUUUCAAAAGUUUGAAAAAUAUUUUAGACUUCGGGGAAGGGCAUUUUGUGGACGAUUUUGAAGAACAUCCGUGGGAUUUCAUCAGGUGAGAGUUCUUAGACUCGGUUUUAUGUUGAUAUGAUGUAUAAACAUAGAUUAAACACUGAAAAACCCAGGAAUUAAGGGGUAAAAAAUAGAGGUUAGGGCUGAAGCCUAUGAAGGUGUAAAGUUGAAAUUUGAGGGGUAAAACGGAUUCCUUUUUGGUGAAAUUUAUAUGUACGAACUCGUGGCGAGACGAGGAAUCCAAAGAUGUGAUCUUCAAAAUUUUUCGAGAAGAGGGCCCGGGGCUCAGGUUAUACCAACUUCGUGAUUUUUAGCAUUUUUGAAUAAUUUCUAUUGGGUUAUGUUUAUUUAGCUUAUAAUAACGUAUUCGUUGUGGUUUUAACUAGAUUCGACGCUCAUAGAUGGAGAUUCAAAUGUAAAAGGCAUUGCAGACCAGUCUACGACCGGUUAGAGGUGAGUAGUUUGUAUUGAUGAUGGCCUGAGGGUUUGAAACCCUGGUUUAUCAUAUCGUGACGCUAUGGUAGUGCGUGACUCGCACCCCAUGGCAGGUGCGGGAUGGUAUAUGCUUGGGGAUAGUGACUUGGUCCAUUCGAAAAGAUGAAUAUAAAUUAUUGACGGCUGAUACACAUAUUGUGUUGUUGAUAAUUGGGCUUAUGGCCAUGUUUGGGGCCUUGUGCCAAUUUGUAGUACCCGUCUAGGGUGAAUAUCCGUGUGAUACCAUGAUUUGCAUAUUCAUUGAUCUCAGUCCUAUUCUUAAUCACCAUUGUUAAAUGCUUAGUCACCUUAUUUCUAAAAUUGACUAAUUAAAUUAUAUUCACCUUGAUAAUUGGAAACUGGCAAAGGAUUAGAUUUAAUCUGUUAUGUGACUUACAUGCAUACUGUGGACUAAGUAUUGGGUCAGGCUGCACGCCACAUUGGUGAUAUGAUGAUAAUGCGCUUGGGCUGAAGGAUCCCCUUAGGAGUCUGUACACACCCCCAAUGAGUGUCGUCGACGUCAAAUUGAUCGGGCUGUACACCGUAGCGUAUUCAUGUGCAUUGCAUCUUUAUCUGAUACUUGAUUGCUAUUUUGAUACUGUUUUGUUGUUAGUUCGUAGCUAAGUUAUAAGACUCUUAGUGGUAGCUUUGCUUUGUGGCAUUUUGUGGAUUUCUUAUCUUUAGACAUUUUUCUGUGCUUAUUAUUCACUGAGUCGGUAGUACUCACCCCUAACCCCUACACCUUGUGUGCAGAUUCAGGUACACCGGAGGCUUAGCUAACACUCGUAGUCUCCAGAUAUUUUUCCAGAGUCACUGAGGUAGCUGAUUGACGUUCACAGGACCUGGAAACUCUUCAUAUUUAAGCUUAUUAUCAUUAUUAUAUACAUUUCCCAACUUUUAUAUUUUCAUUCAGAUAUUAUUAAUCAUUUUUGUUUAGAGGCUCUUGCCUCGUGACCCCAGAUCUUAUGAGUGUGUUGAUUGGUUUUCGUGUUUAUCCUUAUUACUCUAUUAAUAUUUUGGAUUACUAUUCUAAAUUACUAUAAUAUUUCUUAAAUUGUUGGUUUUUGAGACUUAGUGUUAAAUUGAAAGCGAUUGUUGGUCAGGCUUGCCUAGCUUUAGGGUUGGGUGCCAUCACGACCAGGUUUGUGUCGUGACAAGUUGGUAUCAGAGCCUAGGUCACUAGGUCUCACGAGUCAUGAGCCAAUUUAGUGGAGUCUUGUUUAUGGGUGUGUCGUGCACCAUACUUAUAAGUAGGAGGCUACAGAACUUUUAGGAAAACACCUCACUUUAUUGGAAUUUAUAUCGUGGGUUGUUAACGUGAAAACUAAAUCUCUGUAUUCUAUUCUCUCGCAGAUGGCGAGAACCCGUGCUAACGGAUGUGGAGGACGACCCCAAAAACCACCUGCAAGAGGCCGUGGACGCGAUCUUGGUGCUGGACGAGGCAGACAGACAAGGGCAACAUCUCCUGACCCACCAGCUGCCCAGGUCUAGGAUCAGCCUCAACUUGUAGAUGCUCCAGCAGCACCUAUUCAGGCACCGGAAGUGCCCAUUGUGAUUCCUGCUCUCCGGGAGGCUUUGGCUCAAAUUUUGUCAGGCUUCACUGGCCUGGCUCAGGCAGUUUCAGCCACUACAACAGUGGCUGCUUCUCAGACAGGGGGUGGUCAUCUGACUCCCCAUGCUCGCACUCUCGAGCAGGUUGUUCAGGGCGUACAUACAUGUGAGGUAGCUUGAGCAGGUUGUGUAGGGCUUACAGACACCUUAGGUAGCUCCAGUUCAGCCAGUUCCGCCAGUUUAGCCAGUUGUCCCAGUUGCAUCGUCGCACCUGCUCCAGCUCACGUGGUUCCAGUUAUGCUAGACGAGAAGCGCAUUUGGAGAGGUUUGAUCGGCUUCAGCCUCCGACACUCAGUGGUGCUGAGGGUGAGGAAGCCCAAGGUUUUCUUUAUAUAUGCCAGCGUAUGCUUCGUACUGCGGGUAUUCUGGAGUCUAAUGGAGUGGCUUUUACCACCUUCCAGUUCACAGGAGCUGCAUUUACAUGGUGGGAAGAGUUCGAGAGGCGUAGGCCUACUGGGGCAGCGCCCCUCACUUGGCAGCAGUUCUCCACGGUAUUUUUGGAGAAGUAUGUGCCCCAGUCUCACAGAGAGGAGCUGCGCCGUCAGUUCGAGUGGUUGGCUUAGGGAGAUAUGUCAGUGACUCAAUAUGAGUUGCAGUUUACACAGUUGGCUAGGCAUUCUAUGUGGAUGAUCCUUACAGAUAGAGAGAGGAUCAGGAGGUUUUUAGACGGCCUCAACUAUCCGAUCCGUAUAUUGAUAACUAGAGAGGGCUACAGCAACUACAUUUGAGGAGGUUGUUGAUGCGGCUCGACUGAUUGAGAUAGAUCGCCGUCGGGAGCGUAUGGAGAGGGAGGCCAUCUAUAAAUCUUCUGAUCCUCUCUCCAUCUAUCAGGAUCAUCCACAUAACAUUCCUAGCCAGCUGAGUAAACCGCAAUUCAUACUGAGUCACUAUAAUAUCUCCCUGAGUCAACCACUCGAACUGAUGACGCAACUCCUCCUUGUGAGACUGGGGUACAUACUUCUCCAAAUAGACCAUGGAGAACUGCUGCCCAAGAGGCCUCGAGGUUCAGGUAAUUUUGGUGGUGCUCCAUUUAGGGGCCAGUUUCAUCAUGGUAGAGGUUGUUCUUUCGGGCCUCUUCAGUCCUGACGCAAAGAGUCUAGUGAAGCCUCUAUAGGUUGGGGCCAUCAGGGUGAUCAGCCGAGUCAGCCUGCACUGAGUUCUCUUCUAGCUCAGAGCUCUGCUCUUGCUCCUUUAGCUCAGGGUUCGUCUGCAACGAGGGGUUCUAAUCAGUCCCCUUCUCCAGUUUUAGUUCGUUGCUAUGGUUGCGGUGAGUUGGGUCACAUGAGGAGACAGUGUCCUCGACUCGCAGUAUGCAGUCUCAGCAGAGAUAUUAGCCCUUGUCUUCUGCUCAUGUUUCUUCAGCUCCCACUCAGGCAGCUAGGGGUGGAGGCCGGGUAGCCAGAAGUCGCCCCAAGGGUGAGAACCGUAUUGGAGGUAGCCAGGUGUGACGACCUGGCCCAUCGUCACACGAGUUACCGCCGCGUUUUCCCCAUUUUACACUUCUAUAUGUUUCAUUAUAGGUGUUAUUAGAGUUUGAAGUAAUUCAGACAGAGUUUGGUUGGAAAUAAAACAAAUAGUCUCUUUAAGAGAAAGUUAAUUUAGAAAACUCAACUGGAUGUUGACUUAUGAGUUAUAGGGAUCAGAAUGGAUUUCCAACGAUUCAACUAGUCUAGGGUGGUGAUUUAUUACAUGGGAGUGAAAUUAGAACUGAAUUUGGAGGUCCGAUGUAGAAUUAGGCGUGAAUUGGCUAAGUUUGAAUUUCGGCGAAUUCCGGUUGAUAGGUGAGGUUUUGAUCUGGGUGUCAGAUUGGAAUUCCGAGAGUUUCUGUAGCUUCGUUAGGUGAUUUUAGAUAUGUGUGCAAGAUUUUAGGUCAUUUAGUCUCCGUUUGGUCGGGUUUUUGAUCGAGUGAAAGUUUCGGAAGUUUUAGUUAAACUUAGGCUUGAAUCCGUCGUGAAUUGAUAGUUUUUGUGUUUUUAGUCAUAUUUUUAUGAUUGGAACAAGUUUGUAUGAUGAAUUUGGGAAUGUUGGUGUUCUUGGUUGAGGUCCCGGGGGGGCUCGGGGUGGUUUCGGAUGAUUUCCAGGAAGUUUGGACUUACGAAUUUCUGCAAAAAAUAGCAGCAGUAGUGAAGAAAGAAUUUAGCCAUCGCGAUCCUGUGACUUGGGUUGCGAUCGCGUAGGCCUAGGGUACUUCUCUUCGCAUUCGCGUGGCUUUGGCCGCGUUUGCGUAGGCAAGGCAGGCUUGGUCAACGCGUUCGCGUGGAGUAGGUCGCGUUCGCGGUUUUUGUGGUCGCGAUCGCGUAGCAUGGGAAAUUUGAGGAUCGCGAUCGCGUAGGAGAAAAAUCACAUGGACAGAAGGCUUUUACUGAAAAAUUUCAGUCACGAACCCAUCAUUUUUUCACCACCUUGAGAGCUUGUUGGUAGAUUUUGAAAGGGAUUUCGACGGGAAGUGAUUGGAGGUAAGUCUCGAGGACUAGAAACACCAUUCAAUUGAAGAUUCAUCCUUUGAUUCUCUGAAAUUUGGGUACAAAUUGGAGAAACUAGGGCUUGAUUUUUGAAAUGUAAAUUGGGGAUUUGAUGGCCCAUUUGAACUCCGAUUUUGAUGAACUUUAUAUGUACGAACUCGUGGCAAGAUGACGAAUCUGGUGAUGUAAAUUUGUAAUUUUUUGAGAAGUAGGCAUGGGGCUCGGAUUUUUCCAACUUUGUGUUUUUGGGUUUUUUCGAGUUCAUUCUAUUGGGUUAUGUCCCAUUAGCCUAUUAUAACCUAUUCCUGGUGGUUUUGAUCAGAUUCUGCACUCGAGGAGCUUGAUUUGCAAGGAAAGCGCAAGGCAAGCUAGGAUUUUGGCCGGUUUGAGGUGAGUAAUGAUUAUGAAUAAUAUAUUGAGGGUUUGAAACCCUGUAUUUGCACUAUGCGGUGCUAUGUUGAGAUGAACAUGCACCGUAUGAUGAGCGUGGUGAUUUUACUACUAGGGACUCAGACUUGGUCCAUCCCGAUUGAUGACUUACUGCACUUUUGACUGAGACUGAGCUUGUACCCGUAUAUUUUGGGCUAGUUUCCAUGUUUGGGGCCUUGUGCCGAUCUGUAGAACUCCUAGGGAGCUAGCUGAUUGACCUCACUUUACCUAUUGAACACAUACCAUUUGUCCUGACUUUGACUAUAAAUCAUGAAAUAAACCGAACGUAGUAACUUGCACCCUAAAUGAGCAACACCUAGGGUUGAAUACCCUGUCUUAGCUGAGUGGGCCCGAGAGGCCAAGCCUAUAUUGACUGAGAGGGCUCAAGAAACCCGUAGUGAGUGUAUUUGAUAUAUCCCAGAUUGGGUUGCACGCCGCAGCAGUAUAUAUACAUACCUGUAUUGGAUCGUACUGCACGCCGCAGUAGUAUAUUAUUGGAUUGGACUGCACGCCGCAGUAGUAUAUUAUAUGGAUCGGACUGCACGGCGCAAGUGAUAUAUUAUAUGGAUCGGACUGCACGCCGCAGUAUUAUAGCACUAGGGCUGAAGGAGCCCCUCCGGAGUCUACAGAUACUCCAGUGAGCGCACUCGACUAUAUUUAUUGGAUCGGGCUACGCCUGCAGUAUAGUAUAUACUAUAUUGGAUUGGAUUGCGUGUCACAGCAGUGUGAGUAAAUUGUCGGGCAGAAAAUAGAAGUAUUUAUCAGUUUCUUUUCCCAGUUUAGUACUUAUUUACUGCCUUUAUCGGUAAUAUUAGAAGUGUAUGCUAUUCUUACCGGAUUUCUUACAUUCAGUUGUUAUUUAUUGCUAUUACUCACUGAGUUGGAAGUACUCACUCUACUCACUUCACCUUGCGUGUAGAUACAGGGAUCCCCGAGGCUUAGCUGCGACUAUCUACUGUCCCUCAGCUUAGUGCCGGAGUUAUCAAGGUAGAUGGUGGCGUCCGCAGGACCUGAUCUCUCCUGUUAUCUAUCUUUUUCUUCCGUAGCUAGUUUUCAUUUGUUUAAGAUAUUGUUCGGUUGUACUUAGAGGCUCAAACUUCUGAUGCCGGAUCCUUUCGGGCUGUUAUUAUUUUCGGUUCUAGAUUUCGUAGUGUUUUAUUAAUAAUAAACUGAGAAUGUUAUGCUAAACUUGGUAAUUUAAGUUCAUGAUUUGGAUGGGAAUUGUCUAAAUGGUCGAGAAUUCCUAAAAAGGUGUUGGGCGUCAUCACGAUUUGGAUGAAGUGCAGCAGCAACGUAUGCCAAAUGACUUAAUUGUUGGUCCUACUGCUGAUCAAACAGCAACACCAGCUUAUUCUAGGCAACAACAAGUUAUGACUACAACUCCAAAUAUUUAAGUAGAAGAUAGAGAGCUAUAGGAUGCGAUAGUAAGCUCAAAACCUUUUAGCUCUUUAUAUCUUACUACUUUUAGCACAGGUUUAAAGAAUUGUUUUCUUAGAACAUACUUCAAUUUCUAAAUCAAAGUCGAGGUAGUUCUUCCUAAGGCCAUUUUCCUAAUAGGUAAAGGUUCAAGUAAUAAUUUGAUUUUCUUGAAAGAGCAUAGCAACAUACAUGUUAUGUUAUUAGCAUGGGCAGCAAGAGUUUACUUGAACACACAGUAUUCACACAAAUAUUUGGAUCCAUUAUUUUAGUCGAAAAAUACUACCGACAGGCCUCUUCACUAAUAUUGAAUAAUGAUAGCACUUUAAGCUAUCAUAUUCCAAAAUAUAAAGAAGAUUUAUGGUCAUUCAAGACAUAAUUUCUAAAACUGAGUGGAAAAGACUUAAGUUAAUAAUCUGUUUAAAAAAUCAAACAAUAUGCAUUCAGCCAUUAGCAUAUACCUUUUAGACUAUUUUAUAGUUCAAACUCGUCUUCUGAUUCAAUUUAAAGUUGUGCAAGAAAUCCUUCUGGAUAAUCCCAAAUAUAUCCGUCAUAUGAUAAUCCCGGAUAACUUGAUCAAACAAAAUUAACAAGUAAAUAUGAAUGAAAAAAUUAAACAAAAUACAAUAUCAUAACUCCAAAUAAAGAAUAAGCUGCAUAAUUACACCAAAAGGUACAGAAUUUUACAAAUAUAAUGUUGCAAUCACAAAUAGUAAAAAAUAAACUACCCAAAUAAACAAUAAUCGUCUAAAUUUAAAAUCAUAUACGGGGAAAAUAAAGCGUACCCAUCAGAGACUUUUUCAUGAGAUGGGAUUUACUAAAUUAAUCAUAUGGAGGCUUGAUUCAGUUUUUUCUUUCUUAGGAUUAUCAAAUAAAGAAAACAGAGAUAGCACUUUUUGAGAUGGAUAUGGUAUGAUGCCUAUAAUACAAAUAUUUACAAAAAUAAAGAACUUAUAUUUGUAAAAGCAACUGAAAGGCUGAAGCUUGCAACAGUAAUAUUAUCAGGUGAAAGAAUGGAGAUAGUAGAAGUAGUCGACGAUACAGUGGCCAAAGAGAUGUGGAAAUUGUUUCCACUUUUUCCUAUUGGGUUUCCUAGAACUGAACGUACGGUAGAGCUUUGGAAAUAGUCUCAAUUUUUACGUAUAGGUUUUCCUACCGACAUAGGCCUUAUGAGAAUUGGGGGGAAAUAUUUUAUUAUGAGAAAUUUUGGUGGAAAAUUUUUUGAGAAAUAUUUUAUAUGGAAUAUUAGUGUACACUUCUAAUGUGUUGCAUUUAAUAUAAAAAUAUAACAACUCUUUAAAAACAUAGCAAUACACCUAAGAAGCUUGGACAAAAAAUUUAUAUUUAUGCAACACCUAAAAAAUAUUAUCUUUAUAUUUAAAAGGGACGCUUUACAAGUGUUACCUUAAAAUCCUUGUCCAAAUACUAUACUCAAAGAACACUCCUAAAAAGUGUUCUUAACCUUUGGCAACAUUUAUUAAGAGUUGCCUAAGUUAGUGUGGUUGUAGGCAUAAAAUGUUGUAGUGUAUGUUUGACAGCCUAAUUCAUGUGGGUUUUGGGAAUGGGAAGAUGAAAUCUUCCCGCGAAGUGAUUGGACUAAUAUUAAAGAUGUAACAUCAUCAAUUGAGGAGAUUAAGAUGCAAAGGGACAAAUUGAAAGAAGAACUAAUUGUAAUGAAGGCUAUACACCAUUAUGAAGUGGAAAAAGUCGUCAAGUUGGAAGAUAAACAUACAAAGACAAAGAUGUUGGUUAUGAUUUUCUGGCAAUUGUUUAUAGGUUAUUUAGUGGAAUCGAUGAUGAAGUGACUAUAUUGCAAAUUCAAAGUCGCUCAUGUUGAGUUUUAUAUGUGUAGUCAUAUUGUACUAGUAUUUGUAUGUUCUUUGAUUAUGAAGUUGUAGCAGUAUUUGUUGUGAAAGGGUUUUUCCCUUACUGUAUACUCCAAUUCCUAAACAUGUUGGUUUUCUUUAUAAUAUAUGAUAGUAUAUUAUCUAGUGUACAGAAACUUUAAGAUUCUAUUUCGGCAUGUUGAAUAACUACACCUAAGUGCAAAACUGAAAAAUAAAAUACAACAGCAAUCCAAGCUGUAGAUAACUGGAUGUAAGAAUUGAAAACUGUUGGAUACCACAUUAUCUGUACAGAAACUGAAACAUUUACAAACAGAAAAACUGAAUACCAUAUUAUCUAGAUGUAACAAUUCCUAAAUAGAUAAAUGAAAAACUAAAAUUGAAAAUGGAUUAAAAUGGACAAUAAUUAUCUGAACACCAACUGUCAACAUUCAUAUCAUUCACCAACUAUCAACAUUCAUAAAGUGAGUUCAUAUGACAGAUGAAUACCAUAUUAUAACCCAAAAAGAUGUCUAACACCAAGUUAUAUUAUGGCAUCUAACUGUCACAACUAAACAACCACAACCAACAUAUAAAGUUUACUAACAUGGCAGUAAUUACAACACAUCCUAAAAUUAAUAAAGUUCAAUAUUUGAAGCAAAGUUCCUUCACUUUUGCACCUUACCACUACCCUUUCUUGCAUUCAACUUGUUCAACCUUUGCUUGUUCAACUGAUUUUCAGUGAUGGCAAGUUUUUCCGGCCAUGUUAGGCCUUUUGCUAAGGAAGUAUGCUCUGAAGGCUAACUUGCACCACUUGAAUCACCAACAAAUCUAAUCUGCAUGGUUGCAGUUCGUAUACUUUGUUGCCCUUGCUUCUCAGAGGCUCUUUGAUCUUACAGCUAUGUCAGGCUCAGUUUCAAAGUUAAGGAUCUCAAAUAUUGAUCAUUGCUAGUUAGAAGUUGCUGUUGAACAAUAGGGGUUGGCAUAAACACAAAGUUCCUAGACUGACUUUUUUGACUUGGCUGGGUUACUGAUAAAUGGAAGUCAUCUUCAGUUGGGAUAUCUGCAGUUGCUGGUGAUGUACGUUGUUCAUUCAUCAACCAAAGUUAUUUGCUUUUUGUUCUUCUUUCUCAUUGAAUUGCAACCCACUGGUUAUUUUCCUUUAGAGUGCUAUUAUCAAAUAGAACACAAUUAUAUGCUAGAAUAAGGCAGAAAAAAUCAAAAGUUCAAAUUUGUUGUUCAACAGAUAUGAUUACCUUGGCACAAACCCAAGCAUUAUGUCCAGCUUCUCCACAGUUAUUAUAUGUCAUGACCCUCCUUUUUCUGGAUUGAGACCCUUGUCGUUGCCUGUUGGUUCACUCAUUUGCCUCUCUUGUUCUUUUUACCUUUGGUCUGCCAGCUUUCCUUACAAAUUCAGGUGGAUCCAUAUUCUGGGAGGGCUCUAUCUUCCAGAACCUUUCUCCUCUCACAAGUUGUAACUUAUGAGAAUAAGUCUGGAGAUAUGCCUCUUUUGAAAGAAACUAGUGAAUCUCCCUCAAAUUAUUUUGCUUCUUGUAUAGCAAGGCACAGAUUACAUGAGGACAUGGGAUUCCACAAAGGUCCCAUGUCCUGCAAGUGCAUUUUUAUGCCACCCAGAUUGACAAUAUGCCUAUCACUACUUUCUCUCACCUCAUAACAUUGGUCAGUACUUCCAUUCACAUGACACUUUUAUGCAAUGCUCAUGAAUUUGUUAUACAUGUUUAGAGUCUUAGGACUGUACUUACCUCCCCACCCCAUCACUUCAUCUUCACUAGAAUUCAACAUAUUCAUAAUAUUUGAUUUUUAUCUCCUCUAACAUCUUUAUAAUUGGCUUAUGUCUAGCUUGCAGUAUCCAUGCAUUGAAGGACCCAGUGAAGUUAUUAUCCACUGACUGGUUCUUGCAUGUAGUAUCAAAGAAGGCCCUACUCCAGCAGAUAGGUGGAUACUUUAAUAAAUCUUUAACAGCAGCUUUACCAUCAUCAUCCACUUGGCUCAUACACUUCAACUAAUCUUGGAAGUCCUCUUCAAAGAUACUUCAAGCUGCCCACUAGAUAUUUCUUGUAUUCCCGUUAUCCCCAUCUCUUGCACCAGUUUGUUAUUAUGUGUCUAACACAAAAUUUGUGGUGUGCCUCGGGAAGCAAUCCUAAGAGUUAGUCAAUUAGCCCAUACAUGUAAAGAAAAGAAGAAGCAUAAGAAUCAAUAUGUACAUAUUGGAAAAAUAAUAAAAUAAUAAAAUAAUGAAGUAAAGUGUUCAUACCUUUUGCGUAUCUGAGAUGAAAGUGAUUCCUUCACCCACCUUAAGGUCCAAAGACAUUUGCAGAAGAGUAAAAAACCACUUCCAUCUGACUUUUAUUUCUUUAUCUACAAUAGCCCAAGCAAAUGCAUAAACGUGGUUUGCAGAGUCUUGACCAACUGCUACCAAGAGCUGACCCUUAAUUUUUCCCUUUUUAAAAAGUUCCAUCCAACCCAAUAAAGGGCCUCAACCCACUCUUAAACCACAUCUUCAUUGCAUAAAAACAUAUCUACAUCCUUAGGAACCUUCUCUUGCCUUCAUCAAGAGCAUCCUUUGAUUAGUUAACUACUACAUCUCUCCAGAAUUACUACACUUCGAUUUAUUAACAUAUGCAACCAACUUAUUAUACUUAUUAGUAAACUACCUUUCAGAUUCUCCAAAAUUAAUCUUUUUGCCCUCUUACACUUUGACUCACUAACAUUUACAUUAAAUACAGCCUUCAAGCUUGCCAUCAUCUCUCUAACAUUAAUGGUUGUAUUUUCUUGUAAACUUCUCUUGAAGUGUUUAGCAAUGAUUUUGGAAUUAACCCUAUGAUUCUCAUAUGCAGGUUCACAAAAGCGCUCAGAAUAUAAAGUCCUGAAUUAAGCCCCACCCCUGAAGUAUUCCUAGAUAUGUGACAUACAAAAGGGAAGCCAGAUUUACAAAUGUACCUAAGCCUAGUUCGGUCGCUUUUAACUUGCUAUAACCCAUAACCAUUUGCAAGCGCAUACAUAUUUAUAACUUUCCUAGCUUCAGCAAUAUCUUUGAAUGUCAUUGACUUAACCAACUUUUUAUAGUCAGUUAAUUUAUCAUUAAUGUCUCUCUUCUUUUGUUUAAAAAGUUUCUCUAGUGUAUCACAUUCAUAGUCAGAAGAUACAUCAUUUUCAUUGUCAUCAGAACUAUCACUUUCAUCACAAUUAGUGGCAGCUUCAAGUUCAUAAGGUUCAUCAUGCUAUAUUAGGUACAUCAAUACUUGGUUCACAAUCCUCUACAACAAAUAUAGUCAUAGUUAGAAGAAACAAUAUUUUCAUUGUCAUCACAACUAUUACUUUCAUCAGAAUCACUGGAAGCUUCAAGUUCAUCAGAGUCAUCAUGCUCAUUGUGAUGGAUUAUAUUUGUGAUGAUCCAAAAGGUCAUUAUUUUUUAAAAAAGGAAAUUUUGUAUUUCGAGGCAUUAAAACCCUCUUUCUGCAUUAUUUCAAUUUACGUGCACAGUCUGUGCGCGUAGCCGGAAGCGAAUAUGUGAAAAUCUGUGAAAAAUGAUAAAUUUUGACCUUAAAAUAAAUUUAAGUAGACUUCGGUCUAUUUUGGGUAAACAAAUCUGGACCCGUAAUUUGACAGUCCCAGAGGGUUGUUGAAAAAAUAUGGGAUAUGGGCAUAUACCCGAAAUCGAAUUCCAUGGUCCCAUGCCCAAAAAAUAAAUUUUUAAAGAAAAUAUUUUUUGAAAUAUUUAUGAGUUUUUGGAAAUGAAACAUGCAUAAAACUUGAUGGUAUCAGACAUGUAUACUGAUUCUGGAGCCAGUACAAGUUUUAUAUGUGAUUUAAGACGGGUCUAUGAAAUUUGGUAAGAAACGAAAUCCGUUUGAGGGGAUUCGGACCCGUAGAUGUGAAAAUUGAUACUUUGAAAGUUUUGAAAUUUUACUUAGAUUUUUAUGCUAAAUUCGUGGUUUAAGAGGUUAUUUGGCAAUUUGAUCGCACGGAUAAGUUCAAAUGAUGUUUUUGAGUUAGUAUGCAUGUUUGGUUUGGAGCCCCGAGGGCUCGGGUGAGUUUCGGAAGGUUUUGAACUUAGGAAAAAUAGGUGCACAGAGGUUUUGUUCUUCGCAUUUACUCAAGUGCCAGUUUGUUCUUUGCAAACACGGAGCUUGGGAUGCAAACGCGAGAUUGUGGGGGGAGUACCCUUCGUGAACGCGUCCAGUCACUCGCGAAGGCAUAAGGUUAAAAGCCUGGGAUGGGGGUUCACAUUUGUUCUACACGAACGUGGCCAUCUGACCGUGAACGCGAAGGAUCUAGAAGCUGAAGCUCAGCGAACGCGAGCUGUGGAAUGCGAACACAGUAAUCAUCUGGGCCUGACCCAUCGCGAACGUGAUGAAGGCAUGCCUAGUGAUUUCUAAAUUGUAACAGAACAUACGAGAUUUAACCCACUUUCAUAACUUCUUCUUCCAAACUCCAAAUGGGCGAUCUUUGAAAGAGAACUUCACCACAUUCCAUUGGUAUGUAAUCUUAGACUCAUUUUCUUCAAUUUUCAUUAACACCCAUUAGAUUUCUAGGCCUAAAUCAUGUUCUUAAGGGAAGAAAAUUAGGGAUUUGGGUAGAGUUAGGGAAUUUUUAUAUUAUUGGGAUUUAGACCUCAUUUUGGGGUCGAAUUUUGGAACUAAUUACAUAUUUGAGCUCGUGGGAGAAUGAGUGAUCGGGUUUUGGUCCGAACCUCGUAUUUUGAUCAAGCAGACACGGGGUCAAUUUUUAACUUUUUUAGAAGAAUGAUAGGAAAUCUAUAAUUAAGCAUUGGAAUUGGAUUGUUUAACGUUUAUUGAUGUUAUUAAGUGGAUUAUGUCUAGAUACAAUUGUUUUGAAGCCAAAUUCGAAAGGAAAAGUGUAUUAAGUGGAUUAUGUCUAGAUACAAUUGCAUAUUUGAGCUCGUGGGAGAAUGAGUGAUCGGGUUUUGGUCCGAACCUCGUAUUUUGAUCAAGCAGACACGGGGUCAAUUUUUAACUUUUUUAGAAGAAUGAUAGGAAAUCUAUAAUUAAGCAUUGGAAUUGGAUUGUUUAACGUUUAUUGAUGUUAUUAAGUGGAUUAUGUCUAGAUACAAUUGUUUUGAAGCCAAAUUCGAAAGGAAAAGUGGUGUUUGAGGCUUGAGUUAGCCGUAGAAGUUCGAGGCAAGUGUUUGACCUAGCCUUAGCUUGAGGGAUUAGGAGUCGUGUCUUAUUUUAUACGUGUUAACUGUGGAGUACGAUGUAUAGGCAUGCGAUGAGUAUCUAUACAUCGGUGUCAAGCAUGUUUGUGAGUCUUGUAUUGUAAUUAUUAUGACUCUAUUGUGAUUUAUUGCGCUUCAUAUGAGGAUUAUCAUCAUUUUUCCAGUGUCGGGAUGUUAUUAUCAUUAUUGUUCCCUUGCGGAGAUUUUAUUUUCAUAUUAUUGUUCCCUUUCUGGGAUGUUUGUUUUGAUAUUAUUAUUCCCUUGCCAGGUUGUUGUUGGAAUAUUAUUGUUCCUUUGCCAGGAUGUUGUUAUAUUACUAUUGUUCCCUUACCGAGGUUCCUUUUAUGAUUGGUGUUGAUAAAUGAAAUGGGAGCGGGUUGCACGCCUACAACGGUAAUAUAUGAAAUGGGAGCGAGUUUCAGGCCUGCAACGGUAAUCUAUGAAAUGGGAGCGGGUUACACGCCUGCAACGGUAACAUAUGAAAUGGGAGCGGGUUGUACGCCUGCAAUGGUAGUAUAUGAAAUGGGAGUGGGUUACAUGCCUGCAACGGUAUCAUAUGAAAUGGGUGGGUUGCACGCAUGCAACGGUAUUACAUAUUUAUCUAUUCUUCCAUUUUCUUAUCUUUGCUGGUAAUUGAUUUAUGGACUUCCUUAUAUUUUUCUAAUGUCGUUCUGUUGUUACCUAUUAGUCCCCAUAGCAUGCUUCCCCCGUCCAACCUUUGUUGUAAUUAUAUGCUCUAUUUAUGUUGUAUAUGAUUAAACUGCACGGGUAUGUUUGGUAGUCUGGUCCUAGCCUCGUCACUACUUUGCCGAGGUUUGUCUAGGAACUUACCAGCACAUGGGGUCGGUUGUGCUGAUACUACACUCUGCACUAUGUGCACAUACUGAUAUCACAUCAUUUGGACCGCAAAGAAGGUGCUGGCUUUGGUACACACAGGCAACCCAAGGUAGUCCUGCAGACUUCCGAGGGCCUUGGCGUCUCCUCCUAUCUUUUCUCUUUUUGCUUUUACAUAUUCAGAGACAGACUUAUGUAUUUUUCAGACAUUGUUUGCGGUGUUCUUAGAUACUUUGUGACUUGUAUCACCAAAUUUUGGGUAGUAUUGUACUUCAAUUUAUGUAGCAGCAUUUGGUUGGAAUAUUAAGUUUCGACUUCCGUAUUUUCGACUGUUUAAUUAUUUCGUUGUUUAACCACUUAGUGUUUUACAUUGUUUGAUAUGUUUAAAUAAUAAAAGGAGAUAAAUUUGCAAUAUUUGGCUUGCCUAGCUUCCACGAGUAGGCACCAUCACGACUACUGAAGAAGAAAAAUCCGGGUUGUGACAAUAUUAGGUACAUUAAUACUUGGCUCACAUUCCGCUACAGAAAAUAUGUUAUUAACAUUGAACGGUUUAUUCAAAAAUUCCAGUAAAGUCCUAAUGUCAUAAUCACCUUCUAUUUCAUAAUAUAAACCAGAAGGACCAUUAACUAUUAGUUGUUGGACUCCUAUAUACCCCAAGUUAGAAACGUAUUCAUCCACUAAAUCAUUGAAGGAAAGCAAGUUGAAGUCAAAACAUUUCUUAAUGUGCCAAAAUUUUCUUAAGUAUGCUAUGAGUAGCUUUUUGACCAACUCUUUACCAUGAUGAAAGACCAAAUCUAGCAGGACCAUUAAUAGUAAACUGCAGAAUAAAGACAGUUAAAAUUAAGACUGAAAAAAAGAUAUAAAUAAAGGCAUAAAGGCAUAAAGACAAUAAAAUAGAAUCAGCCACAAAUUGAAUAAUUCAGUCAACAUUAAUAAACUAAUAUAUGCAGACAUGGAUAUGGGGGACCAUACAUUAUAUUAUUAUACAGAAUAAAGUGUCCCAGCCCUACCCUUCAAUAUUAAAAUUCUUAUUGACUUAUUAUCUACAAAAAAAAUAAAAGAAUUUAGGACCACAAAAUAUAAUAAUCAAAACCCUAAACCACCAAAAGGCUAUUCAAUACCAGAUGAGGCACAUGCAAACAAAAAAGAAAAAUUAAGGUUUAUUAAUGUAAAAUCACAUGCAAGUCAAUUCAAAAGUAAAACACACACUAUCAGCUUGAAAUUAUCGCCAAAGAUAGGAGAAGUGAAAACCCUAACCAACAAAGAACUAUUCAGUAAACCCUAACUUCAAUAAAUACAAAAUUAGAAAAAAAUUGGAAAUCCUAUGACAACUACAAACACCGAUGAACUUCUAAUAACCGAGAAAGAACAAGGUUUAUGAAAACACUAACCAUCAAAGAACAAAUCUGAAAAGGAUUCGAAAAGGCAGUAAAACUUUCUUCCGAUGUGAUGACCCAAAGGGUUAUCACUGUAAUUCUUCCUUUCCUUGCACUUCUGAAGCCUUGAAAACCUCUUAUUUUUCUGCUUCAAUUUGUGUGCGCAGUCCGGACGCAGAGCCGAAAAGUUAUUAUGUGGAAAUAUAUGCAUUUUGUAUUAUAAACUAUGAAUUUUGAUAAUAAUAUUGAUAUAGUUGACUUUGAUCAAUAUUUUGGGUAAACAGACCCGGACCCGUGAUUUGAUAGUUUUGGAGGGUUUGUAGAAAUAUAUGGGACCCGGGCAUAUUCCCAGAAUCAAAAUCCGAGGUCUCAGGCCCGAGUACGGAAUUUAUGAAAGAGAUUAUUUAUCAAAAAAUAAUAUGAAAAAUUUAAAUGAAAAUGAGCUAGAAAGUGAUGGUACCGGGCUCGUAUUUUGGUUAUGAUGCUCUGUACAGGUCUUAAAUGAGCAUUAAGUGCUAUCUAUAAAGUUUUGUUGAAAACGGACGUCAUUUGACAAGUUUCAAACUUGAAAAUGAAAAAUAAAAGUUUUAUGGAAAGUUGAAAGAAAUCAUGUGUUUUGAGGUUUGAUUCUAUGUAAAUGAUGUUAUUUUGGAAAUUUGAUCACAUGAGAAUUUCCGUAGGAUGUUUUUCAGGUUGUGUACAUGUUUGGUUUGGAGCCCCGAGGGCUCGGAAGAGUUUUGGAUAAGCGUUGGAUUGCGUUUUGGCCUUAGGAAAAAUCUGUUGUUUUCUGCUGUUGUGAUCUUCGCAAAUGCAAAGAUUGACUCGCAAUUGCGAGAUCUCACCCAGGGAUGCUCACUUCGCAAAUGCAAAGAAAAUCCUUGCAAAUGCGAUGCCCUUCCUUUUAGCCCAGUCAUCGCAAAUGCGAUCUCCGACCAAAAUCCCUGAGCUCGCAAAUGCGAACAUCCUCUUCGCAAUUGUGAAGUCUGCUUUCCUUGCUUGAGUUCGCAAAUGCGAACUAAAUUCUCACAUUUCCCUUGUCUGUUGGGUUCACAUUUGCGAACCCAAUCUCGCAAAUGCGAGAUUUGCACCUAUGCAUUUCUAUACUUAGACGAUUUUAAACCUCAUUCUUCAUAUUUUCAAAACUCAAACUUCCAUUGGCGAUUUUNNNNNNNNNNNNNNNNNNNNNNNNNNNNNNNNNNNNNNNNNNNNNNNNNNNNNNNNNNNNNNNNNNNNNNNNNNNNNNNNNNNNNNNCAUUGGCGAUUUUCUCUCAACUCUUUCUUCCCCAAAUCAAUUGUAAGUCAACUUUUACUCAAUUUCUUCAAUCUUUGACAUCUUUUAUCAUGAUUUCAUCUUAAAAUCAAAGCUUUCAACGGGUAAAAUGGGGAUUUGGGGUAGAACCUAGGUUUUCUUAAAAUUGGGGAUUUGGACCUCAAUUUGAGGUCCGAUUUCAAAACAAAUCAUAGAUAUUAACUCGUGGGGGAAUGUGUAAUCCGGUUUUGGUUCGAACCUCGUCUUUUGACCACGUGGGCUCGAGGGGAAUUUUGGGAAUUUUUGGGUAAACUUUGGGAAAUUCAUUCUUAUGCAUUCAAAUUGAUUUAACUAGCAUUUGUUGAUACAUUUGGGUAACUUGUGACUAGAUUUGAGCGGUUUUGUUGCGAAUUCGAGGGGUAAAGCCAUCCUAGAGGCGUGAGUUGAGUUUGGAUCUUUCGAGGUAAGUGUUUGAUCUAACUUUGGCUUGAGGGAACAGGAUUAGGAUAAUAUUAUCUAUGUGCUAUGUGGAGUCGGUGUAUAGGUAUGGUGACAGUUUCCUAUGCACCUGAGUCUAGCAUGACCGUGAGUCGUAGUUGCUUUUAAAUUUGAAAGAUGUGAAAGAAUUUUAAUUACUUGCUAAAUAAAUUAUGAAGUGAUAGUUGAGAAGCAAAUGAAUUAAAGAAGGAAUGUGUGUUAUUUUUCCCUUGCCGGGACUUAUUGUUGAUUCGUUUUCCCUUGAUGGGACUUGUUGUUGCAUUAUUCUCCCUUACUGUGAUGCUUAAUCUUGAUGUAUAUUCCCUUCCCCGAUUUGGUUGUGGCCGUUGAUUGGGUGAGUAAGAGAGAUUAAGCACGAAGGGUCUUUCCGUGCCAUGUUUUGAUGAUUAUGCACGAAGGAUCUUUCCGUGCCAUGUGUUUUUUAUUAUUGGAGUACGAGGGGUCUUUAUGUGCCUUGAUGUGAGAGUUAUGUGAGGAAAAGCACAAAGGGUGAUGCCGUGCAUUUAUAUUUGACAGUUUGGUGAGAAUUGAGAGUAAAAGCACGAAGGUUGGUGCCGUACAGUUGUUGAUUUACUUGCUCUCUUACAAUUAUGUUAACUAUUCACUUUCCAUAUCUCUGUUCGUGGUCUUAUAUCUAAAUUGUCACACACCAUACCAUGUCCCCUCCCUAUUAUCUGUCUAAAUUUUUGUAUAUCUUCCCAUCGUUGCACAUGUAUCUGUACAGGGUAAUUGUGGUAGGUUCGGUCUAGCCUCGUCAUUACCUCGCCGGGGUUAGGCCAGGCACUUACCAGCACAUGGGGUCGGACGUGCUGAUGCUAUACUUCUGUGCCUUUUGUGCACAGGUCAGGAGACAGCUUACAGACUGCAGCAGUAGAUUGGGAGCGUGUCUUCAGUCAGAGACUCCUAGGUAGUUCGCUGGCGUGCGCGGGCCCUUAGUCUCUUCUAUUUCAUUUCUGUUUGUUUUUGUUGUAUCGAAAUAGACUCCUUAUGUAUUUUCUUUCAAACUCUUAUUUGUAGUAUUUUAUAGUAGUCCGUGAGUAUUGUGACAUUAAUUGAUGUUAACUUUUUCCGCAUUUCUUUCAUUUUAUAUUUAAUUAAGACUUCCUCUUGAAUUUAUUUUUUUUAUUAUGAGUACAGUGACACUAAAUCUUGGGUAGAGGAUGAUGUUAACUUUUUCCGUAUUUCUUUCAUUUAAUGUUAUGUCAAGACUUCCGCUUGAAUUUAUUGUUUUAUUAGUAUCUUGUUGGAAUUUGGCUGAAAAGGUAUGUUUAAGUUGGCUUGCCUAGCUCCGACGGUAGGCGCCAUCACGACUCGCGAUGGUGAGAAACCCAGGUCGUGACAAGUUGGCAUCAGAGCACUAGGUUACUUGGGUCUCACAACUCACGGACAAGCUCGGUAGAGUCUGAGGGAUCGGUACGGAGACGUCUGUAUUCAUCCCCCAGAGGCUACAGAGUUAGGAAAAUUUCACUUUGUUCACAGGGACCGAUACGGAGACGUCUGUAUUUAUACCCAAAGGCUACAGAGUUUGGAAAAUUUCCCUUUGUUCAUUAUUGUUGUACAAUUUUGUUCAUCAAAUGUUGAUGGUCGUUCUACUUAGUUCUUUCGCAGAUGGCGAGAACAUGUGCGACUUCUUCAACCGCGCAGCAGCCCGAGCUCCCAGCUGCAGUUCCCGCGAGGGGCAGGGGCCGAGGCUGUGCCAGAGGCCGUAGUAGGUGCAGAGCUCAUCCCCAGACAGCAGUUCCAGAGGUGGGGCCUCAUAUUGACUUUGAUGAAGAGGUUCCAGCCCCAGCAGCUCCAGUGGGCCAGCUCAGGUCCCAGGAGGGGUUAUGUUUCCCAUGGAUCUCUAGGAUGCUCUCGUUCGUAUUGCAGGCCUUAUGGACAGUGUCACUAGAGCGGGUCUGCUUCCAGUAGCACCAGCCACUUCUCAGGCUGAAGGAGGGGUUCAAACUCCUGCUAUGCGCACUCCAGAGCAGGUAGCCCCCUGAACUCAAGUUCUAGUGGUUCAGCCCGCAGUGGCAGCUCAAACAAGUGUUACAGCUCAUGCUGAUGAGGGAUCGGCCAUCUCUUUGGAUGCUUUGUGGAUACUUGAUCAGUUCUCCAAGAUUUUCACCACCACUUUCGGCGGUGCUUCAUCGGAGGAUCCCCAGGAUUUCCUAUUAAGUUAUCAUGAGAUCCUCAAGACAAUGGGUAUAGUGGAGACCAAAGGGGUCAAUUUCUGCACUUUCAGGCUUGCUGGGUCCGCCAACACUUGGUGGAGGGAUUAUUGCCUAUCUAGACAAGCAGGGUCUCCAUCUUUGACAUGGAUCAGUUUGCGGAGUUAUUCCUGGAGAAGUUUCUCCCCGUCACUCAGCGAGAGGCACUUCGUAGGAAGUCUGAGCGCCUCCAGCAGGGCUCCAUGACAGUUAGACAGUAUGAGACUAGAUUUGUUGAUUUGACAUGCCAUGCAGUUGUGAUACUCCCUACAGAGCGAGAGAGGGUCCAUAGUUUCAUCGACGGAUUGAUUCAGCCGAUCCGUCUUCAUAUGGCCAUGGGAGUUGGUAGUGAUAUUACCUUUGGGGAGGCGGCCAAUGCAGCCUGCUGGGUAGAGAUGACACUUGUUCGAGGGGUAGUCAGGGGUCAUACAAGAGGCCUCGCCAUUCUGUUAGGUUUAGUGGUGCUACAUCUGGAGAUAGGCAUUCAUAUGACAAAGGCCACUCUCAGAGGCCCUUCCAUUUGGCACUUCAAGUUCCUUAUGUUACUCCAGGCGGUAGUGGUCCUCAGUAGUAUUAUUCAGAUCGCAGCGCACCACCAGCCCCUAUCAUUGCAUCGCCACUUUAGAUCUUCUGGGGAGGAAAUACAGGUCGACAAGGCCAGCACACUUAGCAGCCGAGGGCAUGUUAUGGUUGUGGUGACCCAAGUCACAUUGUCAGGUUUUGCCCUCGAGCCUUGAGUAGUUAUCAAAAUCAGGGUUCUCGCCCUACGAUUCAGGCAGCAGGUGAUCUACAAGCCACCCAACCAGCUAGAGACGGGGGUAGUGAUCAUAGAGGUGGAGAGAUAGACCGUAGAGGUGGAGCUUGGACCGCCAGAGGCAGGGGGUCAGUCAUCAGCCGAUCGCCCCAUAGUCACAGUUCAGAGAGGUAGGGGUCAGCCCCAUUUUUAUGUUUUGCCGGCCAUUCCUGAUGUCGAGUCAUCAGAUGCCGUGAUUACAGGUACUAUUCUGGAAAGUGAUAGAGGUGCUUCUGUGUUAUUUCAUCCAGGAUCUACGUAUUCUUAUGUGUCGUCCUAUUUUGUACCCUAUUUAGUCAUGCCUAGUGAGGCCUUGGCUAUUCUUGAAUAUGUGUCCACACCGGUUGGUGAUCCUAUAGUGGUCGACCGAGUAUAACAUUUAUGUGUAGUGGUAUUUGAGGGUCUUGAGACCCGUGUCGACUUAUUGCUCUUGGAUAUGGUGGAUUUUGAUGUCAUAUUGGGGAUGGAUUGGUUGUCCCCAUAUCAUGCUAUUUGGAUACCCACGCUAAGACUGUGACCUUGGCCUUGCCAGAUUCGCCCCAACUUGAGUGGAGAGGGACCCCAGGUCAUGCAACUCAUAGUGUUAUUUCGUAUGUCAAGGCUAGACGUAUGGUCUAGAAGGGGUGCCAAGCAUAUCUGGUAUAUAUUCGGGACCACAGCAGAGAGGUUCCAUCUAUGACUCUAUUCCUAUUUUUUAGGAGUUCCCCGAGGUUUUCCCUUCAGACCUGCGGGUAUGCCGCCCGACAAGGAUAUUGAUUUCUGUAUUGAUCUGGCUCCUGGCACUCAGCCUAUUUCCGUUCAGUCGUACCGCAUAGCCCCACCAGAGUUGAAAAAGUUGAAGGAGCAGCUUGAGGACUUGCUUGAUAAGGGUUUCAUUAGACCUAGUGUAUCACCUUAGGGUUCACCAGUGUUAUUCAUGAAGAAAAAUGAUGGGUCGAUGAGGAUGUGCAUUGAGUACUGGUGGUUGAAUAAGGUGAUGAUAAAAAACAAGUAUCCACUAUGGAGGAUUGACGAUUUGUUCGACCAACUUCAGGGGGCUAUGGUGUUCUCGAAGACAGAUUUGAUGUCUGGUUAUCAUCAGCUGAGGAUUAGGGCAUCUGAUGUCCCUAAGACAAAAUUUCGUACUUGGUAUGGCCAUUAUGAGUUGUUGGUCAUGUCAUUUGGGUUGACCAAUGCCCCGGCAGCAUUCAUGGAGUUGAUGAACCGAGUGUUCAGGCCCUAUUUGGAUAUGUUCGUGAUUGUAUUCAUUGACGACAUUUUGAUUUACUCCCCCAGUAAAGAGGAGCAGGAGCAUCACCUCAGAGUGGUUCUUCAGACUCUGAAGGAUAGUUAGUUGUACGCCAAGAUCUCGAAGUCUGAGUUUUAGUUGAGUUCAGUCGCAUUCCUGGGUCAUGUCGUAUCAGCAGAGAGUAUUCAGGUAGACCCGAAGAAGAUAGAGGCAGUCAAGAAAUGGCCUCGACCAACUUCAGCUACAGAGAUCUGGAGCUUCUUGGGGUUAGAUGGUUAAUACAGACGGUUCAUGGAGAGGUUUUCGUCCAUUGCCGCCCCGAUGAAAUAUUGACCCAGAAGGUUACCCAGUUCAGGUAGUCAAAUGAGUGCGAGGCGAGCUUCCAGAUGCUCAAGACAGCUCUAACAACGACACCGGUAUUGGUUUUUCCCACAGGAUUAGGGCCUUAUACUGUUUAUUGUGAUGCAUCCCGCAUCGAGCUUAGUGCAGUGUUGAUGCAGAAUGGCAAGGUCAUAGCAUAUGCUUCAAGGCAGUUGAAGAUCCACGAGAAGAAUUACUCAAUUCAUGACCUAGAGUUGGCAGCCAUUGAUCACGCCUUGAAGAUCUGGAGGCAUUGUUUAUAUGGUGUGACAUGUGAGGUCUACACAGAUCACAAGAUCCUUCAGUACUUGCUCAGGCAGAAGGAGUCGAAAUUGAGAAAGCGGAGGUGGUUGGAGUUGCUGAAAGACUAUGAUGUUUCUAUGUUAUACCACCCGGGGAAGGCCAAUGUGGUUGCCGAUGCAUUCAGUAGGAAGUUCGCCAGCAUGUCUUGCCUAUAUUCCGGUCAGCCAAAAACCGCUCUCCUUGGAUGUUCAGGCCUUGGCCAAUAGAUUUGUGAGAUUGUAUAUUUCUAAGCCCAGCAGGGUGUUAGCUUGCACGGUUGCUCGUUUGCCGUUGAUGGAGUGCAUUCGAGAACGACAUUUUGAUGACCCCCAUUUGUGUGUCCUGAGGGACACGGUACAGCAGGGAGUUGCCAAGAAAAUGACCCUCGGAGAUGAUAGUGUAUUGAGAUUGCAGAAGCGAGUUUGUGGUUGAUGGUAUUCGGGAGUCGAUCAUAGCAGAGGCCCACAGCUCUCGGUAUUCUAUUCACCCGGGCGAAACGAAGAUGUAUCAAGAUUUGAGACAGCAUUAUUGGUGGCGCAGGAUGAUGAAAGACAUUGUCGCAUAUGUGGCUCAUUGUCUGAUUUGACAGCAGGUUAAGUACGAGCAUCAGAGGACCGGUGGGUUAUUUCAGAGGAUUGAGCUUCCCGAGUGGAAGUGGGAGAGAAUCACCAUAGAUUUUGUUACUGGCCUCCCGAUGACUCGGAAGAAAUAUGAUGCUAUAUGGGUUAUUGUUGAUAGGCUUACCAAGUCAGCGCAUUUUAUUCAAAUUGCCACCACCUAUUCAUUCGAGAGAUAUGCUGAGAUUUAUAUCAAAGAGAUCAUUCGCCUUCAUGGGUUGCCCAUAUCUACUAUUUCGGACCAGGGUCCACAGUUUACCUCGCAUUUUUGGAGAGCAGUACAGAAUGAGUUGGGCACCCAGGUUCAGUUGAGUACAGCAUUUCACCCCAGAUGGACGGUCAGCCCGAGAGGACUAUUCAGAUUCUUGAGGAUAUGCUCUGAGCCUACGUUAUUGAUUUUGGAGGCUCGUGGGACCUAUUCUUUCCUUUAGUAGAGUUUGCCUACAACAUCUACCAGUCCAAUUCAGAUUCUUGAGGAUAUGCUCUGAGCCUACGUUAUUGAUUUUGGAGGCUCGUGGGACCAGUUCUUUCCUUUAGUAGAGUUUUCCUACAACAACAGCAACCGGUCCAGCAUUAAGAUGGCUCCGUAUGAGGCGUUAUAUGGUAGGCGGUGUCGUUCCCCAGUGGAUGGUUUGAGCCGAGAGAGGCUCGACUAUUGGGUACAGAUCUAGUACAGGAGGCCUUGGAUAAGGUCAAGACACAGACUUCGGUCAGCUCAGUUUAGGCAUAUGAUUUAUGCAGAUCGUAAGAUCAGGGAUGUUGCUUUCAUGGUUGGUGAGCGAGUAUUACUCUGGAUAUCGCCUAUGAAGGGCGUGAUGAGGUUCGGGAAGAAGGGAAAGCUUAUCCCUAUGUUUAUUGGCCCAUUUUAGAUUCUCGAUCGCGUGGGGAAGGUGGCUUAUAGACUUGCCUCUCCACCUAUAUUGUCAACAGUGCAUCCGGGUUUUCAUAUAUCCACGCUUCGGAGGUAUCAUGGCGAUCCCGCCCACUUUUUGGAUUUCAGCACUAUCCAAUUGGACAAUGAUUUGUCAUAUGAGAAGGAGCCAGUGGGUAUUUCAGACAAACAAGUUCGACAGUUGAGGUCGAGGGGUUUUCCUUCAGUGCGCGUUCAGUGGAGAGGUCAGCCUCCUAAGGCAUCGACCUAGGAGCCCGAGUCUGAUAUACGGAGCCGUUAUCCCCAUCUUUUUCCCAACUUAGGUGCUUUUUUCUUUUGUCCGUUCGAGGAUGAACGAUUGUUUUAGAGAUGGAGGAUGUGAGAACCCAAAGGGUCAUCACCGUAAUUUUCUCCUUUCUUGUGCUUCUGAGGCCUUGAAAACCUCUUAUUUGGCCGCCUCGAUUUGCAUGCGUAGUCCGGGUGCGAAGCAGAAAGUUUUUAUGUGGAAAUAUAUGAAUUUUGUGUUAAAAAUAAUAAAUUUUGAUAAUAAUAUUGAUAUAGUUGACUUUGGUCAAUAUUUUGGGUAAAUGGACUCGGACCCAUGAUGUGACGGUCUCGGAGGGUUUGUAAAAAAAUAUGAGAUCCGGACGUAUUCCCGUAAUCGAAAUCUGAGGUCCCAAGCUUGAGUACGAAAUUUUUGAAAGAAAUUGUUAGUCUGAAAAUAAUAUGAAAAAAUGAAAUGAAAAUGCGGGCUUGUAUUUUUGUUCUGACGAUCGGUACAGGUCUUAAAGAUUGGUUAAAAACGGACGUCAUUUGAUGUGUUUCGGACUUGAAAAUGAGAAAUAUGAGUUUUAUGGAAAGUUGGAAGAAAUCAUGUGUUUUGAGGUUUGAUUCUAUGUGAUGUUAUUUUGGCUAUUUGACCGCGCGAGUAUGUCCGUAGGAUAUUUUUGAGGCUGUGUGCACGUUUGAUUUGAAGCCCUGAGGGCUCGGGAGAGUUUUGGAUAGGCGUUGGGUUGCAUCUUUGCCUUAGGAAAAAUCUGUUGUUUUCUGCUGCUGUGAUCUUCGCAAAUACGAAGAUUUGACUCACAACUGCGAGAUCUCCCCCUGGGCUGCUCACUUCUCAAAUGCGAAGAAAAUCCCAGUAAACGUGAUGCCCUUCCUUUUAGCCAAUCUUCGCAAAUGCGAUCCCCGACCAAAAUCCCAGAGCUCGCAAAUGCGAACAUCCUCUUUGCAAUUGCGAAGUCUGCUUUCCCUGCCUGAGUUCGCAAAUGCGAACUAAAUUCUCACAUUUUCCAUGUCUGCUGCGAACCCAGUCUCGCAAAUGCGAGAUCUGCACCUGUGCAUUUCUAUACUUAGACGAUUUUAAACCUUAUUCUUCAUAUUUUCAAAACCCAAAAUUCCAUUGGCGAUUGUCUCUCGACUCUUUCUUUCCCAAAUCAAUUGUAAGUCAAAUUUUACUCAAUUUCUUCAAUCUUUAACAUCUUUUAUCAUGAUUUCAUCCUUAAAUCAAAGCUUUCAAUCGGUAAAAAUGGGGAUUUGGGGUAGAACCUAGAUUUUCUUAGAAUUGGGGAUUUGGACCUCAAUUUGAGGUCCGAUUUCAAAACAAAUGAUAGAUAUGAACUCGUGGGGUAAUGGGUAACCCGGUAUUGGGUCGAACCUCGAAUUUUGACAACGUGGGCCCGGGGGAAAUUUUGGGAAUUUUUGCGUAACACUUUGGGAAAUUUAUUUUUAUGCAUUCAAUUUAAUUUAACUAGCAUUUAUUGAUUCAUUUGGGUAAAUUGUGACUAGAUUCAAAGGGUUUUGUUGCGAAUUCGAGGGGUAAGGCCAUCCUAGUGGAGUGAGUUGAGUUUGGAGUUAUCGAGGUAAGUGUUUGAUCUAACUUUGGCUUGAGUGAGUUGGAUUAGGAUAAUAUUUGCUAUGUGCUAUGUGGAGUCAGUGCAUAGGUGUGGUGACGGUUACCUAUUCGCCUCUAGCAUGUCUGUGAGUCGUAUUUGCUAUUAAAUUUGAAAGAUGUGAAACAAUUCAGUUAAUUACUUGCUAAAUAAAUUAUUAAGUGAUAGUUGAGAAGAAAAUGAGUUAAAAAAAGAAGUGUGGUAUUUUUCCCUUGCCGGGACUUACUGUUGAUUCGUUUUCCCUUGCUGGGACUUGUUGUUGAAUUGUUCUCCCUUGCCGAGAUGCUUAAUCUGAUGUAUAUUCCUUUCCCCGAUUUGGUUGUGGCCGUUGAUUGGGUGAGGAAGAUAUAUUAUGCACGAAGGGUCUUUCCGUGCCAUGUUUUGAUGAUUAUGCACGAACGGUCUUUGUGUGCCAUAUUUUUUUGAUUAUUGGAGCACGAAGGGUCUUUCCUUGCCUUGAUAUGAGUGUUAUGUGAGGAAAAGCACGAAGAGUGAUGUCGUGCAUUUAUAUUUGAGAGUUUGGUGAGAAUAAAGAGUAAAAGCACGAAGGUUGGUGCCGUGCAGUUGUUGAUUUACUUUUUCUCUUUCAUUCAUGUUAAGUAUGCACUUUCCACUCUGUUCGUGGUCUCAUAUCUAAAUUGUCACACCCCAUAGCAUGUCCCCUCCAUAUUAUCUGUUUAAAUUUUUGUAUAUCUUUCCGUUGUUUCACAUAUAUCUGUAGAGGGUAAUUGUGGUAGGUCAUGUCUAGCCUCAUCACUACCUCGCCGGGGUUAGACCAGGCACUUACCAGCACAUGUGUUCGGUUGUGCUGAUACUAUACUUAUGUGCCAUUUGUGCACAGUUCAGGAGACAACUUACGUACCGCAGCAGUACAUUGGGAGCGUGGCUUCAGUCAAGAGACUCCCAGGUAGGUCGCUUGUGUGAGGGCCCUUAGUCUCUUCUAUUUCAUUUACGUUUGUUUUCAUUGUAUCGAAAGAGAAUCCUUAUGUAUUUUCUUUUAAACUCUUAUUUGUAGGAUAAGGUUAGGUUAGGUUAGGUUAGGGGGAAGUUGUGGAUAUUUCUUCACCGCACUAGAGUGAGAAUAGCUAGCUAUAAGGUAAUCUUAGGAUGUUACUGGGUCAGCUACCGAUUCAGGGAGCUAUCUGUUGGAUAUUUGCUAUCUGUGUACAUAUUACCCUCCCCAGACCCCACUUGUAGGGUUUUACUGGGUUGUUGUUGUUGUUGUUGUAUUUGUAGCAUUUUCUUGUAGUCCGUGAGUACUGUGACACUAAAUCUUGAUUAGAGGAUGAUGUUACCUUUUUCCGCAUUUCUUUCAUUUAAUGUUAAAGUAAGACUUCCGUUUGAAUUUAUUGUUUUAUUACUAUCUUGUUGGAAUUUGGUUGAAAAGGUAUGUUUAAGUUGGCUUUCCUAGCUUCGACGGUAGGCGCCAUCAUGACUACCGAUGAUGGGAAAUCCGGGUUGUGACAUCCAAAAUAUUUUUGGGAUAACUCAAGAUAAGAGAUUAAAAUAACAGAAAAAUUAAUUUUUUGGAGAAAUAUUUCUUAGCUUGCUUGAAAUUUCCACUGCAAGCAAGGAUCCUGACCGGUUUGGUUUCUCUCUUUUUCUUUGAAGUAGCAGAAGGUUCGAGCAAAUGAGUGAACAAGGUGUUUUCAGAGGGUUUAACCUAUUUAUUUGAUGGGUUUUCGAUUACAGGUUAUGGGUCGAAUAAACUAUUGAUAUUAUACAUGAGGGUAUGUCGUAUUGUAUACUUAUGACAAUAUCAUAUAUGUUUAUAUAAUAUAUUGUACAUGAUAUUUAUUAGUAGUAUAUACAUCAUAUUUUUUCUCUCAACAUAUACAUGAGAUAAACUAAAGAGAUAUUAUACAAUGAAGGUAUGAUGUAGUGUUGUAAUGUCCUGAACUGUCGUCAUGUUAAUUACCGCCCCUUUUUCCCUGUUAUAUGCUUUUAUAUGUUUGAAUAUAUGUGUUUGGAGAGUUUGAAGUAAUUUGGAUGGAGUUUGGGUAGAAAUGAGAAAAUUAGUCUCUUAUGAGAAAGUUAGUUUGGAAAGGUCAACCGAAUGUUGACUUAUGAGUUAGAGGGCUCGGAAUAGAUUUCCGAUGAUUCGGCUAGUUUCGGAUGGUGAUUUGUGACUUAGAAGAAAAAUCGGAAUUGAAUUUGGAGGUCUGGUGUAGAAUUAGGCUUGAAUUGGCUAAGUUAGAAUUUUGGCGAAGUACGAUUGAUAGGUGAGAUUUUGAUCCGAGGGUCGGAAUGGGAUUCCGACAAAUGUAGUCGCUCUGUUAGGUGAUUUUGGAUAUGUGUUCAAAUUUUGAGAUCAUUCGGAGGUGGUUAGCUUGGGUUUUUGAUCAAAUGCAAGUUUCGGAAGUUUUAGUUUAACUUAGUCUUGAAUCCGUGGUAAUUUGAUAAUUUUGGUGUUUAUGAUAGUGUUUUUGUGUUACGAGCAAGUUUGAAUGAAGUAAUAAGAUGUAAAUGUGCAUUUGGUUGGGAUCUCGAGGGCCUCGAGGUGAUGUCAGAUGAUUAAAACGAGAAUUUUUGAAGUUGCAACAAGUUUGUUGAAUGAAGCUCCUGAUAUUUUCGUAAAAUGCGGAAGAAGCCCCGCAAACGUGGCUGACGCGAAUGCGGGAAGAGACAGCAGAAGCGGUCAUGGAAUAUAUUAGGGGACCGCAGAAACGAUCAUUGGAUUGCGGAAGCGAGGACCACAAAAGUGGUCUAAGAUCGCAGAAGCGGCCCAAUUGACUUAAAGGACACCGCAGAAGUGGUUUAUUGGCCGCAGAAGGGACAACCGCAGAAGCAGUCUAGUUGUCGCAGAAGCAAAAAUCGCCGAGAUUUUAAUAAAAUAGUGCUAUCAAAUUUCAUAAUUUAGGAAAAUAUUUUAGACUUCGGGGAAGGGCGUUUUGUGGACGAUUUUGAAGAGAAUCCAUGGGAUUUCAUCAGGUAAGAGUUCUUAGACUCGAAUUAUGUUGAUAUGAUGAAUAAACAUAGACUAAACACUGAAAAACCCAGGAAUUAAGGGGUAAAAUAGAGGUUAGGGAUAAAAAAACCUCUCUAAACUCUCUGCCUUCUCUCUAAAAAGAAGGGUGAAUAGUGAAUUAUUCACUAUUCAUAUCGGAAUCCGGCAAGGUAAGGUCACAAUUUUGGUACCAAAAGAACUCCCUUCCAUUUGUGAACAACCUCGCAUUGAUUUUUUUCCCAUCUUCAUAUCAAAACGCUGCAAAUCUUAAAUUUAUUUUUGGAUUUACUGUAGCAUCGAGUCAUUCUGCAAAUCAGUAUCCUUCUCUUAUUUUGGUAACAUGAAGGUAUUCUAAUAUUAUUGGUUGUAUGCUUUGUGGAAGAAUUAGUACAAAGUUGUCCCAAAUUGUCACAGAUCUUGUCACUGUAGCUCGCAGCUUUAGUUUUUUCUGCUAAGGAUCGUAAAUGGUGGUUUGAAGAUCGUCAUGGAUGCUGCAACCUCUCCCCAGCCUUUGGCAGUGGGAGAGGCAACACAGAACAUUCAAGAAAUAGCUCAAAACAUUAAGCCAAAACAAUCGUAUGUUGCACUGAUUCCACUAUCCAAAUGUGUGGCAGCUUCGUCAAAACUGGAGUUAUUUCCACUUCAUAUGAUAUAUGGCAAACCAACAGUUCAUUUCACAGUUGAAGAGGUGAACAAGUUCACCAUCGAAGAGGGAAUGCAUCAGGCAGUAAUUCUCAAAUUUUCAUACGGAAAACCUGACAUCCAACAGUUACGGCAGAUUAUACCAAAACAACUUGACGCCAAAGGUAAAUGCAAUGUUGGACAGCUAGAAUACCGGCAUAUCCUGGUAAUAUUUGAUCUUUUUGAAGACUUUGUUCAUGUAUUGUCAAGAACAACUGGUUACGCUAAGGAAAAAGAAGACGAGUUGUUUUAUGACUUUCCUAUGGACCAUGGGAUUUAACCAUCGACAACAAACGUCAAAAGCUGUGGUGUGGAUUUCGUUUCUAAGUUCUUCUUUAGGACUUUCCCAUGGACCACGAGAUUUAACCCUCGAGAAGAAACGUCAAAAGUUGUGGUGUGGAUUUCGUUUCCUCAUUUGCCAGCCAAUUUUUUUGCAAAAAAUUCGUUAUUAUCCAUAGCUUCUACUGUGGGAAAGCCUCUUGCAAUAGAUAAGGCAAUGCAGGAUCGACCAAGACCAAGUGCGGCACGAGUUAAAGUCUUGAUCGAUUUAAUGGACAAACAUCCAAAGAGAGUCAAGAUAAACAUCUUCGAUAUGAAAUCUGGAAAAAAUAUUGAAUACUCUCAGCAGAUCAUUUUUGAUAACUUGCCUAAAUACUGUACGUGUUGUAAACAUCAAGGACAUGACGAAAAAUCAUGUUGUUGGAGGACAUAGGAAAAUAAUGAAAAAGCACUUCAUGUGGAGGAAUCGGAAGGACUGUGCAGUCUUGGUAAACUAGAGGGUGAUGCUAGGUAUUUUUUGAAUGCCAAACAAUAAAAGUCAAGAAACUUCAAACAUUGAGGUGCAGCCAGUUAUGAAACCAACAUGUGAUACCAGUGCUUGUGGAUAUGUUAUUGCUACAGAUCGUGAGACUAAUCAUGGUCCACGAUCAGUUGAUGCUAAUACCCAAACUACUGCAGCUGGGGUUACUGAAAGUCCAAGUAAUAUGAAAAAUCCAAUGGAACAUGGAAAUCAAACCAUUAAUAGACAAGGCCAAAGUCAUGUUCAGAAUAUAGUAGUUGUAGGUGAUCAAUUGAUGGUUCAUGAGCAAUCGGCUAAUGGAAAUGCAGUAGUUAUGACUGAUAUUCUCAGUCUUUAGAGGGAGAAGAGCAGGAAGCUGGAAUUCAUAAAAAACCUGCCGCAUUAGUUGAUAAACCAGCAGCUAUUUUAGCUACUGCUGUGCAAGCUGGGGAGCUCAUUUCUCCAGUCAAAACUGGAUGUGUUUUUUAUGGCAAUCCUGUUACAGUACACAGUUCUGACGGGGAAGUUAUGGCCCAGUUUUAUGGGAAUAAAAAGGGGGCCAUAUGAGUAAAAUGAUGGAAAAUAGUUCUGGGAAGUUAAAGGUGGUUGAUCAAUGAGGGGAUAGGAAUAAAAAAUGUGGAGUUUGGAAUGUGGUAUCAACUCGAAAAUCUCCCACAAAAAAGGAUGGUUCAUUCAUAUAGCAGAACAAUGGUGUUCGACUAAAUGACUCUCAGGUUAAUGCCAACUCAAACUCAUUCAAGGUUCUAGCAGCUACUGGGGAUCCUGAAGUGGAUGCAACAGUUUUAACUGGUCAAGGGAUGUCCAAAAAAAUAGUGGCAGUAUCUAGUGAUGAACGAGGAAGGUAAGACAAUAUGGAUUUGGACAAUAAUAUAGGUGCUCGACAGAAGGACUCAAAGAACUUAUUAGGGGCUGAACUUCUUGGUAUUCAAGAUCACAGUACCAAUACACCUGUCAUGUUUUUUCAAGUCCCAUUUGGACAAUAAUAUAGGUUCUCGACAGAAGAACUCAAAUAACAUAUUAGGGGCUGAACUUAUUGGUAUUCAAGCUCACAGUACCAAUACACCUUCCAUGUAUUUUUCAAGUCCCAAUGUAGAACAAAUCAUGAAGGACGCUCGGCAUGAAAUGAUGAUGAAAGCUACCAUGGUUAAGCAACCUUUAGUAACUUUGAACAAACCCGUUUCUGAGGUCCCUUCUCAGUCAGUGGGUUCAUUUGAUGGUGAAUCUGGGCUGCCUAUGGUGUCUACAGGAAUUAAUAAUGAAGUAAUAAAGGAAAAUAUGAGGUUGAUGGUUAUUAAUUGCAAAUUGUGGCAAAGUUCAUUUGAUGGUGAAUCUGGGCAGCCUAUGGUGUCUACAGGAAAUAAUAAUGAAUUAAUAAAGGAAAAUAUGAGGUUGAUGGUUAUUAAUUCCAAAUUGUGGCAAGAAAAAAGGGAGGAAGAUGAUGAAGCAUAUUAUGGAGAUGGAUUUGCAGGGUAUGAAUCUGAACAUGGUGAACAGGAGGUGGAUCAAGAGAGUGCAGGCGAGGAGCUUGAUUCUCCAAGAACACCGAAGCUUCAGGCGACAUCUUAAACGACCCCCAAGAGUAAAUUGAACCUCAAUGCACAUGUUUAUAUCCCCAGAACCAAUCCAAUUGUUAGUAAUCAAAAUACAACAACUGGAAGUUUCAUUCAGUCAGUAACAUCUCCUAAGCAAGCAGCAGCUGCAACUUUGAUACAUGCUGCAGCAACGUCGUCCAAGAAGGCUGCUCCAGGUAUUUCUACAAGUCAAAUUGUAGUAUCACCACCUGUUGUGCAGUAGCAUCAAAGAAAUCCAAAUAGAACUGAAAGCAAAAAUGAGACAGCAAAGAAGAGGCAGCAACAAAUAGUCACAACUAGGCCAGCUAUGUCGCUAGAUGAUAGAAAUUUGUUGGAUGCAUUGGUAAGUACUGAUUCUCUUAUCCACUUAAAUCGUGUUGCUUUUAGUAAGGGUCGUGGGAAGGGAAACAAGAAUGUUGUACAAACACAACAGCAACACAAGGCAAGCAUAGUUAAAGCACAAUAGGAAACUACAUUGGAUACACAACACAUACCAAAUCCAAGAUUUUCUGAAACGCAAGAAGCAGCAGACGUGAUUCAACUGGCUACAGGAAAUAAUGUGCAACAGCACGAUUGCUCAAGUUAUCACUACUUCUAAUACUUUAUCAAUACAUUUAGAAGAUGCAAAGCAACAACACCAUUGCUCAAGUGAUCACAAUACUUCUAAUACUUUAGCAAUACAUUCAGAAGGUGCAAAGCAACAGCAGGCUACAAAGGCAAUACAUAUCACUUUGGAUCCUACCUCAUUUACCACAAGUCCCGCAAACACGAGCAACGGACAACAAACAGUGGUGGAAACUUUACAUGGAGAGGCUUCCUUGGUGGCACUUGAUAAUGCCAAAAAUAGUCCACAACCUAUAAAAAUGGGGAGAAUUUUUCGAACAGUGAGAAGAGGAUGAAAUGUUACAACAAUGUAGGGAGGAAGUGGCAAGAAAAGGUGAUAUAUCACCUAUGCAUAGCGAAAAAAACAAGAAGUCGCGCACAAGGGAUACAAAUUGGGACAGGAGAGUAAAUGAAGAUGCAAACAUAAGGAGACUCCCAAUGAGAAGUGCAAAACAAAAACAAGGCAUUCAAACUACAUCUACAAAGUCCAAUCUUUCGAAGAAAAAAGUAUAAUUUUUGAGUACUUUAUGAAAAGAGUUGUGGACAAAGUCAAAAUUCUACAAAUUGAAGAUUUCACAAGUGUAGAGAAAAGAGAGCACCAUGGUAGUUUCUUCAUAUUUUAUUUUACCAUACAUCAGUAUAGUUCUAUGUAAUAUCAUCACAGAGUAUGUUAAAAAACUCUGCGAUGAUCAGAGAGUUCCUAGUUCUAGCUAGUUCUUUCUUUUUGCAUGCUUUCUAGAGAGGUUAUUUAUGCCUCAAUAGGAUUAGUACAAUAAGGUUAGCCCGGUUGAGUUAUAUGGGUAACAAUACCGGUGCUAUUGUACCCCUUAUUUAUACUUUUUCGAUUGUUAUAUUUUCUUUUCUUUUAUGUUUUUAAUAAAAACCCAACCCUAGGCACUUGCCUUGGGGUACCCAAAAAAAAUAGAGGUUAGGGCUUGAAGCCUAGUAAGGUGUAAAGUUGGAAUUUGAGGGGUAAAACGGACUUCGUUUUUAGUGAACUUUAUAUGUACGGACUCGUGGAGAGACGAGGAAUCCAAAGAUGCAAAUUUCAGAAUUUUUCGAGAAGAGGGCCCGGGCUCGGGUUUUUCCAACUUCGUGAUUUUUGGCGUUUUUCAAAUAAUUUCAAUUGAGUUAUGUUUAUUUAGCUUAUAAUAACGUAUUCGUUGUGGUUUUGACUAGAUUCGACGCUCGUAGAGGGAGAUUCGAAGGGAAAAGGCAUUGCAGAUCAGUCUACGACCAGCUAGAGGUGAGUAAUUUGCAUAGAUGAUGGCCUGAGGGUUUGAAACCCCGGUAUAUCAUAUCGUGACGCUAUGUUAGGGCAUGACUCGCACCCCAUGGCAAGUGCGGGAUUGUAUAUGAUUGGGGAUUGUGACGUGGUCCAUCCCGAGAGCUGAAUAUAAAUUAUUGGUGGCUGAUACUCAUAUUGUGUUGUGAUAAUUGGGCUUAAUUCCAUGUUUCGGGCCUUGUGCCAAUUUGUAGUACCCGUCUAGGGUGAAUAUCCAUGUGAUACCAUGAUUUGCAUAAUCAUUUAUCUCAGUCUUGUGCUUAAUGACCAUUGAUAAAUGCUAAGUCACCUUAUUUCUGAAAUUGACUAUUUAAAUUAUAUACACCUUAAUAACUGGAAACAGGCAAAGAAUUAGAUUGAAUCUGUUAUAUGACUUGCAUGCAUACUGUGGACUGAGUAUUGGUCGGGCUGCACGCCUCAUAGGUAAUAUGAUGAUAUUGCGCUUGGGCUGAAAGAGCCCCUCAGGAGUCUGUACACACCCCCAAUGAGCUCCGUCGACAUUAAAUGGAUCGGGCUGCACGCCGCAGCGUAUUCAUGUGCAUUGCAUUGCAUGUUUAUUUGAUACUUGAUUGCUAUUUUUAUAUUGUUUUUUUGUUAGUUCGUAGCUAAGUUGUAGGACUGUUAGUGGCAGCUUUGCUUGGUGGAAUUUCGUGGAUUUCUUAUCUUUAGACAUUUUUCUGUGCUUAUUAUUCACUGAGUCGAUAGUACUCACCCCUACUCCCUGCACCUUGUGUGCAGAUUCAGGUACACCGGAGGCUUAGCUGACACUCGUAGUCUCCAGAUAUUUUUCCAGAGUCGUUGAGGUAGUUGAUUAACCUUCACAGGACCUGGUAGCUCUUCAUAUUUCAGCUUAUUAUCAUUAUUAUAUACAUUUCCAUGCAUUUAUAUUUUUAUUCAGAUUCAAUUUUUUUUAGAGGCUCUAGCCUCGUGACCCCAAAUCUUAUGAGUGUGUUGAUUGGUUUUCGUGUUUAUCCUUAUUACUCUAUUAAUAUUUUUGAUUACUAUUCUAAAUUACUAUAAUAUUUCUUAAAUUGUUGGUUUUUGAGACUUAGUGAAAGUGAUUGUUGGUCAGGCUUGCCUAGCUUUAGGUUGGGUGCCAUCACGACCAGGUUUGGGUCAUGAAAAGUUGGUAUCAGAGCCUAGGUUACUAAGCCUCACGAGGCAUGAGCCGGCUUAGCGGAGUCUUGUUUAUGGGUGUGUCGUGCACCACACUUAUAAGUAGGAGGCUACAGAACUUUAAGGAAAACACCUCACUUUCUUGGAAUUCCUAUCGUGUGGUUGUUAACGUGAAAACUAAAUAUUUGUAUUCUAUUCUCUCGCAGAUGGCAAGAACCCGUGCUAACAGACGUGGAGGACGACCUCCAGUACCACCUGCUAGAGGUCGUGGACGCGAUCGUGGUGCUGGACGAGGCAGACCAACAGGCGCAACACCUCCUGACCCACCAGCUUCCCAGGUCUAUGAUCAGCCUCCAGUUGUAGAUGCUCCAACAGCACCUAUUCAGGCACCGUAAGUGCCCAUCGUGAUUCCUUGUCUCCGGGAGGCUUUGGCUCAGAUUUUGUCAGUCUGCACAGGCCUGGCUCAGGAAGUUUCAGCCACUACAGCAGACAAUAAGGUUAGAAGUUUCAGCCACUACAGCAGCGGCUACUUCUCAGAUCGGGGAUGGUCAUCAGACCCCCCAUGCUCGCACUCCCGAGCAGGUUAUUCAAGGCUUACAAACACGUUGGGUAGCUCGAGAAGGUUGUUUAGGGAUUACAAACACCUGAGGUAGCUCCAGUUCAAACAGUUCAGUCAGUUUCGCCAGUUCAGCCGAUUGUCCUAGUUGCGUCGGUUGCACCUGCUCCAGCUCACAUGGUUCCAUUAAUGCCAGACGACGAGCAGCGGUGUUUGGAGAGGUUCGGUAGGCUUCAGCCUCCAACAUUCAGUGGCGCUUAGGGUGAGGAUGCCUAGGGUUUUCUGGAUAUAUGAAAGCGUAUGCUUUGUACUGCGGGUAUUCUGGAAUCUAAUGGAGUGGGUUUUAUCACCUUCCAGUUCACAGGAGCUGCAUUUACUUGGUGGGAAGAGUUUGCGAGGCGUAGGCCUAUUGGGGCAACGCCCCUCGCUUGGCAGCAGUUCUCCACGGUAUUUUUGGAGAAGUAUGUGCCCCAGUCUCACAAAGAGGAGCUACGUCGUCAGUUCAAGUGGUUGACUGAGGGAGAUAUGUCAGUGACUUAGUAUGAGUUGCGGUUUACACAGUUGGCUAGGCAUGCUAUGUGGAUGAUCACGACAGAUAGAGAGAGGAUCAGGAGGUUUAUAUACGCCUCAACUAUCCGAUCCGUAUAUUGAUGACUAGAGAGAGGGCUACAGCAGCUACAUUUGAGGAGGUUAUUGAUGCGGCUCGACUGAUUGAGGCAGAUCGCCAUCGGGAGAGUAUGGAGAGAGAGAGUCUAAGAGGCCCCGAGGUUUAGAUAAUUUCAGCGGUUCUCCGUCUAGGGGCCAGUUCCAGCAGGGUAGAGGUCGUUCCUUCAGGCCUCCUCAGUCAGGACACACAGAGUCUGGCUCGAUUGAUUGAGACAGAUCGCCAUCGAGAGCGUACGGAUAGGGACACCAAGAGGCCUCGAGGUUCAGGUAAUUCCAGCGGUGCUCCGUCUUGGGGCCAGUUUCAGCAUGGUAGAGGUCGUUCUUUCAAGCCUCCUCAGUCCGGACGCACAGAGUCUAGUGGAGCCUCUACAGGCCGAGGCAAUCAAGGUCAUCAGCAAAGUCAGCCUGCACUGAGUGCUCUUCCAACUCAGAGCUCUGCUCCUGCUCCUUUAGCUCAGGGUUCGUCUGCAGUUAGGGGUUCUCAUCAGUCCCCUUCUCCAAUUUUAGUUUGUUGCUAUGGUUUCGGUGAGUUGGGUCAUAUGCGGAGACAGUGUCCUCGACCGCACAGUAAGCAGUCUCAACAGAGAGAUUAGCCCUUAUAUUCUGCUCAGGUUUCUUUAGCUCCCACUUAGGCAGCUAGGGGUGGAGGCCAGAUUGCCAGAGUUCACCCCAAGGGUAAGGACCGUACUGGCGGUGGCCAGGUGUGACGACCCGGUCCGUCAUCACAUGAUUUACCAUCCCGUUUUCCCUGUUUUAUGCUUAGAUAUGUUUCAUUAUAGGUGUUUGUAGAGUUUGAAGUAAUUCAGACAGAGUUUGGUUGGAAUGGAAAAAAAUAAUCUCUUUAAGAGAAUUAAUUUGGAAAACUCAACUGGAUGUUGACUUAUGAGUUAUAGGGCUCGGAAUGGAUUUUCGACGAUUCAACUAGUUUCAGGUGGUGAUUUAUGACUAGUGAGUGAAAUUGGUACUGAAUUUGGAGGUUCGGUGUAGAAUUAGGCGUGAUUAGGCCAAGUUUGAAUUUCGGCGAAUUCCGGUUGAUAGGUGAGAUUUUGAUCCGGGUUUAGGAAUGAAAUUCUGAGAGUUGUUGUAGCUUCUUUAUGUGAUUUUGGAUAUGUGUGCAAAAUUUUAGGUCAUUUGUUCACCAUUUGGUCAGGUUUUUUAUCGAGUGUAAGUUUCGGAAGUAUUAGUUUAACUUAGGCUUAAAUCCGCCGUGAAUUGAUAGUUUUUGUGUUGUUGGUCAUGUUUUUAUUAUUGGAAAAAAUUGUAUGAUGGUUUAGGGAAUGUUGGUGUUCUUGGUUGAGGUCCCAGGGGGCCUCGGGGUGAUUUCAGAUGAUUUUCGGGAAGUUUGGACCUACGAAUUUCUGCAGAAAAUUACAGCAGCAGUGAAGCAAGAAUUUAGCCAUCGCGAUCGCAUGAUUUGGGUUGCGAUCGCAUAGGCCAAGGGUACUGGUCUUCGCGUUCAUGUGGCUUUAGCAGCGUUCGCGUAGGCAAGGCAGGAAUGGUCAACGCGUUCGCGUGGAGUAGGUCGCGUUCGCAUAGAAGAAUCUGGGGGCCCAGCCAAGUUUGUUCAUCGCGUUCGUGGUCGCGAUCGUGUAGCAUGGGAAAAUUGAGGAUCGCGAUCGCGUAGGUGAAUAAUCACCUGGAAAGAAGGCUUUUAAUGAAAAUUUUCAGUUGCGAACCCAUCAUUAUUAUCUCCAUUUUUUCACCACCUUGAGAGCUUGUUGGUAGAUUUUGAAGGGGAUUUCGACGGGAAGUGAUUAGAGGUAAGUAUCGUGGCCUUAAUACAUCAUUUUCUUGAAGAAUCAACCACUAAAUCUCUGAAAUUGGGUGUCAAAAGAUGAACUAGGGCUUGAAAUUUCAAAUGAAAAAUGGGGAUUUGGAGGAGCAGUUGGACUCCGAUUUUGAUGAAGUUUAUAUGUAAGGUAAACUAGGGCUUGGUUUUUGAAAUGUAUAUUGGGGAUUUGAUGGCCUAUUUGAACUUCGAUUUUGAUGAACUUUAUAUGUACGAACUCGUGGCGAGAUGAGGAAUCCGGUGAUGUGAAUUUUGUCAUUUUUCGAGCAGUAGGCCCGGGUCUCGGAUUUUUCCAACUUCGUGUUUUUGGGUUUUUUCGAGUUCUUUCUAUUGGGUUAUGUCCCAUUAGCCUAUUAUAACCUAUUCCUGGUGGUUUUGGUCAUAUUUUGCACUCUAGGAGGUUGAUUUGCAUGGAAAGCGCAAGGCAAGCUAGGAUUUUGGCCGGUUUGAGGUGAGUAAUGGUUAUGAAUGAUAUACUGAGGGUUUGAAACCUGUAUUUGGACUAUGCGGUGCUAUGUUGAGAUGAAACAUGCGUCGUAUGAUGAGCGUGGUGAUGUUACUGCUGGGGACUCAGACUUGGUCCUUCCCGAUUGAUGACUUACUGCACUUUUGGCUGAGACAGAGCUUGUACCAGUAUAUUUUGGGCUAGUUGCCAAGUUUGGGGCCUUGUGCCGAUCUGUAGAACUCCUAGGAAGCAUAUUGAGCUGAUUGACCUCACGUUUCCUAUUGAACACAUACCGUAUGUCCUGACUUUGACUAUAAAUCAUGAAAUAAACCGGACAUAGUAACUUGCAUCCCAAAUGAGCAACACCUAGGGUUGAAUACUCUGUCUUAGCUGAGUGAGCCCGAGAGGCCAAGUCUAUAUUGACUAAGAGGGCUCAAGAACCCCGUAGUGAGGGUAUUUGAUAUAUACCAGAAUGGGCUGCAUGCCACGGCAGUAUAUACACAUACCUAUAUUGGAUCGAAAUGCACGCCGCAAUUAUAUUACUGGAUUAGACUACAUGCCGCAGUAAUAUAUUAUAUGGAUCGGACUAAAUGCCGCAGUGAUAUAUUAUAUGGAUCGGACUGCACGCCACAGGUGAUAUAUGGAUCGGACUGCACGCCGCAGUAUAAUAGCACUUGGGCUAAAGGAGCCCCUCCGGAGUCUACACACACCCCCAGUGAGCGCAGUCGACUAUAUUUAUUGGAUCGGACUGCGCGCCGCAGUAUAGUAUAUACUAUAUUGAAUCAGGUUGCGCGCCGUAAUAGUGUUAGUAAAUUGUCGGGCAGAACAUUGAAGUAUUUAUCAGUUUCUUUUCCCAGUUUAGUACUUAUUUACUGCCCUUAUCGCUAAUAUUAGAAUUGUAUACUGUUCUUACCGGAUAUCUUACAUUCAGUUGUUAUUUAUUGCUAUUACUCACUGAGUUGGAAGUACUCACUCUACUCUCUGCACCUUGUGUGCAGAUACAGGGAUUCCGGAGGCUUAGUUGCGAUUAUCUGCUGUUGCCCAGUUCAGUACUAGAGUUAUCGAGGUAGCUUCUGGCAUCCGCAGGGCCCGAUUUCUCCUCUUAUCUAUCUUUUACUUCCGCAUUUAGCGAGUCUUAGCUGCGACUAUCUACUAUCCCUUAGCUCAAUACCGGAGUUAUCAAGGUAGAUGCUGGUGUGCGCAGGACCUGAUCCCUCCUCUUAUAUAUCUUUUGCUUCCGUAGCUAGUUUUCCUUUGUUUAGGAUACUAUGCGGUUGUACUUAGAGGCUCAGACUUGUUAUGCCGGAUCCUUUCCGCCUGUUAUUAUUUUUGGUUACGGAUUUUGCAGUGUUUUAUUAAUAUUAAACUGAGAAUGUUAUGCUAAACUUGGUAAUUUAAGUUAAUGAUUUGGUUGGGAAUUGUCUAAAUGGUCGGGAUUUCCUAACAAGGUUUUGGGCGCCAUCACGACCGGGGUUGGGUCGUGAUAAGUUGGUAUCAGAGCCUAGGUUACCAGGUCUCGCGAGUCAUGAGCUGGUUCAGUAGAGUCUCGCGGAUAGGUACGGAGACGUCUGUACUAAUCCUCGAGAGGCUGCAGAACCUUUAGGAAAAACUUCAUAUUCUUGAAAUUCUUGUCGUGCGACAUUGAUGAUCCGAGAACUAAAACACGGUCAUGGUCGUGGACGAGGCAGAGCAGUAGGGGCAACACCAGUUAACCCUUCAGUUGCCCCCAUUUAGGAUCAGCCUCCAACUGUAGAGGUUCCAAUAGUACCUUCUCAGGCACCAGCAGUGCCUACUGUGAUUCCGGGUCUUCAGGAGGCCCAGGCUAAGAUCUUAUCGCUUUGCACUGGCCUGGCUCAGGCAGUCUCGGCUACUACUGCAGCUACAUCUCAGACCCCCGCAGCUCGCACUCCGGAGCAGGGUGUACCGGGUUUGCAGACUCCGGAGGCACCACCAGUUCAGCCAGUUGCCCCUAUUCAACUAGUUGAAUAGGGGCAACUGGCUGAACUGGUGGUGCCUCCGGAGUCUGCAAACCCGGUACACCCUGCUCCGGAGUGCGAGCUGCGGGGGUCUGAGAUGUAGCUGCAGUAGUAGCCGAGACUGCCUGAGCCAUUCCAAUUCAAGGUGAUGGGGUACCAAUGAUGCCAGAUGACGAGUAGCAUCAUCUUAAGAGGUUCAGUAGGCUUUCAACUCCUUCUUUCAGCGCUAUUCCAGGCGAGGAUGCCCCUGGGUUUCUUUACAAGUGUUCACAUAUGCUUCGGACAGCACGGAUCUUAGAGACCAGUGGGGUAUCUUUUACCACUUUUCAGUUCUCAGGAGUAGCCUUUACAUUGGGGGAGGCAUAUGAGCGGCGUAGGCCAGCAGGUACAACGUCAUUGUCUUGGCAGGAGUUCUCCACUAUCUUUCUGGAGAAGUGGGUGCCGUUGUUGCAGAGGGAGGAGUUGCGCAUCCAGUUUGAGUGCCUUCGUCAGGGGGAUAUGUUUGUGACACAAUAUGAGGAGACAUUUUAAGAGUUAGCUCGUUAUGCCCCAUGUAUAGUUCUAAUGGAUCAGGAGAAGAUCAAACAAUUUGUAGAUGGAGUCAUUUAUCCCAUCCGUAUUCUGAUGACUCGAGAGAGGGUCCUGAGUCACACCUUUAAGGAGGUGGUGGAUAUAGCCCUUGAUAUUGAGACUGCUCGCCGCCAGGAGAGAGAGGAGAGGGAGGACAAGAGGCCUCGAGGAUCAAGUGGCUCCAGUGGUGCUCCGUCUAGGGUCCAGUUUCACCAGAGCAGAGGUCAUUCUUUCAUGCCUUCACAGCCAGCUCGGUCGGAGUACCGUGGUUCAUCUUCUGGUCGGGGUUAUCAGGGCUCUCAGCAGGGUCAGCCAUCUCUGAGUGCACUUCCAGCACAGAGUUCGUCUCAUGCCCCAUCUAUUCAGUGUUCAUCUUGACCAAGUUCAUCAGCCAGCUACUCUAGUGCAAGGGGUUCCCUUCAGUCCCAGCCCCCAGCUCCAGGGAGUUGUUAUGAGUGUGGCGAGUUUGGGCAUAUGCGGAGGGAGUGUCCAAGCCAUUCAUCAAGUUCAUCUCAGCAGAGGAGCCAGCCCUCAUCUUCUGGCCCAGUGUCUUCAGCACCAGCGUAGUCAACUAGGGGUGAGGGUCAGGCAGUUAAGGGUCGCCCCAGAGGGGGAUGCCAAUCCGGUAGUGGUCAGGCCCGUUGCUACGCUCUUCGGGACAGGUCAGAUGAUGUUGCUUUGGAUGCUGUUAUCACAGGUAUUAUUUCAGUCUGCCACAGGGUUUAUCAAUUUUAUUUGAUCCCAGAUCCACAUAUUCCUAUGUAUCUUCUUACUUUGCUCGUCAUUUGGGUACUACCCGAGGGUGUCUUGCGUUACUUGUGCACGUAUCUACCCUGGUGGGUGAUACUAUUAUUGUCGACCACGUGUAUCACUCAUGUCUUGUUACUAUUGGGGUUCUGGAGACCCGAGUUGACUUUCUUCUAUUGAGCAUGGUAGAUUUUGAUGUUAUUCUGGGCAUGGACUAGCUAUCACCGUGCCAAGCUAUUCUGGACUCUCAGCCAAGACAGUCACAUUGGCUAUGACGGGUAUUCCGAGGAUCACGUGGCGUGGUAUGACUGAUUAUGUACCCAACAGGGUAAUCUCUUUUUUAAAGGCCCAUCGGAUGGUUGGGAAGGGAUGUUUAUCAUAUCUAGAAUUUGUGAGGGAUGUUGGGGCUGAGACUCCUAGUCUUGAUUCGGUCCCUGUGGUCAGGGAAUUCCCUGAUGUAUUUUCACCAGACCUGCUGGUCAUGCCGCCAGAUAGGGAAUUUAACUUCGGUAUUGAUUUGGUGUCUGACACUCCUCUUGAUUCGGUUCCCAUGGUGAGGGAAUUUCCUGAUGUAUUUCCAGCAGAUCUGUCGGGCAUACCGACGGACAGGGAUAUUGACUUAGGUAUUGAUUUGGUGCCGAGCACUCAGCCCAUCUCUAUUCCUCCCUAUCGUAUGGCACCAGCAGAGUUAAAGGAUUGAGGGAGCAGCUGCAGGAACUCCUAGAUAAGGGGUUCAUUCGCCCGAGUGUGUCAUCGUGGGGCGCACUGGUGUUAUUUGUAAAGAAGAAGGAUAGCACAAUAAGAAUGUGCAUUGAUUACAGACAGUUGAACAAAGUGAGAGUGAAGAACAAGUAUCCACUAUCCUGUAUUGAGGAUUUGUUUGACCAGCUUCAGGGGGGCAAAGGUAUUCUCUAAGAUUGAUCUCCGUUCAGGCUAUCACCAGCUGAAUAUUUGGGAUUCUGAUAUCACGAAGACAGCUUUCAGGAUGAGGUAUGGGCAUUAUGAGUUUCUGGUUAUGUCAUUUGGGCUGACUAAUGCCCCAGCCGCAUUCAUUCACUUGAUGAAUAGUGUAUUUUAGCCGUAUAUGGAUUCUUUUGUGAUCGUGUUUAUUGAUGAUAUACUGGUCUAGUCGCGUCGCAAGGAGGAGCAUGCGCAGCACUUGAGUGUGGUAUUGUAGAGGUUGAGAGAGGAGAAGCUUUAUGCAAAGUUCUCCAAGUGUGAGUUCUGGUAAUCGCAUAGCCAGGAAGAGCACGCUCAACAUUUGAGGGUGGUAUUGCAGAGGUUGAGAGAGGAUAAGUUGUAUGCAAAGUUCUCCAAGUGUGAGUUCUGGCUCAGUUCCGUUGUUUUUCUGGGAAACGUGGUGUCCAGUGAUGGUAUACAUAUUGACCCAAAGAAGAUCGAGGCGCUGCAGAGUUGGCCCAUACUGUCUAUAGCUAUUGAGAUUCAGAGUUUCCUCGGUUUGGCGGGUUAUUACCGCAGGUUCGUUCAGGGUUUUUCAUCUAUUGCUUCGCCUUUGACGAAGUUGACGCAGAAGAAUGCUCCAUUUGCGUGGUCAGAUGAGUGCGAGGAGAGCUUCCAAAAGCUCACGUCAGCUUUAACUGCAGCUCUGGUACUAGUAUUACCAUCACUUUCAGGCUCUUACUUAGUGUAUUGUGAUACUUCGGGAAUUAGGAUCAGAUGUGUAUUGAUGCAGGAGGGUAGAGUUAUUUUGUAUGCUUCGCGUCAGCUAAAGCCUCACGAGAAGAACUACCCGGUUCAAGACUUGGAGUUGGCUGCUAAAGUUCAUGCUUUGAAGAUCUGGAGGAACUAUCUAUGUGGCGUAUCCUUUGAGGUGUUCACGGAUAAUCGCAGUUAUGAUAUUACCAUUUUGUAUUAUCCGGGGAAGGGCAAUGUAGUGGUCGAUGCUCUGAGUUGGAAGGCGGUUAGUAUGUGUAUCUUGGCGUACAUUCCAAUUGGGGAGAGGCCCCUUGCAGUUGAUGUUCAGCCAUUGUCUAAUCGAAUGGUGAGGUUGGAUAUUUCUGAGCCUAGUCGGGUGUUGGCUUGUGUGGUUUACCAGUCUUCUUUGUAUGAUCGCAUUAGGGAGUGCCAGUAUGAUGACCCGCAUUUGCUUGUCCUGAAGGACAGGGUCCAGCAUGAUGAUGCCAGAGAUGUGACUUUUGGCAGUGAUGGUGUGUUGCGGAUGUAGGACCAGAUUUGUGUGCCCAAUGUGGAUGGGCUCCGAGAGUUGAUAUUAGAGGAGGCCCACAACUCGUGGUAAUGCAGGGCCGAAUUUGUGUGCCUAAUAUGGAUGGGCUCCGAGAGUUGACAUUAGAGGAGGCCCACAGCUCGUGGUAAUCUAUUCAUCCGGGUGCCGCGAAGAUGUACCAGGAUUUGAGGCGGCAUUAUUGGUGGAGGAGAAUGAAAAAGGAUAUUGUGAGUUAUGUGGUUCGGUGUCUCAAUUGUCAGCAUGUCAAAUAUGAACAACAGAGAUCCGGUGGUGUGCUUCAAUAGAUGGAUAUUCAGGAAUGGAAAUGGGAUAGGAUUACUAUAUAUUUUGUGAGUGGUCUCCCUCAUACCUCGAGGAACUUUGAUUCUAUUUGGGUGAUUCUGGAUAGGCUGACCAAGUCUGUGCACUUCAUUCCGGUGUGUACCACCUAUUCUUCGGAGCGGUUGGCAAAAAUUUUCAUCCAGGAGACUGUGUGGUUGCAUGGGGUUUCAGCUUCUAUUGUCUCUGACAGGGGUACUCAGUUUUCUUCCCAGUUCUGGAGGGCUUUUCAUCAGGAGUUGGUACUCAAAUACAGAUGAGCACGGCUUAUCAUCCUCAGACAAACGGGCAGUCCGAGCACACUAUCCAGAUAUUGGAGGACAUGUUGCGCGCUUGUAUUAUUGAUUUUGGAGGUUCUUGGCCUGAGUUCUUGCCACUUGCGGAGUUUGCUUAUAACAAUAUCUACCAGUCCAGCAUUCAGAUGGCGCCAUAUGAGGCUUUAUAUAGGAGACGGUAUAGAUCUCUAGUUAGCUGGUUUGAGCCCGGCGAGGCUAGACUAUGGGGGCGAAGUUAGUCCAGGAUGCCUUAAAGAAGGUGAAAGUGAUUCAGUAGAGAAAUCGUAUGACUCGGUCGUGUCAGAAGAGUAAUGCGGAAUGGAAGGUUCGUCAUGUAUCAUAUAUGGUGGGCGAGAAGGUUUUACUGAUGGUUUCUCCUAUGAAAGGCAUCAUGAGGUUUGGAAAGAAGGGGAAGUUGAGUCUGCGGUUCAUUAGACAUUUUGAUAUACUCAGGAGGAUGGGGGAGAUGGCCUAUAUGCAUUAUUUUCCACCCAGCUUGUCAGGAGUUCACCUGGUGCUCCAUGUUUCUAUGCUCAGGAAGUAUGUUGGGGACCCGUCUCAUGUAUUCGACUUCAGCACGAUCCAGUUGGAUGAGGACUUGACCUAUGAUGUGGAGCCAGUGGCUAUUUUGGGCCUAUCAGCAAAGUAUUCUUGAUGUUUGACAUUCACACCCUACUCUCGUAGAGAUUUUUAAAGAUCAUCCAUCGUCAAGAUAACGCGUUUGUCCUUUUGCUGCUUAUCUCUUUUAUCUUUGACAAUAGCUGACUGCUUUGCCUUGCAAUGCUCAACGAGAUCAAAAGACAUAGCUUCGGUAAUGAUGCAGUGCAGAGGUCGGUUCGUGGAGGAGGCCGCUUGGGAUACCGAGCACGAGAUGAGGAGUAGAUAUCCUCGUUUGUUCGAGGCUCCAAGUAUGUUUCUUGACCCGCUUGAGGACGAGUGUUUGUUUUAGUUGGGGAGGAAGUGACGACCCGACCUGUCGUCAUGUGAGUUACCGCCCCAUUUUUUCCGGUUUAUGCUUCUAUAUGUUUCAUUAGGUGUUUGUAGAUUUUGAAGUAAUUCGGACAGAGUUUGGUUGGAAAUGCGACAAAUAGUCUCUUUAAGAGAAAGUUAAUUUGGAAAAGUCAACCGGAUGUUGACUUAUGAGUUAUAGGGCUCGGAAUGGAUUUUCGACGGUCCGACUAGUUUUGGGUGGUGAUAUAUGACUUGGGAGGGAAAUCGGAACUGAAUUUGGAGGUCCGGUAUAGAAUUAGGCUUGAAUUGGCUAAGUUUGAAUUUCGGCGAAUUCUGGUUGAUAGGUAAGAUUUUGAUCCGGGGGUCAGAAUGGAAUUUCGAGAGUUUUUUUAGCUUUGUUAGGUGAUUUUAGAUGUGUGUGCAAAAUUUCAUGUCAUUUGAUCGCCGUUUGGUCAGAUUUUUUAUCAAGUGCAAGUUUCGGAAGUUUUAGUUUAACUUAGGCUUGAAUCCGUCGUGAAUUGAUAGUUUUUGUAUGGUUAGUCGUGUUUUUAUGAUUGGAACAAGUUUGUAUGAUGAUUUAGGGAAUGUUGGUGUACUUGGUUGAGUCCCGGGGGGCCUCGGGGUGAUUUAUUUUUUAUGAUUGGAACAGGUUCGUAUGAUGAUUUGGGUAAUCUUGGUGUUCUUGGUUGAGGUCCCGGUUGGCCUCUUGGUAAUUUCGGAUGAUUUCCGGGAAGUUUGGACUUAAGAAUUUCUGCAGAAAACUGCAGUAAUAGUACAGCAAGAAUUUAGCCAUCGCGAUCGAGUGGCUUGGGUUGCGAUCGCGUAGGCCUGGGGUACUAGUCUUCGCGUUCGCGCAGGGAGUGACUUGCACCCCAUGGCAGGUGCGGGAUGGUAUAUGAUUGGGGAUUGUGACUUGGUCCACCCCGAGAGCUGAAUAUAAAUUAUUGGCGGCUGAUUCACAUAUUGUGUUGUUGAUAAUUGGGCUUAAUGCCAUAUUUAGGGCCUUGUACUGAUCUGUAGUACCCGUCUAGGGUGAAUAUCUGUGUGAUACCAUGAUUUGCAUAAUCAUUGAUCUCAGUCAUGUGCUUAGUCACCGUUGUUAAAUGCUAAGUCACCUUAUUUCUAAAAUUGACUAAUUAAAUUAUAUUCACCUUAAUAAUUGGAAACUGGCAAAGAAUUAGAUUGAAUCUGUCAUGUGACUUACAUGCAUACUGUGUACUGAAUAGUGGUUCGAGCUGCACGCCGCAGUGGUGAUAUGAUGAUAUUGCGCUUGGGCUGAAGGAGCCCCUCCGGAGUCACUACACAACCCCGUGGAUUGAGUAUUGGGUCGGGCUGCACGCCGCAGCGAUGAUAUGAUGAUAUUGUGCUUGGGCUGGAGAAGCCCCUCCGGAGUCGGUACGCUCUCCGAUGAGCGUCAUCGAGGUUAAAUGGAUCGGACUGCACACCACAGCGAUGAUAUGAUGAUAUUGCGCUUGGGCUGGAGAAGCCCCUCCAGAGUCUGUACACUCUCCCAGUGAGCGCCGUCGAUGUUAAAUGGAUCGGGCUGCACGCCGCAGCGUAUUCAUGUGCAUUGCAUUGCAUCUUUACCUGAUACUUGAUUGCUAUUUUGAUACUAUUUUGUUGUUAGUUCGUAGCUAAGUUAUAGGACUGUUAGUAUUAGCUUUGCUUUGUGGCAUUUCGUGGAUUUCUUAUCUUAAGACAUUUUUCUGUGCUUAUUAUUCAUUGAAUCGGUAGUACUCACCCCUACUCCCUGCACCUUGUGUGCAGAUUCAGGUACACCGGAGGCUUAGCUGACACUCGCAGUCUCCAGAUAUUUUUCCAGCGUCGUUGAGGUAGCUGCAUGACGUUCGCAAGACCUGGCUUCUCUUCAUAUUUCAGCUUAUUAUCACUAUUAUAUACAUUUCCAGAUUUUUAUAUUUUCAUUCGGAUAUUAUUAUUCAGUUUUGUUUAGAGGAUCUAGACUCGUGACCCCAGAUCUUAUGGGUGUGUUGAUCGAUUUUCGUGUUUGUCCUUAUUACUCUAUUAAUAUUUUGGAUUAUUAUUCUAAAUUACUAUAAUAUUUCUUAAAUUGUCGGUUUUUGAGACUUAGUGUUAAAUUGAAAGCGAUUGUUGGUCAGGCUUGCCUAGAUUUAGGGUUGGGCGCCAUCACGGUCAUAUUUGGGUCAUGACAAGUUUAUACUUAUACCAAUAUCAUAUAAGUUUAUAUUGGAGUGUAUAAAAUAUUGUAUACUAUACUAUAUUUAUUAAUAGUAUGCAUCAUUUUUUCCCUCAAAGAUAAACUAAAGUGAUAUUAUACAAUGAAUUAAGGUAUACUUAUACAAUCGUUUCAUAUGAGUUUAUACUAUAUAAUAUAUAUUAUCCACUAUAUUUAUUAUAAUUAGCACACAUCGAAUGGGUUUUGACAAUGGGGAAGAGGCUUGGAAUUAUCCUUUAAUGGAUAAAUUUAGAAAAACUCAUACAAAUAGAUACGUUUUAGUUGAGAGAGAAUCUCAAGAGAUAUAAGGAUAUAUUUUAGGUUAGAGAAUCCCAAGAUAAAUAUAUUAGGAAUAUAAAAAGUUAGUAGUUAUAACUUAUUUAAUUAAGUUUUGAAUAAGUUGUAUUCAGUGUAAAUUCCUCAUUUUGAUAUACUUAUAGCAUAAAUUUGAUCUAUAAUACCGAUUGUUUAAAACAAUAUUCUUAGUUCUCAGGUAAUACUGUAUCUCUCAUUCAAAAUAAGUGUUUUGACACAUUCAUUAAGAAAAUCACUUAACAUCGUUAGUACAGGGGUUAUUUAACUAAGUUAUUAUUUAUAUCUUUUCGAUUACUCUUUAUAUGUUCUCAUAUUUUAUCUUAAAACGAAGUCAGAAAUUUUUUCAAGGGUGUUCAAAACCUAAAGAAAAUUAAAAAAUUUCGACAAAGGAUAUUCACAUUGUAUAGUAUAUAAUUCUGAAACAAAUAUUUUACCUAUAUAUAUAUUUUUAUUUUUCGGCAAAUAGUAGUUAAUUGACCACCCUUUAACGCAUGUAACUUCGUCUCUUAUUUUAAUGAUUUUGUUUUUUUUCAAUAUGAGGGUAUAUAAGCUAUUUAAAUAUGAAUAAGGAAAAUAACAUUAUAGCAAGAUGGAUACAUUUUUCCCCUUCUUUAUGUUAAAGUUGGAUGGUUAUAUUAUUUUUCUCAUUUUUGUUGAUAUUGGAAAUUAUACUGUUUAUUUUUUUCUUUUGGAGCUGAGGGUCUCUCGAAAAUAGCCUCUCUACCCUUUUAGAGUAGGGGUAAGAUCUGCAUAAAUUUUACCUUCCCCACACCCUACUUAUAAAAUUUUACUGAGUUCUUGUUGUUAUUUUAUGUCAGUUGGUCCUUUUUUUGUUGUCAAAAGGGGAACACAUUACUGAUUAUGAUAAUGUUAUUUGUUUUUUUUUUGGGUCAAGUGGAUCUUUGUUUUACUCUAACUAAUAUUAUUUACCCAAUAAGAAUUUAUAUCAUUAUUUCUAUAAGAUAUUAAAGAUGGAUAUACUAAAAUUCGAUUAAUCUCAAUUUAUAACGAUUGAAAAGAAAGAUCAAUUUUAAAUUAGAAUAAUGAGACUUUUUGUUUAGUAAAAAAAUGACUCUACUUUUAUUUUUAUAAGAUUUUAAAAAUAAAAAUGCUAAAGUUAAGUCAAUUUUAAUCUACAAUAUCGUACAUAAAGUGCAUCAUAUUAUAAUUUAGAAAAUGAGAUUUUCCGUUGGCUAUGAUAUUUAGAACUACUAAUUUAUAGAUACACUUGGAUUUUAAUGAUGGAAAAAAGUUCAUGUUUAAAAAAAGAACCUUUUUUUUGUCUGGCAACUACAGGGAUCAUUGAUAAGUAAAUCAGAUACAAAUUUGUCAAAACUUGUAUCCUUCAACACAUAUAUAGCUUGAGAGAUAUCUAGAAGAUGACAAGACAAUGACCUCGCGAACAUUAGAAGACAAAAAUGUGAUUGCAGAGAUUUGUAGGCAGGCAAUACAUCAUUCCUCUCUUGAAGCAGGAUAUAACCCAGCAGGCGGCCUAUCAGCAAAGUAUUCUUGAUGUUUGACAUUCACACCCUACUCUCGUAGAGAUUUUUAAAGAUCAUCCAUCGUCAAGAUAACGCGUUUGUCCUUUUGCUGCUUAUCUCUUUUAUCUUUGACAAUAGCUGACUGCUUUGCCUUGCAAUGCUCAACUAACUCAUCCGGAAUACUGGGAGCAAUGUGACGACCCAAAGGAUUAUCACUGUAAUUCUUCCUUUUCUUGCGCUUCUGAGGCCUUGAAAACCUCUUAUUUGGUUGCUUCGAUUUGCGUGCGCAUUCCGGGCGCGAAGCCGGAAAAUUUUUAAGUAAAAAUAUUUAAAUUCUGUGUUAAAAACUAUGAAUUUUGAUACCAAUAUUGCUAUGGUUGACUUUGGUCAACAUUUUGGGUAAACGGACCCUUGAUGUGACGGUCCCAGAGGGUCCGUAAUGAAAUUUGGGACCAGGGCGUAUCCCCGGAAUCGAAAUCCAAGGUCCCAGGCCCGAGUUCGGAGCUUUUCUGUGAAAUUAUUUUAUGAAUAUGCUUAAGAAAAAAUGAAAACGGAAAUUGAUCAAAAAAAUAAUGGUAUCGGGCUCGUAUUUUGGUUCCGACGCUCGAUACAAGUCUUAAAUGGGCGUUAAGUGCUAUCUGUAAAGAUUGGUUAAAAACGGACGUCGUUUGACGUGUUUCGGACUAAAAGUGGAAAAUCUGAAAGUUUUGAACUUAGAAAUGAAAAUCAUGAGUUUUGGGGGUUGAUUCUUUGAUUUUCAUGUUAGUUUGGCAAUUUGGUCGCUCGAGCAAGUUCGUAGGAUGAUAUUGAGUUAGUGUGUGUGGUUGGUUGGGAGCCCUGAGGGCUCUGGAGUGUUUUCGGGGGUGGUUCGGGAGGUUUUUGCACUUAGACAAAUUGCUUAAAAUUGCAGCAGGUGUGUCUUCGUCGCGUUUGCGUCCCUCUGGUCGCGUUCGCGAUGCUCUCCUUUUUCCCUCCUUCGCGUUCACGAUUAAUCCAUCGGGUUCGCGUAUAACAAAAAUUUGGACCUUUGUCUUUUCCUCUACGCGUCUGCGUGAAGGCUCCCGCGUUCGCGGAUCCUGGCCUGUUCAUUCUACACGUUCGUGUAUGGUCCCCCGCGUUCGUGUAGGCCAACUGUGAAGCCCAACUUCUAUUCUACGUGUUCGCAAUUCUUCCCACGCGAACGCGAUGCUCAACCUGCCCAACCCUUCCCGAACACGACCCUUUUCAUGCGAACGCGAAGGGUAAUUGCCCAGCGAAAAUAUGUAAACUCCAAAAUCGUGUUCACUCCGGAAUUACCUAUUUUUCACUCGAACUCUCUCCAAAAAUCCUCCAUUGACGAGAUUCAAGCUCUACUUUCUUCCUAACUCUUUGGGUAUGUAAUCCGAACAUUAUUUCUUCACUAUUUCUUUAUCAAACCAUUAAAUUCCUAGCUCUAAAACAUGGAAUCAAAGUAGAAUUUAGGGGUUUUGGGUUUAGUUAGGGUUUAUGGAAUUUUGGGUAUUUCAANNNNNNNNNNNNNNNNNNNNNNNNNNNNNNNNNNNNNNNNNNNNNNNNNNNNNNNNNNNNNNNNNNNNNNNNNNNNNNNNNNNNNNNNNNNNNNNNNNNNNNNNNNNNNNNNNNNNNNNNNNNNNNNNNNNNNNNNNNNNNNNNNNNNNNNNNNNNNNNNNNNNNNNNNNNNNNNNNNNNNNNNNNNNNNNNNNNNNNNNNNNNNNNNNNNNNNNNNNNNNNNNNNNNNNNNNNNNNNNNNNNNNNNNNNNNNNNNNNNNNNNNNNNNNNNNNNNNNNNNNNNNNNNNNNNNNNNNNNNNNNNNNNNNNNNNNNNNNNNNNNNNNNNNNNNNNNNNNNNNNNNNNNNNNNNNNNNNNNNNNNNNNNNNNNNNNNNNNNNNNNNNNNNNNNNNNNNNNNNNNNNNNNNNNNNNNNUUAUGUGCUAUGUGGGGUCGGUGUAUAGGUAUGGUGACGGUUACCUAUGCGCCCGAGUCAAGCAUGACUGUGAUGUCAUAUUUGCUAUUAAAUUGUAGAGUAAGUGAAAUUGUAAUAAUUAUUUGUUAUAAGAACUAUGAAGCGAAAGUUGAGAAUUUAAUGAACUAAAGAGCAAUUUAUGGUACUUUUCCCUUGCCGGGACCACUUGUUGAGUUGUAUUUCCCUUGCGAGGACCAUUUGUUGGAUUGUCCUCCCUUGCCGGGAUAAUUUGUCUUGAUAUGAAUAUUUCCUUGUUCCCGUUUGGCUCUGACCAUUGAUUAGGAGAGGAAAAGAGAGUAAAAGCACGAAGGGUGAUGACUUGCACUGUUCAUCAAGAGUAUAAGCAUGAAGGGUGAUGACGUGCCUUGUAUUUGAUAUUCUUGGUGAGAAAUGACAGUAAAAGCACGAAGGGUGAUGCCGUUCAUUAUCUUUGACUACCUUGGUGAGGAAUGAGAGUAAAAGCACGAAGGCUGAUGUCGUGCAGCUGUUGAUUCAUUGGCUUUCUUGUUUAAUUAUUAUUUAUUCAGUUUCAUUUCUUGACUGUGGAAGUUAUAAUUGAACUUCUACUCCACGGCAUGUCCCCUUCCCCUUUUAUUUGCUUAAAUUCUCGCUCUCUUUCUGUUAUUGCAUAUAUCUGUACAGGUUGGUUGUGAUAGGUCCGGUUUAGCCUCGUCACUACCUCGCCGAGGUUAGACCGGUCACUUACCAGUACAUGGGGUUGGUUGUGCUGAUACUACGCUUCUGUGCCUUUUUGUGUACAGGUCAGGACCCAGUCUACGGACCGCAGCUUUAGAUCGGGAGUGAUCCAUCAGUCCAGAGGCUCUGAGGUAGUUUGAUGGCAUUCGCGUGCCCCGAAUCUACUCUAUCUAUUUCUUUCAGUUUGUUAAAUUGUAUCAAACAGACAUGCAUGUAUUUCUUUCAGACUAUUAUUUUUAGUACUUUUUAGUUUUCCGUGAGUAGUGACACCAGAUACUGAGUAGAGAUAUGUUGAUAGCUUUUCGCUUAUUGUUUUUCAUUAUUGUAAUUAAAAGACUUCCGCAUGAUUAAUUAUGUAUCUUGUAUUUAUUUGUUUUAGAUUUAAGUUUGUGAAAAUGAUUAUAAAGGUUGGCUGCCUAGCUUCAAUAGUAGGCGCCAUCACGACUCCCGAUGGUGGGUAAAUCCGAGUAGUGACAAGUUGGUAUCAGAGCACUAGGUUACUUGGGUCUCACAUCUCACGAACAACAUCGGUAGAGUCUAAGGGAUAGGUUCGGAGACGUCUGUAUUUAUCCCCCAGAGGCUACAGAGUUAGGAAAAGUUUCACUUUGUUCAUUNNNNNNNNNNNNNNNNNNNNNNNNNNNNNNNNNNNNNNNNNNNNNNNNNNNNNNNNNNNNNNNNNNNNNNNNNNNNNNNNNNNUCGAUUCUGUUUCUCAAAUAUUGAUUGUCGUUCUACUCUAUUCUUUCGCAGAUGGCGAGAAAACGUGCGUCUUCUUCUUUCGCGCAGCAGCCCGAGCCCCUAGUAGCAGCUCUCGCGAGGGGCAAGGGUCGAGGAGAGGUCAUGGCUGGGGCAGAGCUCAGCCCUAGGCAGCAGUUCCAGAGGUGGAGCCUCAUAUUGACUUUGAUGAGGAGGUUCCAGCUCCACCAGCUCCAAUGGACUCAGCUAAGGUCCCAGGAGGAGUGAUGUUUUCUUCAGAUCUUCAGUCUUAUCCACAUAGCAGGCUUUAUGGAAAGUGUGGCCAGGGCGGGAUUGCUGCCAGUAGCACCAGCCACUUCUCAGGUCGGGGGAGGGCUUCAGACUCCUGCUACACGUACUCUGGAGCACAUAGCUCCCCAGACUCAGGUUCUCUUGGUUCAGCCCGCAGUGGCAGCUCAGACCGGCAUUACAGCUCAGGCCGGAGAUGGGACGGCCAUGUCUUCGGAUGCUUUGUUGAGACUUGAUCGGUUCUCCAAGCUUUUCACAGGUGCUUCAUCGGAGGAUCCACAGGACUUUCUAUACAGUUGUCAUGAGAUCCUCAGGACUAUGGGGGUAGUGGAGACCAAUAGGGUCGAUUUUUGCACUUUCAGACUUGUGGGGUCCGCCAAUACUUGGUGGAGAGAUUAAUGUCUAUCUAGACCAGCAGGGUCUCCACAUGGGAUCAGUUUGCAGAGUUAUUUUUGGAGAAGUUUCUCCUCGUCACUCAGCGGGAGGCACUUCGCAGACAGUUUGAGCAUCUUCAGCAGGGCUCUAUGACAGUUNNNNNNNNNNNNNNNNNNNNNNNNNNNNNNNNNNNNNNNNNNNNNNNNNNNNNNNNNNNNNNNNNNNNNNNNNNNNNNNNNNNNNNNNNNNNNNNNNNNNNNNNNNNNNNNNNNNNNNNNNNNNNNNNNNNNNNNNNNNNNNNNNNNNNNNNNNNNNNNNNNNNNNNNNNNNNNNNNNNNNNNNNNNNNNNNNNNNNNNNNNNNNNNNNNNNNNNNNNNNNNNNNNNNNNNNNNNNNNNNNNNNNNNNNNNNNNNNNNNNNNNNNNNNNNNNNNNNNNNNNNNNNNNNNNNNNNNNNNNNNNNNNNNNNNNNNNNNNNNNNNNNNNAGAGGCCUCAACAUUCUGGCAGAUUUAGUGGUACCUCAUCUGGAGGUAGGGAUAUUUCCAUGACAGAGGCCAUCCCUCGAGACCUUUCCAGUCGGCACUUUAGGUUUCUCAUGGUACGCCAGGCGGUGGUGGCCACAAGCGGUAUUAUCCAGAUCAGCAGUCAUUUAGUGCACCACCAGCCCCCAUCGGUGCACCGCCACUUCAGAGCUUCAGGGAAGGACAUACCGGUCAAUAGGGCCAGCAGUCUCAACCGCCAAGGGCAUGUUAUGGUUGUGGUGACACAGGUUAUGUGGUCAGAUUUUUCCCUCGAGCCUCGAGUAGUUCUCAGCAACAGGGUUCUCGCCCUACGAUUCAGGCAACAGGUGAUCCACAGGCUGCCUAGCUAGCUAGAGGCGGGGUUAGGGAUCAUAGAGAUGGAGGGAGAGACCGUAGAGGUGGAGCCCGGACAGACAGAGGUAGGGGUCAGCCCGCAGCAGAUCGUCCCAGAGACACAGUUCAGGGAGGUGGGGGGCAGCCCCGUUGAUAUGCAUUGCCAGCCAUGCCGAGUCAUCUGAUGUUGUGAAAACAGGUACUAUACUAGUCUGUGAUAGGGGUGCUUUGGUAUUAUUUGAUCCGGGAUCUACUUAUUCUUAUGUGUCAUCCUAUUUUGCACCCUAUUUGAGUAUGCCUAGUAAGGCUCUGGGUAUUCUUGUAUAUGUGUCCACACCGGUUGGUGAUUCUAUAGUAGUCGAUCGAGUGCAUCAUUCUUGCGUAGUGGUAUUUGAGGGUCUUGAGACCCGUGUCGAUUUAUUGCUUCUAUUCAUGGUAGACUUCUAUUUAUAUUGGGGAUGGACUGGUUGUCCCCGUAUCAUGCUAUCUUGGAUUGUCACGCCAAGACCCUGACUUUGGCCUUGCCAGACUUUCCUCAACUUGAGUGGAGAGGGACCCCAGGUCAUGCCACCCGUAGUGUUAUUUCGUAUGUCAAGGCUCAACGUAUGGUCAAGAAGGGGUGUUUAGCAUAUUUGGCGUAUGCUCGCGACUCCAGCGCAGAGGUCUCAUCUGUCGACUAUGUUCCUAUUGUUUGGGAGUUCCCCAAGGUUUUUCCUUCAGGCCUGUAGGUAUGCCGCCCGACAGGGAUAUUGAUUUCUGUAUUGAUCUGGCUCCUGGCACUCAGCCUAUUUCUAUUCCGUCGUAUCGCAUGGCCCCGACAGAGUUGAAAGAGUUGAAAGAGUAGCUUCAGGAUUUGCUUGAUAAGGGUCUCAUUAGACCUAGUGUAUCACCUUGGGGUGCACCAGUGUUGUUUGUGAAGAAAAAGGACGGGUCGAUGAGGAUGUGCAUUGAUUACCGGCAGUUGAACAAGGUGACGUUAAAGAACAAGCAUCCACUGCCGAGGAUUGACGAUUUUUUGACCAGCUUCAGGGUGACAGAGUGUCUUUGAAGAUAGAUUUAUAGGUCUGGUUAUCAUCAGCUGAGGAUUAGGGCGUCUGAUGUCCCUAAGACAGAUUUUCGUACUCAGUAUGGGCAUUAUGAGUUUCUGGUCAUGUCGUUUGGGUUGACCAAUGCCCCGGCAGCAUUCAUGGAGUUGAUGAACCUAGUGUUCAGGCCUUACUUGGAUUUAUUUGUGAUUGUGUUCAUUGAUGAUAUCUUGGUAUACUCCCGCAGUCAGGAGGAGCAUAAGCAGCACCUUAGAGUGGUUCUUCAGAGUCUGAAGGAUAGCCAAUUGUACUCCAAAUUCUCAAAGUGCGAAUCUUGGUCGAAUUCCGUAGCAUUCCUGGGUCAUGUCGUAUCAGCAGAGGGUAUUUAGGUGGACUUGAAGAAGAUAGAGGCAGUCAAGAACUGGCCUCAAGGAGGAGCACGAGCAGCACCUCACAGUGGUUCUUCAAACUCUGAAAGACAGCCAGUUGUACGCCAAAUUUUCAAAGUGCGAAUUUUGGUUGAGUUCAGUAGCAUUCCUGGGUGAUAUCUUGGUCUACUCCCGUAGCCAGGAGGAGCAUGACAGCACCUCUGUGUGGUUCUUCAGACUCUGAAGAACAGCCAGUUGUACGUCAAAUUCUCAAAGUGCGAAUUUUGGUUGAGUUUAGUAGCAUUCCUGGGUCAUGUCGUAUCAACAUAGGGUAUUCAGGUGGACCCGAAGAAGAUUGUGGCAGUCAAGAACUGGCCCCGACCAGCUUCAGCUACAGAUAUUUGGAGCUUCUUGGGGUUAGCUGGUUGCUACAGACGUUUUGUGGAGGAGUUUUCAUCCAUCGCAACCCCGAUGACUAGAUUAACUCAGAAGGGUGCCCAGUUCAGGUGGUCAGAUGAGUGCGAGGCGAGCUUCCAGAAGCUCAAGACAGCCCUGACUACGGCACCGGUAUUGGUUCUGCCCACGGGAUCUGGGCCUUAUACUGUAUAUUGUGAUGCUUCCCACAUCCGACUUGGCACAUUGUUAAUGCAGAACGGCAAGGUCAUAGCAUAUGCUUCGAGGUAGUUGAAGAUCCAUGAGAAGAAUUAUCCAGUUCAUGACUUAGAAUUGGCAACCAUUGUUCAUCCCUUGAAGAUCUGGAGGUAUUAUUUGUAUGGUGUGACGUGUGAGGUGCACACGGAUCACAAGAGCCUUCAGUACUUGUUAAAGCAGAAAGAGUUGAAUUUGAGGCAGCAGAGGUGGUUGGAGUUGUUAAACGAGGCAUUAUUUGUAUGGUGUGACAUGUGAGGUGUACAUGGAUCACAAGAGCCUUCAGUGCUUGUUCAAGAAGAAAGAGUUGAAUUUGAGACAGCGGAGAUGGUUGGAGUUGCUAAAAGAUUAUGAUGUUUCUAUUUUAUACCACCCAGGGAAGGCCAAUAUGGUGGCCGAUGCCUUUAGUAGAAAGUCUGCCAGCAUGGGUAAUCUUGUAAAUAUUCUGGUCAGCCAAAGACCGCUUGGCUUGGAUGUUCAGGCCUUGUCCAAUAGAUUGGCGAGUUGAAUAUUUCUGAGCCGGGCAAGGUGUUAGCUUGCACAGUUGCUCGCUCGUCAUUGAUGGAGCGUAUCUGGGAGCGACAGUUUGACGAUCCCCAUUUGUGUGUCCUCAGAGACACGGUGCAGAGGGGAGGUGCCAAGAAGAUGACUUUGGGAGAUGAUGGCAUAUUGAAGUUGCAAGGGAGAGUUUAUGUGCCCAAUGUUGAUGGUAUUCGAGAGUCGAUCUUAGCAGAGGCCCACAGUUUUCGGUAUUUUAUUCAUCCGGGCGUCGUGAAGAUGUAUCAGGAUUUGAGACAGCAUUAUUGGUGGCGUAGAAUGAAGAAAUACAUUGUUGCACAUGUGGCUUGUUGUUUAAAUUGUCAGCAGGUUAAGUACGAGCAUCAGAGCCCCGGCGGAUUAUUUCAGAGGAUUGAGCUUCCGAGUGGAAGUGGGAGAGAAAUGGAUUUUGUUAAUGGCCUUCCGAUGACUCGGAAGAAGUUUGAUGCUAUAUGGGUUAUUGUUGAUAGGUUGACUAAGUCAGUAUAUUUCAUCCCAGUUGCCACCACCUAUUCAUCCGAGAGGUAUGCAGAGAUUUAUAUCAGGGAGAUCGUUCUCCUUCAUGGGAUGCCCAUAUCUAUUAUUUCGGAUCAGGAUUUGCAGUUUACCUCGAAUUUCUGGAGAGCGGUGCAGCAUGAGUUGGGUACCCAUGUCCAGUUGAGUAUAGAAUUUCACCCCCAGACAGACGGUCAAUCCGAGAGGACCAUUCAGAUUCUUCAGGAUAUGCUCCGAGCCUGCGUUAUUGAUUUUGGAGCUCGUGGGACCAGUUCUUGCCAUUAGCGGAGUUUUCCUAAAACAACAGCUACCAAUCUAGUAUUCAGAUGGCCUCGUAUGAGGAAUUGUAUGGUAGGCGGUGUCGGGCCCCAGUCAGAUGGUUUAAGCCGGGAGAGGCUCGGCUAUUGGGUACAGAUUUGGUACAGGAGGCCUUGGAUAAGGUCAAGAUCAUUCGGGACAGACUUCGGUCAGCGCAGUCUAGGCAGAAGAGUUAUGCAGAUCGCAACGUCAGGGAUGUUGAUUUCGUGGUUGUUGAUCGAGUAUUUCUUCCUGUAUUGCCUAUGAAGGGCGUGAACAUUCAGGACAGACUUCGGUCAGCUCAGUCCAGGCAGAAGAGUAUUGCAGAUCGUAAGGUCAGGGAUGUUGCUUUCAUGGUUGGUGAGCGAGUAUUGCUCCGUGUAUCGCCUAUGAAAGGCGUGAUGAGGUUUUGGAAGAAGGGCAAGCUUAGACUUAGGUAUAUUUGCCUGUUUGAGAUUCUGGACUGUGUGGGGAAUGUGGCUUAUAGACUUGCAUUCCCGCCUAGCUUGUCAUCUGUGCACCCGGUUUUUCAUGUAUCCAUGCGUCGGAAGUAUCACGGUGAUCCCAACCACGUGAGAGAUUUCAGCACUGUCCAAUUGGACAAGGAUCUGUCGUAUGAGGAGGAGCUAGUGGCUAUUUUAGACCGGCAGGUUCGACAGUUGAGGUCGCGGAGUUUUCCUUCAGUGCGUGUUCAGUGGAGAGGUCAGCCUCCUGAGGCAUCGACCUGGGAGUCCGAGAGAUAUGCGGAGCCGUUAUCCCCAUCUAUUCCCGACUCAGGUACUUAAUUUUUUUGUCCGUUCGAGGACGAACUGUUAUUUUAGAGGUGGAAGAUGUGACGAACCAAAGGGUCAUCACUCUAAUUCUCCCUUUCCUUGCCCUUUUGAGGCCUUAAAAACGCUUAUUUGGUUGCCUCGAUUUGUGUGCCCAAUCUAGGCGCGAAGCCGGAAAAUUUUUAUGUGAAAAUAUUUGAAUUCUCUGCUAAAAACUAUGAAUUUUGAUACCAAUAUUGCUAUGGUUGACAUUGGUCAAACUUUUGAGUAAACGGAUUCGGACCCAUGAUGUGACGGUUUCGGAGGGUCCGUAAUGAAAUUUGGGACCCGGGCGUAUCCCUGGAAUCGAAAUCUGAGGUCCCAGGCCCGAAUUUGGAGCUUUUCUGUGAAAUAGUUUUAUGAAUAUGCUUUAAAAAAAUGAAAACGGAAAUUGAUCAAAAAUAAUGGUCUCGAGCUCGUAUUUUGGUUCAGAUGCCCGGUACAAGUCUUAAAUGAGCGUUAAGCGCUAUCUGUAAAGUUUGGUUGAAAACGGACGCCGUUUGACGUGUUUCGGACUAAAAGCAGAAACUUUGAAAGUUUUGAACUUAGAAAUUAAAAUCAUGAGUUUUGGGGGUCGAUUCUUCGAUUUGAUGUUAGUUUGGCGAUUUGAUCGCUCGAGCAAGUUCGUAUGAUUAUAUUGAGUUAGUGUGUAUGGUUGUUUGGGAGCCCCGAGCACUCGGGAGUGGCUUUGGGGGUGGUUCAGAGGUUUUUGCACUUAGAAAAAUUGCAAGAAAUUGCAACAGGUGUCUCUUCAUCACCUUCGCGUCCCUUUGGUCGCGUUCGCGAUGCUCUCAUUUUUCCCUCCUUUGCAUUCGCAAUUAAUCCAUCACGUUUGUGUAUAAAAAAAUCUGGACCGUUGUCUUUUCCUUUACGCGUCCGCAUGAAGGCUCCCGCGUUCGUAGAGCCUGGCAUGUUCAUUCUACGCGUUCGCGUAUGGUCCCCCGCAUUCGCGUAGGCCAACUGUGAAGACCAACUUCUAUUCUACGCGUUCGCGAUUCUUCCCACGCGAACGAGAUGCUCAACCUGCCCAACCCUUCCCGAACGCGACCCUUUUCAUGCGAACGCGAAGGGUAAUUGCCCAGCGAAAAUAUUUAAACUCCAAAACAGUGUUCACCCGGAUUUCACCCAUUUUUCACUCAAACGCUGUCCAAAAUCCUCCAUUGACGAGAUUCAAGCUCUACCUUCUUCCUAUCCCUUUGGGUAUGUAAUCCUAACAUUAUUUCUUCACUAUUUCUUCAUCAAACCAUUAAAUUCCUAGCUCUAAAACAUGAAAUCAAAGUAGAAUUUNNNNNNNNNNNNNNNNNNNNNNNNNNNNNNNNNNNNNNNNNNNNNNNNNNNNNNNNNNNNNNNNNNNNNNNNNNNNNNNNNNNNNNNNNNNNNNNNNNNNNNNNNNNNNNNNNNNNNNNNNNNNGGUUUAUGGAAUUUUGGGUAUUUCAACCUCAAUUUGAGGUCGAAUUUAAAAUCUAAUUAUAUAUUUGAACUCGUGGGGUUAUGAGGGAUAUGGUUUUGGUCCGAGCCUUGAGUUUGGACCAUGUGGACCCGGUGUCGGAUUUUAGUAUUUUUGAAAGUAAGCUAGGAAAUGCAUUUCUAGGCUAUGGGAUUGUGUUUUUGGAUUCUUAUUGAUAAUAUUAAAUCGAAUUAUGUUAGAUAUUGUUGGUUUGGGGUCGAAUUCUAGAGGAAAGGCGAUCGUUGAGCUUUGAGUUUCUAUUUUCAUCUUUGAGGUAAGUGUUCGAUCUAACUUUGGCUUGAGGGAAUAGGAUUAGAUUGUUAUUUGUUAUGUGCUAUGUGGGGUCGGUGUAUAGGUAUGGUGACGGUUACCUAUGCGCCCGAGUCAAGCAUGACAGUGAUUUCAUAUUUGCUAUUAAAUUGUGGAGUAAGUGAACAAUUCUAAUAAUUAUUUGUUACAAGAACUAUAAAGGGAAAGUUGAGAAUUAAUGAACUAAAGAGGAAAUUUUGGUACUUUUCACUUUCCGGGACCAUUUGUUGAGUUGUAUUCCCUUGCCGGGACAUAUUUUUGAGUUGUAUUUCCCUUGUCGGGACCAUUUGUUGGAUUGUCCUCCCUUGCCGGGAUAAUUUGUCUUUAUAUGUAUAUUUCCUUGUUCCCGUUUGGAUGUGACCAUUGAUUGGGAGAGGAAAAGAGAGUAAAAGCACGAAGGGUGAUGUCGUGCACUGUUUAUUGAGAGUAAAAGCACGAAGGGUGAUGUCGUGCACUGUUCAUCGAUAGUAUAUGCACGAAGGCUGAUGUCGUGCCUUGUAUUUGAUAUUCUUGGUGAGAAAUGAGAGUAAAAGCAUUAAGGGUGAUGCCAUGCAUUAUCUUUGACUACCUUGGUGAGGAAUGAGAGUAAAAGCACGAAGGGCGAUGCCGUGCAGUUGUUGAUUCAUUGGUUUUCUUGUUUUAUUAUUAUUUAUUCAGUUUCAUUUCUUGACUGUAGAAGUAAUAACUGAACUGCUACUCCCCCAGCAUGUCCCCUUCCCCUUUUAUUUGCUUAAAUUCUUACUCUCUUUCUAUUAUUACAUAUAUCUGUACAGGUUGGUUGUGAUAGGUCUGGUUUAGCCUCGUCACUACCUCGUCGAGGUUUGGCCGGGCACUUACCAGCACAUGGGUCGGUUGUGCAGAGACUAUGCUUCUGUGCUUUUUUUUGCACAGGUCAGGACCCAGUCUACGGACCGCAGCUUUAGAUCGGGAGUGAUCAUUCAGUCCAGAGGCUCUGAGGUAGUUCGCUGGCGUUCGCGGGCCCGGAGUCUCCUCUAUCUAUUUCUUUCAGUUUGUUAAAUUGUAUCAAACAGACAUGCUAUGUAUUUCUUUCAGACUAUUAUUUUAGUACUCUUUAGUUGUCCAUGAGCAGUGACACCAGAUACUAGGUAGAGAUAUUUUGAUAGCUUUCCGCUUAUUGUUUUUCAUUAUUGUUAUUAGAAGACUUCCGCAUGCUUAAUUUAUUAUUCAAGUAUUUGAUUUGUUUUAGAUUUAAGUUUGUGAAAUGAUUAUAAAGGUUAGCUUACCUAGCUUCGACAGUAGGCGCCACCACGACUCCCGAUGGUUGGUAAAUCCGGGUCGUGAAAAGCAUCGUCCAUUAAGGAAGCAGGGAAAUCGGCGAGGGUAGUGUCAUCUUCGUGCCUUCCUUCACUCGUUUACUGACCCCCUGACACUGACUCUGGUUCAUUUCAAUGGCGGAUCGGCGCCAUUCGGAGUUUCAACUUCGCCGGAGGUAAAAUAGGGGUGCGAAACCACAAAGGUAAGGAGGUUUUCCAACGCUCGCUCUAUAAAAAAGAAACUUUUUGAGAGCAUAUUAUCUGAAUGCACGUCUGAAUAUUAAGAUGUGGCAUACAGAUAGGGAGGGGAUGCCAAGGCCUACUGACACCAAUAGGUUUACAUCAGGUCUUCUGAUUGACUGAAGGCAGCAAUCCCUAGCUAAAUUUUGUAUGAUCCAGUACUGGGAUUUACAUAAAAGAGUGCAGAGUGUAGUAUCAACACAAUCGACCACAUGUGCUAGUAAGUGUCGAGCCUAACCUCGGCAAAGUAAUGACGAGGUUAGGACAUAACAAUCAAAUAACCUGCAACUAAACAUUAUCUAACAAAAUAACAAUAAUAAAAACAAUUCAAAUGUAGCGGGGGAAGGGUAACAUGCUACGGGGGAAACACUAACAUAAUGAAUCACAAUAAUAGUGGAAUAAGACAAUUAAGGUACUUGAAUCGAAGAAGCAAGAAUUCAUAAUAAACAGGUAAUAAGUGCACGGCAUCAUCCUUCGUGCUUUUACUCUCAAUCCUCACUAAUGCAAUCAAGUAAUGAAAAUGUGCAUGGCAUCACCCAUCGUGCUUUAUCUCUCUUCCUCACCAUGUAAAUAUUAGAAAUAUGCAUGGCAUCACCCUUCGUGCUUUAUCUUUCUUACUCACCAUAUGCAUCAAUAUAAAUAAAAUGUACACGGCAUCACCCUUCGUGCUUUAUCACUCUUUCCUCAUGAUAUGCAUGAAUAUGAAUGUGCACGAUAUCACUCUUUGUCACGACCCAAAAUUCCUCCGAAGGAGUCGUGAUGGAACCUAGUCUCUAAAAAAGGUAAGCUUAGCAUUUACUGAAAUAACAUUAGCAUUUACUAACUUCAAAUUAAAUAACUCUCAAUAAAUCACAAUUUCCCAAAACUGAUGGUACAAGUCAUAAGCCUUUCUAAGAGUAGUUAUAUAAAAUAAAUACAACACUGUUCCAAAAUGAGAAGAAAUCAAUGGAAUGUAAAUACGAACGAUGGUGACUCCGAGGCCAAAGUAGCAACAGGUUACCGUGAGUCUCCACCGCGGCCAUUCGCACAGCUACUAUCGAUCAAUACUUGGAUCUGUACAUAAAAAUAUACAAAAGUGUAGUAUGAGCACAUCAUGGAGGUGCCCAGUAAGUAUCAAGACUAACCUCGGUGGGGGUAGUGACGAGGAACAAUCAAGACACCUACUGGUCAAAUGAAAUGAGAAAGAUAUGAUAGUGAAGUAUCGAGAUAAAGAUAAUGAGAUAAUAUCAACAGCGGAGAGAAAUCAAAAUACAAACAGUAGGAACAAUAAAGGGAGAACACGGGUAGUAACAAAUGAUAACCAAGUAAAUCAGAUAACCAAGUAACUAGGAUAACCGGGCAAAUUAGAUAACCAAGUAAGCCAAAUAACCAAGUAAAUCAGAUAACCAAGUAAAUCAGAUAACCAAGUAAAUCAACCCCGUCAUAACAGGAACAAAGACAAGUAAGAAUAUAUUCAAAUAAAGAAGUCAAUACCAACUCAAUCAAUCACAUCAUGUCUACUACACAAUCCCGACUAUCUCAAUCCUCGAUUUUUCAUAUCUUAAUUCUAACUUUUGAACCUUAAGCACACAUGGCAUCUUGUGCCAUUAUAAUUUCCAUUUCACUUUUAACAACAAAAUCCACAUGCUAUACAAUACAUAAUGUCUGUACAAAUGCCCUCAAGAUGUUCAAGAAGUUGCAUUUACCUAAUAUAAGAAAAUUAGAGUUUCUAAACUAAUUAGGAAAGCUAGCGGAAUUGCUUGAUAACGAUUUAUUCAACCUAGUAUUUCACCUUGGGGUGCUCCUAUCUUGUUUGUGAAGAAAAAAGAUGGUUCUAUGUGUAUGUGUAUCGAUUAUUGUCAGUUGAACAAGGUUACAGUGAACAACCAUUAUCCUUUGCCUCGUAUUGAUGAUCUAUUUGACCAGCUUCAGGGUGCUCGAGUGUUAAGAUUGAUUUGCACUCUGUUUACCAUCAGUUUAAGAUUCAGGAGCAAGAUAUCUCGAAGACUGCCUUCAAGACUUGGUAUGGUCAUUACGAGUACCUUGUUAUGUCAUUUGGGUUGACCAAUGCCCCAGCAGUUUUUAUGCAUUUGAUGCACAUUGUGUUCCGCCCUUAUCUUGAAUCAUUUUGUUAUUAUUUUUAUUGAUGAUAUUCUGGUGUAUUCCCGGAGUGGGGAAUAUCAUAACCAGAACCUGAGGACCAUGCUUCAGACCCUGAGAGAGAAGAAGUUAUAUGCAAAGUUCUCAAAGUGUGAGUUUCGGUUGGAUUUUGUGGCAUUAUUAGGCCACAUGGUAUAGAGUGAGGGCAUUCGAGUGGAUCCGAGCCAUCCAGAGUUAGCCCAGGCCAUCCUCAGCUACAGAGAUUCACAGUUUCCUUGGCUUGGCGGGCUACUACUAUCAUUUUAUGGAAGGGUUUUCAUCGGGCAGCCCUUAUGACUAGAUUGCCCCAGAAGGGUGAUCCAUUUCAGUUGACAAAGGAGUGUCAGGCAAGCUUUAAGAAGCUCAAGACAGCUUUGACUACAGUCCUAAUUUUGAUAUUGCCUACUAGUUUGCGGUCUUAUACAGUUUAUUGUGAUCCCUCGCAGGUUGGCCUCAGAGCGGUGUUGAUGCAGGACGGUAGGAUGAUUGCCUACACGUCCAGACAGUUGAAAAUACAUGAGAAGUAUUACCUUGUCCAUGACCUUGAGUUAGCUUCCAUUGUUCACGCCUUGAAGAUAUAGCGUCAUUAUUUGUACGGUAUGCCUUAUGAGAUUUAUAUUGACCGUCGGAGCUUGCAGCACUUGUUCAACCAAAAGGAUCUAAAUUUGCAUCAGAGGAGGUGAUUAGAGUUGUUGAUGGAUUAUGAUAUUACUCUUCUCUACCACCCUGGCAAGGCCAAUGUGGUGGCCGAUGUCUUGAGACACAAGGUAGAAAGUUUGGGGAGUUUGCAAUAUCUACCAAGAUCAGAGAGGCCAAUGGCAAUGGAUGUUCAGGCCUUAGCCAGCCACUUUGUGAGAUUGGAUCUUUCGGAGCCCAGUCGGCUUCUAGCCUGUGUGGUUUCUCGGUAUUUGCAAUUCGAUAGUAUCAGGGAGCGGCAGUAUGAUGACCCUAAUUUACUUGUCCUUAAGGACAAGGUUCAUCAUGGUGAUGCCAGAGAUGUGACCAUUGGAGAUGAUGGGUUAUUGAGGAUGCAGGUUCGGAUCUGUGUGCCUUAUAUUGAUGGGCUUCGAGAGUUAAUUUUAGCGGAGGCCCAUAGUUCGCGGCAUUCCAUAUAUCCGGGUGUCGGGAAGAUGUAUCCGGAUUUGAGGCAGUGCUAUUGGUGAAGGCGGAUAAAGGAAGAUAUAGUUGGAUAUGUUGCUAGAUGCCUCAGCAGUCAGCAGGUGAAUUAUGAGCACCAGAGACCGGGUGGUUUGCUUCAGCAGAUAGAGAUUCUGGAGUGGAAGUGGGAGCGAAUCACCAUGGCCUUUGUAGUUGGACUCCCACGGACCUUGAAGAAGUUUGAUGCCAUUUGGGUAAUUGUAGAUCGGCUGACCAAGUCCGCUCAUUUUAUUCCUUAGUGUACUACAUAUUCAUCGGAGCGGUUCGUGGAGAUUUAUAUCCGGGAGAUCGUUCAUCUGCAUGGUAUUCCAGUUUCUAUUAUUUCAGACAGAGGUACUCAUUUUACAUCAUAGUUCUAGAGGGUCGUUAAGCAGAAGUUGGAUACUCGGGGGGAGUUGAGCACAACAUUUCAUCCCUAGAUAGUCGGAC